UAAACCCUAAACCCUAACCCUAAACCCUAAACCCUAACCCUAAACCCUAAACCCUAAACCCAAAAACCCUAAACCCUAAACCCUAAACCCUAAACCCGAAACCCUAAACCCUAAACCCUAAACCCGAAACCCUAAACCCUAAACCCUAAACCCUAAACCCUAAACCCUAAACCCUAAACCCUAAACCCUAAACCCUAAACCCUAACCCUAAACCCUAAACCCUAAACCCUAAACCCUAAACCCUAAACCCUAAACCCUAAACCCUAAACCCUAAACCCUAAACCCUAAACCCUAAACCUAAACCCUAAAAAACCCUAAACCCUAAACCCUAACCCUAAAAAACCCUAAACCCUAAACCCUAAACCCGAACCCUAAACCCUAAACCCUAAACCCUAAACGCUAAAGUCGCUGGCGAUCUCCAAGUUCGUCGGUGUGGCUGGCGCGGUGCCCAAGGAGACAUGGGUGUCGCACGAUCUACCUGAAGACACGCCCGGAGCUGGGCGAGAUCGAGAGGGAGAAGGUGUGUAGCGACGCGAGUUUCAUUGCUUACCAUCCCCUGUUUUCUUUCCUCUUCGACCGAACACGGCUGUGAAUAGUGCCAGGAUUGAUUCCUGGCCCGGAUCUAUUGAUGACCAGGUUUCAGUGAACCACCUGGAUUCACUCGAUCCAGCUCUGGAAAGAAAACAGUGGUUCCAAGCCUGGGUUGCCGAACGAGGCCUCAUGCAGUCGGUCGGGAUCUAUACGAAGGAAGUCGGUAGGUUUGCACGCGGAAAACUGUGCGGGCGGAUCACGUCCGCCUGGGCCACUUCUGCCCAUGGCCCACCAACCAGCAGCACACGGUUUGGGCCACACACGCUACUGAGCGAGCGCCCAGCACGCACGGGCCAUCAGCAGCCUAUGGUCCAUGGCUCUGUUUGGAACAGCGUCUUCUGGCUGGCUCGCUCACAUUCUCGUGCUUGCGGCUGCACCAGACGAUGCGGGUCGCAACUCGCAAAUUGGAUGGGAGGCUCAUCUCCAAUCCUUUCCUUUUUCUUCUUUGGAUUGGAAUUUUAUUUUGUGUAGAGAGCAUGCAUAUUCGAGUCAAACUUCUGACUUAAGCUUUAAAAAACUUUGAAAAUAUUUGAUUUCAAAAAAGAUAAACUACCAGUGUGUUUUGUCUGGAAAACAAUUUUUGUUAAACUAUAUUAUUAGACAUUGAAGUUACAUUACAAAAUAGUGGUCCAAGUUACGCUUUGUUUGUAAACAAUAUCGCGCGCAAUGUUGCAAAUCGCGGGCUAUAGAAUUUAGCGGAGUGGUCCUAGAAAAGCUAUAUGAGUUAUAGCGCACCUAUAGCGGCAGCUAUGGUAUUUAGCGUUAUGCAAAAAACCAACAAAAUUUAAACUCAAACAUUAGUAAUUUCAUGAAUUUCAACUCAUAUUUCAUACAUGUCCAGGCGUAAGUAAAAAAAAGUCACAACUCACAAGGUAAGUUAUAAGUCAUCACUCACAGUUCAUAAAUCACAAGUAGAUAAGUUCGUAACUCAGUCAUAGCGGAGUUAGCCACGCUAGGCUAUUGAAUUUAGCGGUGCUAUUUCAUGCAAUAGUGGAGUUAGCGGCAUUAACGGUAAUAUUUACAAUAUCAUCGUGGCACCAGUCUAAAAAAACUAUAGCGAAACUAUAACGGGCUAUUUGCAACAGUGAUUGCGCGUCAUCCAAAAUAUCAAUUAGUUGGAGUAAUUGUCAUCUAGCAUCAAGUAUUUGAUAUGAAGUCAUUCCAGUUAAUAGAUAGUGAUGGAUUUGACGGGGGCAAGGGUACAUAGUGUCUCCCUCGGAUAUGGGUUAGAAGACUUGGCACAUGACAGGCAGCAUACUUACAAAAAAGUGACAGGCCGCAUACUUACAAACGUACCACGUAUAUUGAGCAAUACCCCCCCACCCCCCAACGCGGAUGUAUCUCGUAAGAAGCUAAACGUGCUAGAACAGUAGUAUUAUAAAAGAAAACUGAAUAAACACUAUGAUGCCCUUCAUGACAAUAAUUUGACGAUUCUGCAUCAUCACAGGACUAUCAAAACUUUAUUUUCUUUAAAAUACAAGGCAGGACUGCAGGAGCCACCUUGCUGAACAUCGUUAAUGGCGCGUUGCAGCUUUAGCGUGUAUACAUGAGUGCAAGCCUUACAACAAUAUUUACAUUUUCAAGAAGACAUGUCCUAUUAUCCUCAUCAGUAAAUGUACUAGAAGAUCGCCUGAUAUGCGAACAGAAAGCAGCAGGUGUAGGCCAGAAACCAUAAUUGUUCCUCGCUAUGCUCAGUAACCUUGCUCAAACCGAGGGCAAUUGCUAGCAAGAUUGUCCUAACAGAAAGUAAAAAGCUUUGUAGUAUAACCUAGCAUCUGUGUUAAAAUGAACAACAUUUCAUGCCAAAUAAGAAGGUUCUCAUGAACCAGAUCAUUUUCAGCAAAGCAUUACAGACUACACUGCUUUGCUAGCAUCCUACUGGUAGCGUUUCUUAAACAGAUGGUGCCUCUUUGAUGGCUCCUUGGGUUUUUUCGGAGCCUUCCCCUUCCCAGUGCUGGAAGAACAGGUCACAGGCGAUUUGCAUCCAGUUAAAGAAGAAAUUGAAGAUGCUGAAUAAAAAUACAGAGAAAAAGUGGACACAGGCAGCACCUGUACUCCAAGUAAACCCUUCCACCAGCUCUAGAGAAGGCUAUGUAGGAACUUGAAUUUUUGUUAAUACAAGAGUUGUAAAACUUUUCAAAGAAAACAACUUUGCUUAUUUGUGCUUUGGCUAAUUUGGAGAGGAAGAGGUUCAAAAACUAGAAUCAAUAUCAGUAGCAUUUCAACUCACCUUAAAACUCUGUGCUGAAAACAGUGAAAAUCCUCAACUUGGCAGCCUUGUUUCUUACAAAUUUGUAUAUGAACAUAAGUCAAACCCUUUAUAGAAGUUUGAGUGCUACAAGUCUUUUGCAACUUCACUUAAAUGACCCAGGGACAGAUCUCAACUUAAACCCUUCAAAAAUCAGGUCAAAGUUGGCCAAAAUGGUCAACUCAGCCCAAUCUUGCAAAACCGGCUAAGUCUGAGAAACAGUUCAAAGUGUGCAUCUUGGCGUGCAAUUUAAUCACAAAACUUGAACAAAACUUGAGAAAAAUCCUUUAUAGAAGUUGGAUUCCUCAGUUCAUACAACAACUUUUUCAAUUGCACUUUGACCAAAUUCAAAUCAUAAACCCUUCAAGACGUAAGCUCAAAUUAGCCAAAACCCUGAAAACAGCCAAAUUGCUAAAAUCGCCCAAAGUCUGAAAAUCAGGCGUUCCCUCAAACUUUGGAGCUUUAUAAAUCCAAAUCUAUUUCGAAUUUAAACUUGAACCUUUUGUAAAGUUUAAACUUUGACAUAACGACAACAAAUCUUAUAAAGGAAAAAUUUGAAGUUUAGUUCAAAAAAAUUGCUUUUUAGCUCAGCCCAAACCUCACCCCUCAGCCGGCCUGCGCAGCACAUGCACGCCAGAGCACGCACGACGCGUCCCUGUGCCACCGGCGAGCGGAGCUCGCCCUAUCGCUGGCGUGAUUGUUGACACUGAAAAUCAGCCGAUGACCCUCGGCGUCGGACACACGACCCGGGAGAAUCUGCUUAGCUCCUGUUCGGGUUAUCGUCCUGGUGUGGUUCACGCAGCGUGCCAGUCAAUCUGACCUGUUGAUUGACAAGGAAAAAGCGUUAAAUUCUAAGGUUUCGAUCGGCUAAAGUUCCGAUCUAUUUCAAAGUAUGUAUCAGCGAAUCGGCCGAAUUACUGUAGGGAUGAUCGGCUAUAGAGCAGCCGAUGAUCACGUAGCAAUUGUAAAAGAAAUUGCUAGAGCAACCUAGACAAUGCUACAAAGGCAACACUUGAAAUAGAUCUAAAUUGGCUAUAUGAUAAGAAACAAGUAAUAACGAUAAAAGCCGUCAGUUCGUAUUUCAAGCUGGAUAACUGGUAAUAAAACUAAAACAACAGGUAAAACCUAUAAUUCUAAUUCUAGUUAAUAUCGAUAACUGGUGAAUAAAUCUAAACGAAACGACAGCGAUGCGCCCGAAGUUAAAGCUUAGAUAUUACUCGAUAAACGGAACUUACAAAUUGGCCAGAGGUCGUGUUGAUGCAGUCCUGCCAACUCGUACGAACUUGUGAAAAGAAAAGGGUUUGGCGAAAUCGCCGACUUGAAAGUAAAGUACGAGAAAAAAGUAGAUUUGUAUUGUUGAUUGAUGUGUUAUUUUUACAAGCCUUACAAGGCAGCUAUUUAUACCCUGUUACAACUGAUUUCCUAUUCGACUAGAAUCUAUCUCUAAUUUAAAGAUAACAAAUAUUUACAAACGAACGCAACUCGCAUCGGAGUUGGUUAUUAUUUUCCCACGGGCUAAUCUUCAUCUUCGGCCUAUCGUCAUUCUGGCCCACUUUUGGCCCAUAUCGGCGAAGCCGUUCUGGCUCCCAAUCGGCCAAUCUUCAUUGACUUCCCCAGCUAAUCGGCUGAAACACUGUAGCUCUAAUCGGCCGAUUUCCAACUGUAGCUUCUUGCUCGCCGCAUCGGCCGCUUUCUUCUUCUUUGAUGCUGAUUCUAAACAUGUGUCAAAAUCCGGCGUCAACACAUGCCCCCCAGUUUCAGAGUGAAACAUAUCUUUUGCUCCGAAAUUUUCUCAACUCUGGCUCUUUCCCCAAAGAAAGCGCAACAAUAAACGCGUCAAAAACUCCUUUUCGCUCCGGAGUCUUCUCUCUGAUGAUUGCAAUUUUUUGAACGAAGCGCCCGCAGGCAACCGCUCUUCCCAAAAUUCGCGCAGACGGUGCGGUAAAAAUCCUACCUUUACCCUCCUCUCGAACCGUCCUUUAAAUACUCGCCUCCUCUGCCGCUUCUUCUUCCCAAGCUCAAAAGCUAUUCCUCUCCAGCGAACCAUCUCCUGAUGCACUCCGGCGCCCAUUCAGCUUCUAGCUGCACUUCUCUUGUGACUCUUCCUCAUCCUGCGCCAAUCACGCCAAUCCUUCAACACUCCAAUGGCAAAUCCAUCGGCAACCAUGGCUUUCAUCCCGGAGGUAAAUACCCCGAAACUUUCCCCUUUUUUACUUUUCACCGUUUUAUGAAUCUUUAGAUCUGUUCUUAGUUUUUUUAUAUAUAUCUUCUCAGGAGCUUAAGCAAAGAAUCACCAUCCCUAUAUCUGAUGUGCCUGGUCUUAUCGGUCUUGGCCCCAUGUGUCGGUGUCAAGAAUCGCGGGUCAAGACUCCGUCAAGUAAAUUUGUUUUCUAUGCGCGUAAACCCUUAUCAGAAUAUUGUUUCCAAAGUUUUGGCUUUGUGGGUUUUACCUGUAUUAUUUACGUAAGAAUGCUCCUUGUAUCCAGGUUACUAGACGUGCUAUUGAGUUGGCAUUCCUCAUGUAUUCCUGUGAUCGCCAUGUUAAUAAACGUAGAAGCACCUUGCGCUCUGUUGCUGCGCACAUUACGAAAAUAUCUCGCAUUAAUACUGAGGGUUGGGAUUUCCACAAAAUUGCGGUCGCGCUCAAGAUUAUAUGUUGCCCUGAAGAAAACAUUGCCGCUACCCAUCCGGUAAACUGUAAUAUCUUGUGAAUGUGUAUGCAUUUGAUGGAAAUUUGUCAAUCAAGUAACGCUAGUGUGUUCCAUUCAGCGGUUUUCAACAGGACAUUUGAUGAAGCUUAAGUCUGAUGCACCAAAGUACAAAAAGUUGUUCUUCAAGGGGGCUUCCUUGUCACUCUAUGAUGAAGUGCACUAUCACUGUAAUCUUAGGAUUAAGGCGGGUCAAGAGUUGACCAUUUUGAUCAAACUGGCCAAAAAGGUUGAUGUUGAGCAACCACGUGAAGUUGCUAUUGAUCAAGAUGAUCUUGAUGGGACGAAGAUUUAUCCUGAUAUUGACCCUGCCAUCCUUGAUGAACUUAAAGAGUAUGGGUAUGGUUCAUACUCGAUAUGAACACUAGAAAGUAGAACAAGGCCAAAAGGGGGAAAAGUUAGUUUUGUUUACUUGUAGUUGUUAUGGAGUUGGUAGAAGUUGAACUAUAAUUUAGGCUUUUAGUUUCACUAGCACACAUACCCGUGCGUUGCAACGGCCACGAAACUGCAGCAGAUUCGAUUGUGUUUUCAGGCUACGGUUGUGCUUCUUGGUUGUUUCACCAUCUACAUUUAUGAAUGAGUACGACCUAAAGAUUUUGCUUGAUAAAAAUGAAGAAAUCUCUUCUCAUCAUAGCUCUUAGAAGUAACAUUGGGACCAUCAGAUAUCUUUCCAUCAUAAAAUGUAACACCUGGAAUUUUAAUUUGCUUAUUUUUGGAUGUAUUCUGUUUUGCAUAUGGAGAAGGUGCUUAUCGUAGCGAAGCAUACCUAAUUAACCUCUCAAAAAAGCACUUUGCCCCAAGUUAGCAUUGUCAGAUACCUACAGAAUCACAUUACAUGUCAAUACAUCGCUUCCAAAAGGAAAAUUUCUUGAAAUAAAAGGAUAGUCAACCGUAUGUAGCUUACUUUGCUUUUCAUCAGAGCAGGUAAUAAAAAAAGCCUACCUAAUGCCAGGCAGCUGCAAGGGAGUUACGGUCUCACACUCGUUGAGCUGUGCAGUUCCGUCGAUAACCAGCAACUCCAGAAGAUUUGACUUUUUGGACUUCUUGAGCAAUUGGCCAAUACCAAAAGCAAAUAUGUCCGUCAGCACACCAUACAACCUGAAAGAGCUGGAAACUAUGCAGAGAAUGCAUUUCGUUCUCUGCAGAAAAUACAAUUGAUUUUGCCUCGUGCUGCAAUAAUUUGGAAGCUCAAAGUUUUUGUGAAGAUACGUCAACUCUCGCACAUAUAGGAUCUGGCCAGCUUGGACUUGGAUUUAUUGCAUGCAUUACCGCGUGACACCCGGGGCUCGUUCGAGGUCUUCAACCCUUCCUCCUCCGCCAUCGACCCACCCUCCACGUUCCGCCUAGCCGCCGCCGCCAAGUCCACCUGCUCGCUCAUCUAGGAAGUAGUUGGCGGCAUCGAGUAUGUCGGCAAGCCGACUCAACAGGCGGAUGAGUGGGAACUCAUGCAGAUCAACCAGCAGAUUGGCUGGCCGCACGGCAUGUCCGCCCGCUCCUCCGGCGGUGGGCAACAGACGCCCUGCGCGCCUGAAUAGGCAAGGCCCUCGGGCUGCAAGCGUAAAAAAUUCAAGACACGAAGCAAAUUGUGAGAGAUUGGAGUCGAUCAUGGGAUUUUGUGACGAAUUCCUUGGCAGAAGUUGCAGCGAGAGGGGCCUCAACAUAUCCUUGAAGGACGCCGUUCGCGCCUGGGCGUGACGGCGUGUUAAUCUCGGAGACGACGGUGGCGUAGCCGACCUUGAGGCGCAUCGCGGCGUCGACCCACACGUCGUUGGCGAACUGCACUUUGGGGCCCUCCAUCGUCGCCAGAGCUAUCGGAGAGGACGCCUCGCACAUAUCCAAUUCCAAACCGAUCUCUCUGAUGGCUCCUUGCCGCCUGGGCCUCACGUCACGUACGAGCUCACGUAUUUGACUGUAGUGCAAACGUGUAGGAUCGAGUCGGUCGAGUUCCUUCUCCUGCCCGGACGAAAGCCCACUCCAGGCCGGUACGGACCAAAAUUUUGCCAGGAUGACAACGGACAAAGAACGGACGCGUUGCGACUUGCGUGCGAGAGGGACGAACUGUGGGUUGAUUACUAAAAAUUUGAGGGGGGUUUUUGCAAAAUUACCACGACGGUUGAAGGAUUGAAAGAAACAUCCUCUCUUUAAUAUUAGGUAUAGAUUUUGUGUUGUUAAAAUGAAGCAAUGGUUCUUCUGUUUCCUUUCAGGUUCCCCCAACUCUGCUAAAAGAAAACAAAUUGUAUGCAUUGCCUCUAAUAAUAGUCAGACAAUAAUAGCCAGACCAUUACACUUCUUGACACUUAGCUAUGUUUCAUCUUUCAACUCUGGUAUAGAAUCAUUCAGUAGAUAUUGACUCACCAACUUCUUUACUGUUUUUUCUGCUAAAAGAAAACAAACUGUAUGCAUUGCCUCUAAUAUUGACUCUGGUUUUGAUAUAUAGAGUCGUCUAGCAAAUAUGCUAGGAAGAAAACAUGUAUGGUCGAUAGAGGAAGAAGAGUUUCUGUUGGAAUGUUCUAAGGAUCCUUCUAUGAUUCAACUGUAUAAGAGCUGCAAAACCCACUUUUAUGCUCGUCUUGCAGAGGCAAUGAAUCGCCAAUGGGAACUGAAAAAUCCCAAAUAUGUUCCUCUGAAUGCUGACAAGGUUAAGAAAAAAUUUAAACAAUUUGUUACGUCAUGGAAAGCACACUGCUCUUCAGCUACAAAGAUGGUAUUUGCCCCACUCCUGCUCGUUCUUUGCUCCACUCCUGCUCGUUCACUGUUCGUUUUGUUUGUUAACUUAACUGAAACUUUGCAUCCCAGGAUACAUCCUCAGGCUUCAAUCUCCUAGAUAAGUAUAGUACGCAAUUCAAUUCAUUAUUCAGUGAUAAUGAAGCCAGAAGUUCAGGUUCAAUGGGUGUGUUGACGUGGAAAAAGAAACACACAGUUCUCGAUGACUUAAUUUCCGCAUUGAAGUAUAUGAAUGAACAUGGUUGCUAUAGCUUUGAGUUUUUUAGAUAUACAGCUGCACUGCAGAACACAACUGUUCUGUAUGGGUUUAUAGCUUUGACGACCUAUGAAGAAAGGAAAAAAUACCUCACUGACUUGUUGGUAAGCAGUAAAGGGCUGUUUGGAAAAUACAGUAUUUAUGGAGCCUAUAAUUUCCCUUGAUAUGAACAUUGCGUUUCUCAUCUUGUAGGAAGGAGGAGUGGUGAAGACACCUUCAUGCGAGUUGGCACAAAAACCUCCAGGGGAGCAGUAAUGUCUUCCUGCUGGUGCUCUUCCUGCUGAUGUAUAUCAAGGGAGCUUGUUGUGGCACAAUGUAUCCUGAAGGCUAGAGUACUGGUGAUUUGGAGGAGAUCUCCCGUAAAGUCUAUGUUGUGAACUUAAUAUGUUGUGCUUAGUUUGUGUUGUGAGCUUAAGACUCUGCUGAUGUUUAGUGCUUGUGUUGUAGACUUAAGACUCUGCUGAUACAUUUUUCCUGACUUUUGUUGUGCUGUUUCGGUCCGAUAUACCGUUGUGACUUUUAUUAUUCUGUUCCAGUUUGAUAUCCCUUCGUGACGUUUCUUUUUCUGUUUCGGUCCGAUAUACCUUUGUGACUUUUGUCAUUCUGUUUCGGUUUUUUAUCCCCUUGUGAUAUCCCUUUGUGACGUUUCUUAUUCUGUUUCGGUCAGAUAUCCCUUUGUGAUGUUUCUCUUAAUAUGUUGUGCUUAGCUUGUGUUGUGAGCUUAAGAUUGUGCUGAUGUUUAGUGCUUGUGUUGUAGACUUAAGACUUUGCUGAUGAACAUUAGGCAAUCAGCUAAUACAUUUUUCCUGACUUUUGUUGUGCUGUUUUGGUCCGAUAUACCGUUGUGACUUUUAUUAUUCUAUUCUGGUUUGAUAUCCGCUUGUGACGUUUCUUUUUCUGUUUGUGACUUUGUCAUUCUGUUUCGGUGUUUUAUCCCCUUUGAUAUCCCUUUGUGAUGUUUCUUAUUCGGUUUUGGUCAGAUAUCCCUUUGUGAUGUUUCUUAUUCUGUUUCGGUCCGAUAAGGGAUGUCAAACUGGAACAGCAUAAGAAAAGUCACAACGGUAUAUCCGCCGGCUGCUGCUCCUCAAUCCCUAAACCUUAAGCCAACUGCAGCCGCCCUCUCCAGGUGUACUAACAAACUAACCUUCAAAGGAUGGAUGUCCAUAGAUAAAAUGUCUGGUUUGUUCAUCCUGUGAAGAGGAUGGCUGGUGUCGACCAUACAUCUCCGGGUCCAUCAGAAGUUUUGACAUCUCCGGGUCCAUCUUCGGGUCCACCAGAAGUUCUGUACGGACCCACUCAAGGGACCCACUCAAGGGAACGUACUCGAGACGUAUCAGGAUAUGAAAACUAUGCUACAGGGCAACGUAGACUAUACGGAGCUCCUGAAGGACUAGUCACAAUACAAGGAAACUACUCGGGCAGUUAGAGUAGGACUCUAUAGUCUUGCCUGACUAGUACUCUUGUAGAAAAGACUACCCUAUAACCCUACUCCUCCGAUAUAUAAGGGCGGGUAGGGACCCCUCAAGGACAAGUUCAAUUGAAUACAAACAUACAACACACAGGACGUAGGGUAUUACGCGAUCUAGCGGCCCGGACCUGUCUAAAUCGUGUCCCUGUGUCACCAUCGACUCCUUGACUUCAGCGACACCCACCAACCAAAACACUAUCUCGGGUACUCCCUUGAUAGGUUGCUAGCCAGGUAGGGGCAGUCGCGGCAAUUCUUCGCACGAGAUCGAUAGCUCCGGUCAUCAUUAAGCCUACGUUUGUGUUCGAAGCGGGCGCAACGUUCGUUUUUCAGCUCCUGGCUCUGUAUCACUGACAGCAUUAGAGGUUUCCAACGCCGCAUCAUCGAAGAACCGGAGAAGAAGCAUCUCGGCGGAAACUCUCGUCGACAUGAGACAAAAGAUUUCAUCGAGAAUUUCGAAUUUUUCGAUCUGAACAACACCGGGUUCGACCACAACUCGGAUUUGACCACAACUUGGACUAGUCCGCACAAGCAGGCAAUUCAUCCAUCGUAUUGACCGAAUACAACUCCAAGCUGAUUUCCGUUCAGACUCCAAAAUGCUAUCACGGUUCAUCAAAAAGCUCUAUCCAAAGUCCAAUCCGGAUUAGAGUCAAUUGAGGACCACGACUGCGACUCGAACUCUCUUGAAGAACUUCCCUUAUUAGGUCCGUAGUAGGGCCUGGUAAUCACAUCAACACCGCAAGGCAGAUUCGUUUACUGGCUGAGCAUGAAGCCAUCCUUCCUUGCCCAAGACAACAAGUCACGCCUCGUCACACACUUGGAUAUCCUCCCAUACCAAGAGGGUACUCCACUCUCACCGAUCCGCGAAGAAGAUGGCUCCACUGAAGUCAUCACAUCCAGCUCUGGAAGCUACUCUCCGGAUAGAGAACUCUUUAUUGUUGUUUCACCAGCUGAUGGAACAGGCACUAGCGAUCAACACCAAAGAACUCCUCAUCGGGAAUGCCAAAUUGAAGAAGUUUUCCAAGAUGAAUUAUCAGCUGACGCCCCGAAGGGUGAAACUAGCAGCCAAAGAACUCAAAGAAGAGCAAGAAACACUCAGCGAGCGGAACGUCAUCGACUUCUAGCCACAAGACUUCCUAUUGUGAACCUUGACAGAGCAUUUGAAGCAGUACAAACACGAGAACACAACACGCCACUUGCCACUAUUGCCUCUAUCGACCUUAUCGCCCGUUCAAUGUCUCCGAACAAGUACAAUGAUCUCCUGUCAUACUUGGCAGAACACGCAUACAAACUCCUUGACAAGGAACACCAAUCCCGUCUGUGCCUCGUAAACCAAGUCACCAUGAUGAUAGCAGAGAUCAUGCAAGACAUUCAAACCAACCACAUGAAGAACCAUGACAACAUAGGGGCGUACUCAAAGCUCCAAGAUGAGACAGAGAUGCAGCCGAAGGUAGUCGUACAGCCUCCGCGGAAGGUCCAUGUCACUGCAGAGCUAAUCCAGAACCCUCGCACAUCAGUGAUCUUCGAGAAACAUUAAAUCACAACCGUGAUGUUCGAGAUAUAAUCAACAAUCACCGCCGUGAAUGUGAAGCUGAGGGUGAUGACAAUGACCACUUCUCCACUUUCACAAGAUGAAUCAUGCAGACUACUCUUCCAGAGAAAUUCAAACCAAUGGGCAUCACUAAGUAUGAUGGCAAAUAAGACCCAGUUCAGUGGCUCCGCUGCUACACAUUGGCAGUCGAAGCUGCAGGUGGAAGCGAUGAUACAAAGGUCAUCCACUUUCCCAUAUGCAUGGAACCAGCACCACUAACUUGGCUCGAAUCUUUGAAGCCUAACUCCAUCGACUCAUGGUCUAAUCUAAAGAAAGCUUUUACCAGCAACUAUGCCGGAGCUAUGCAGCGCCCUGGCAACAGAAUUGACUUGGCUCAGGUUAAGUAGCAAAAGGAUGAAUCUCUACGCAGCUACCUACGCCAUUUUUUCGACAAAAAGACUACAAUUGUCGACAUCUCAGAAGCAGAUGUGGUAUAAUGUUUUCAGAAUGGCCUUUGGGACCGACGCAUGUUCCAAGACUUUGGCAGACGCCGUCCAGCGGAUGUCAAAGAACUCAAAAUUAUAGCUCAGUCGUGGGCAGACGAAGAAGACAAGGAACGAGAAAGGUUCGACUCACACCGCAAUCGUGGACGUGACAACAAUAACCAAGGUAAAACUAAGAACAAGACAAAAACCGUAACGACGAUCACCAAAACAACUACUCAGGUAAUCAAAAUCGCAAGCGCAAACCAGACAAUACCAUUGCAGCAAUGUCAAGCUCAAGCAAGAAAAGAUCAACAAACAAAUGAAAUGAUGGCCCUUCAUUCAGUGAACUACUCAAGAAACAAUGUCCAUGGCACCCACACAGCAAGUACGUUGCAAUCAACUACUACAGCCUUCGCAGAGUUAUGUAAGAGUUACCAGAACCUCCCGUCGGGGCAGGCGCACGCAGGGUUGCUCUAGGGUCGGCAGGCCACCUAGAGCGCCUUCAAACGUCGUCGAGACGAAGGAAGAAUAGCAGGUAGUAGAUUGGAAAAGCUAGGGCAAAAGAAUAAAGGAAAAGAUGAUAAAUAGUAGAUUGGUUUUUGUCAAUUGGGUUGGAUGUCCUCAAUCGGCCGAAUCCCUUUAUAUUUAUAGGAAGGGAAGGUCUUCCCCACGCAGGAGUCGAAAUCCUAAUACAACUCGUGCUAAAUCACAACUCCUACUAGGAUUACACAGAGCCAGACCAGUCAGACUGGCCUGGGCAACCGGUCUGCCCGGGUGUAGAUCUUGCGAAGAUCGUUAUCUCCCUCAUCCGACCUCCAAAUCGGACGUUCUAUAUAUGAAUAUUGAUCUUUUCGACGAGAGCUACGCCACGGUGAAGUUCAAUUUGCACUUUGAGAACUUUCCCCAAACCGGUCUGAUUGGUUGGGAGAUCAGUCUGAACAGGUUUGACCAGAUCUUCCCAUAGCUGCCACUUUUGGGCUCCAACAGUUACACCAUCACGAUAGAUUUGAAACAUGUAAUGCGUUGGUGACACCACAACCUGCAAGAUCUUCCAAAGCCCAACAAACUUGUGAUAAGUAAAAUUCCGGUGGAAUGGAACAGCUAAGAUAAACAGAAUAAAAACAGUGCUGCAAUCAGGGAUGCAAUUUAUUUGGCGUCAGCAUACUCCUCUCAAGUUCUUUAGUCCUCAUAACUAAGGAAUUUGUCCUUAAUUUUGAGCCAGUCAGCUGGUUUUGGCUGGAAGAUUGCUAUAUAUCCUUCACUGUCAGCCUAAAUUCGAAAAGGGGAGAAAAAGGGAGAAAAAGGGAGUAAUGUGUGCUGCCCAGUAUAUGGUAAAGAAAACAAACAUAUAGCAAUGAAAAAGCAGCAAAAGUCUUGAAUUGAUAUUCUAUCUUUAAAAAAAACUAGAGCACGACUUGAACAGAAAAGGAAAACACACAAUAUAGUAAGCUCACAAAGAGUCAAAGAAAUAGAGGAAAUUUGCCAGAACAGGUUGUACUCACAACGGUAUUAAGAAGGUCUGGUUGUUUGAUCAAUCUUUCAUUGAUCUCCAAAAGGGAACCUUUCACGCAGCAUCUGUAAAACUUUAGCAUAAGCAACACUGCAGUGCAGAAAACAAUAAUGUCUCAGACAUACUUCUGUGAUAUUUAAAAUCAAGGGGACCAGCCUCACAAUAAAAGAUUUAUCGUUUACACAAACUUUGCACAACGCCGAAUUUUCUUGCCAGUGUUGUGCAUUCUGCAAUGUAAAAUGAACAUCAAUUCAUGUUGUCAUUUGUUUAAUUAAACGAAAAGAAACAUAGUCUAGUUACUCUUUUGCGUUUUCCUGUGACUUUCAUCUCGCUGCGAUCUGACUUGCCGACGUUGGAGUCAACAGUGGUUAUUAUUCCUUCCUCUUUAAACACAACAUGGGUUGGAGCUAAACCAACCACACACAAUCUAAAGUUUUUCAACAAAACAAAGCAACCAUGAGAAUAUAGAUAUUAAGGCUCAUUAGAAAUCUCAAUGUGCACUACUCACAAAACAGGAAGGCAUUGAUUGGCACUUGUCAACUAGAGUUAUUGUAUAGAAAAUAAAUACCUAACACAAGAACAGAUCAUUUAUUUGCAGAUAAAACAGUACCACGAUUAUGUUAUGAAGCAGACAUUCAGCUUUCUUAGUUACCCAGCGCACUUAGCAUUCUUAGUAUCUACAAAUAAUUCCCUUUAGAGAGAGACACCAUAGCAAACUGUUGUCAGCCUUAGAUGCACAUUGUGAAAAUGCAAAUUUCACCAAAAGCCUUGAGAACCUGAUGUUGACUUGUCGAAAUUGAAAACCUACCCGUUUGGAUGGCGAUACACAUACUGAUCAUACCACAGAUUCAGAAAAUCUGCCCAAGAAAGCAGUAUAGUGAAAUUAGAGUGCUUGAAGCAGACAUCUAGAGACCAGUAGAAAGAUUUCCCUCCCCUGUCUCAACAUAUAACAGCAUAAACUUCUCAAACAUUCUAGUAUGUUAAGUCACUAAUGCUAGAGAACCACGCUACACAGUGCAGACACAGUAGGCUGAAAAUAAAAUCUUCAGAAUCCAGGAUCUUAUGUCCUACUUGGAAUGGGUCAAUGGGCCCGAAAAAAGAAGUUGGAUGAUGUUGAUACUGAUAUUCCCACAGUGAUUGGAGUAGAUAAAUUUUUGCCUGUGAUCAUAUGUAGAUGUAGAGUAACAUUGAGUAGUGAUGAUACAUGACGCCGAGAGAGCAGCACAGGAGCAAUUGGGAACCCAGCUCGUCCUGCAGCGCCUUCACUUGGUUCUGCAGGCCCACGAUGUAGUCAAUGGCGUCCCCGAGGAUCGACGCGAAGUCCAUCUAAACAAUGCCAUCCAUCGAUGACAUCAGAGAAGCAAGAAAACAAAAAGUUCCAUGGCGAUGGAUAAGUUCUUCACUUGGUUCUGUUAAUAAAAAACAACACACAAAUGUGCAGUGUUGAUGACAGAUAAGUUCCGUGUCAGAACUCACCCCACGCGUCAUAUAUCGUACAUGGCGGUAAAAAAAAGCACCCGCCGAAUAAAUAUAAAUAAGCACUUUGUCAAGGCUGAAUGAAACAAAAUUAAUCUUCCAUCGUGGCGUAAGGAUUGCAUCUUCUGUGCCGGUUUCAAACCAUAUAUAUACGAUGCUGCCAAUUAUUAGGUUGAUGCGACAUAGGAUGUCUCCAUUGACUCAUCACUUGCCUUCAAUAUGUUUCAAACUGUAAGGAUUUUUGAAGUUCUAGUAACACGCACGUACGUAUUUAUUAAAUAAAAAAAAUCCCUCAAUAGCAAUCAAAUUUUGAUGACAGAAUUCAUGUCGUAUAGAUUUCAUGAUCUCAGGACAUGGUCAGGAAUGACAUAACAAAAUGGGGAAUCCUCUCGGGUACAUUUCCUAAUAUCUCAUAAAACAAAACUGCAGGCAUACAAAAGGUUGAAAUUUUUCCACGUCUCCAGCAAAAGCAUAUAUACAAACAGCUUUCCAAGUUACAUAGCAACUUGGAUAAUUUAUAGCUUCAAAUUACCUCAGUACAUGGAAAGCGAUCAUAAUGUUAAGUUCUUCGGACACAGUCAUUGCACCCAGCAAGCCAAAUAUAGCAAUACCGACAAGUCUAUCUUAAGUAGCAAGCUAAGAAGCCAGUUUUCACAUCCACAGUGAUCGAUGACAUCAGUGCUUAGUAGGGUAGGGGCGGUAAGGAUCGCAAUAGACAAACGCAAAACCUCCAGGGCGCGGAUGCAGCACACGGGAGUGAAGAUAGCACAUUUCACAGACUUUCUGCACAUGCUGAUGUCCACACGCAAAUAUCUUCUGUAUGCCAGGAUGUGGAACAUCAAAGCGCUUGUAGCACGUCUUGCAAAAGGAAUCCACUGCAAAAACACAGGAAGCCAAGCAAUAUAUAAAAAUGAGUAAAGCGAACGAUCGUGUGGUCUGUGUGAGAGAGGAAGAGGAAUAGGAUGAGGAGAGGGGGUUCAUACAUUUGCCACUACGACGAGUAGAGAACCCAAGAGGGAAACCCAAGACACUGUAGGAUUCAGUAACUGGUUCAUCUGAAAACAGAAGGAACAGAAGGCAAAAAUUAAUUUAUACAGAAAGCAUUACAAUGUAACCGCAAAGGUACUCAUGAGGUUUGUUUAUUAUAAUAAUAUAAAUAAGUGCAAACAGAUCAGAUCACAAUUGUAAUGAUCUUCUUCCAACGAGUACAUACGAGAUAGGUGUGUUGUAUAAAAGAGAAACAAGAAGAAAGAAGUAGAGCAUACCUAAGGGGGUGCAUGUGAAGACGCCAUCGAAAUCAUUUGUAUGAGCAAGCUCGAAGAAAAAGAGAGUCCUUGGAGCAGGAAGGAAUGAGAACCAACCAGAGCGCUUCUUACGAGCUACAAAGUUCCCAUGAGUCCAGCAAAUGCCAUUGUGAAAAUGGGCAUUCCGGUACACCUUGCCUGGAGCAGGCUCAUACUUAUUGCCCUGACUAAAACCAAUCCAAUCAUUCACGAGGUAAGGAAAUUGGCAAGUGUAGCAGGGCAAAAACAGUAACAAACACUAGAUUAAUGGGUUGCAUCGUCCUCUAAUCAAAAUUGGUGUUGAACCCUAAUCGGUAGACUUGUGAUCCUAAUCAGUACACAGGUUAAUCAUUAUACUUGUGAUCCUAAUCAGUACACAAGUUAAUCAUUAUACUUGUGAUCCUAACACAAGUUAGGACCUUGAUCAAUAUAGAUGCUUUGGCACCUAAUCAGUGCACAAGCUGCGCCCAUAAUCAGUACACAGUGCGACCAUAAUCAGUAUAUCUGCUGAAACCUUAAUCAGGAGACAAGCUGCAGACCUAUAAUUGGUAACGGAUGCAUCGACCCUAACCAAUGUACUGGCUGUGGCCUGUAAUCGGUAUGGGUGCAUGGACAACUAACAAAAAUGGAUGUUGAAGCACCGAGAUGUAUAUUUGUUGUGGCUCUUAUCUGAACAGAAGCCGCGACCUUGAUUAGUAUAGAUGAUGUAAGCCUAAUCAGUAGGUACGAGUAAAUGGAACCUGUGUUGUGCUUGGAUGCAUACCACGAAUCAUGCCCGUAGCUAAUUAACUAACAGCGAUAUACUUGGAGAGGAGACAUAGGCACAUAGUAGACUCAUUUUUCUAUUUUCCAAAAUCAAAGGCCCACUGUUUAGGCAAAAUAAUUAUUUGACACUUUGCAUGCGUAGCCAUUGAAAUGUUGUUAUUUAUUAUUUUUAUUUUAGGAUAAUCUGCCACUAUUUUGUGUCAAAUAUGGAAUACUGAAGAAAUUAACAAAUGGAUUAGUUUCUUUUUAAUCCGUAUGCACGCAAACAAAAAUCAGUAACAUAGCUGCAGGUAGCAUACUCUAGCGCUUGGGUCGGAGGUGCAUGCAUGCCUGUCUCUAGCAUGUGGUUCUUGUAUGGCUGCAUGCAGUGCGUGUCAGGUCCCCCCUUGCGACGGGUAGACAUGGCGUGUGGCGGGCAGGAGUGGGUGCGUGUGGGGUGGCGCGUCCGCGCAUGCGAGGGGGUUGGUUUGGUUCGUGGUGGGUUUGUUUAGUUCGCUGGACUGAUCCACGGUGUGUUUGUUAUUGCGUAAGAUAAAGUUGCUGCAUAGGCCUUGCACCCAUAUCAUUGCUGUAUGCAUCGAGGCGGGGGGACUUCAGCCUCGUCGGUUCAUGUCGCACUAUUUCCUGAAGGAAACCAUAUGGCAUACUUGGAGGAACGAGAUUUAUGGAUAUCGUUUACUAGGAGAUUUCGUCAACAAUCCUGGUAAUGCUGCGCGGUACCUUCGUGAGCCUGUCCAGAAAUGUUCCAAGGGGUCGGGCGAUACAUGAACAGACGUAUUCGGAACGUCAUGGAUCAAUCUGAAGCUGGUCCUGAUGUCCGUCUCUGCUCUAAGUGCCAUGAAGCCGGUCACACCUAUAAGAACUGCCCUGUGACGACAUAUGGAAGUGCGAGUAGCCAAGCUGGUGCAUCAAACGGUGAUAGAAUUGCUGCAGCGCGUGGUGGGGGUCGUCGUGCACGUAGCAACAAUGACGGACUUCUGUGAUUCAUGUGAUGUAUGUUUGUGAACUCAUUGUGUUUAAAGUUUCGAAAGUUGAUUUAAGUUGUGACUCAUGUGAUGUAUGUUUCUGAACUUGUGUUUUUAAGUUUGUGAAGUCGUUGUAAUAUGUAAUUCAGGCAAACCUUUCCGAAAUGUCAUGUAAUAUGUAACAUAAGUUGUAGUACUAUGACCAUGUAAAAUUUGCAUAUCGUGGACUACUUCAUUUGCAUUUUUUUAUUACAUUUAUGUUUUCAAGUCAUUAUUGUUUUGGGCACGUACUUAUUUGUUUCAUGUUGCAGGUCAUUCAUGUCUGCCGUUCGGGGUUCGAGGUUGGGCACGUUUCGAGCACGUAACCCGCUUUCGACGAUGCCGAUCGACACCUAUUGGAUUCUGAGGUACAUCGUAUUGAGUUAAAUUUAUAUAUUAAAUUGUAACAUUACAUUGUUUGAACUAAUUAAUUUUAUGCAUGGUACAGGUUACGCGCUCGGGCCUUCUCCCCCUAGCUAGGUUGGUUGAGGGGGACAUGGUUGACGCCGCUGCGCGGCCUAGGGAGAAGUCUACACGGUUCCACUUUGACAUGUCCCUGCUUCGACAUAUCACUUGAGGACAUCUCACUACUACUUGGCCUUCCUUGUGCGGGGUGUGCCGUUGCUGCGGUCGAUGUCCCACCUAGCUGGCAUAAUGAGCUAUUGGGCCGGUUUGCCGACGUUCACCACAAAGAUGGUGCCCCGCCAUACGUGACCUUCAGCUCGACACACGGGCCCACGAAGGCGUGGCUGUUGCAGUUCAGUGUGAGUUCUUAGUUACCUAAGUGUUCAAAUCAUUUUGUCUAAUUAUUGUUAAUUUAUCAACUAAUUGUUUUUUCUGGUGGUGCAGGCCACAUACAUGAGAGACGACGCCAACGAUGCCACGGUAGCGUGACACUUGGAGGCAUACCUGCUCUAGCUGUUUGGGUGGAUCAUGUUGUGCACGUCGCCGGGAAACUCGGUGCCUAAGCACCUACUUCCUUACGCUAGGUCCAUUGCGGAGGCCCCGCUCGACGACGUUCCGCGGUACAGCUAGGGUUCAGCUGUAUUGGCGGCCACCUACAGGGUCUUUGCACGGGCUGCUGCAAGGUAGCCUCGGUGGAGCCAAUAUUCCUUGGCUACCCGUUGCUGCUUCAGCUGUGGUCGUACGAGCGGUUCCUGAUCGGGCGGCCACGGAUUGAGAUGUCCCCCUACCCGAAGCUGCCUUUGGACCACGACAACGUUGACAGGCCCACGAUGGGGUCGUUGUGGUGCUUGAGGAAGGUACGGUGCUUCAUCUAUAAUUAUUUAUGAUGGAAUAAAUUCAUGAACUUUCUAUGGAAAAUGUACAUUGCCUAUAGUUAUUAGCAAUCACCUUUAUUGUCAUUUUAUUUGUUGCAGGGAUCGUGGGUUGGGGUGCAGACGAAGAAGUCGUAGCCGAACUUCAUCAGUCAGUUCGACGCUCUUGUCAACACCGACGUGAGGUGGAGACCCUACACCAUCGACAAGGUGCAGGCUCAUGCCCCGCAUGGCCUCUCUUCGUUGUGCCAUCGGGACAUGGAGUACUGAAGGACGACGAGGCCAUUGGUCUACGACAUCCACGUCGAGGACUACGCGGUUCACCGUGUGAUGAGGCAGUUUAGCCUGUACCAGCAGUCCCCACUUCCUGUUACGUCUGCAGUCCCGCCCGCCGUUCACAAGUACACCCCAUCCUUUAAUUCUUCUUCCAAUAACGAUUUUUAGUUUACCUAACUCGUUGCACGAUGGUUAUGUUCGGUCUAGCCCCUACAUUUUAGUCCUCGGUGGCCGGUGUGGCCGUUUUCAGGCCCCCGUGACCUAUACCACACGUUUUCAUGGCCGAAAACGCGUCCGGAGGCCAUUUUCACGACUUCGGCCCAUCCCCACGUUUUCGACCCUGGUGGCCGGUGUCGCAGUUUUUGGGCUCCUGUGACCUAUAACACAUGUUUUCAUGGCUGAACACACAUUCGGAGGCAAUUUUCACUUGUUCGGUCCAGCCCCCACAUUUUAGUCCUUGGUGGCCGGUGUGGCCAUUUUCGAGCUCCCAUGACCUAUAGCACACGUUCGCAUGGCCGAAAACGCGUCCAGAGAUCAUUUUGGCAUCUUCGGUCCAUCUCUCACGUUUUUAACCCUGGUGGCCAGUGUCUCUGUUUUCGGGGUCCCAUGACCUAUAAUACACGUUUUCUUGGCCGAACACGCAUUCGGAGGCAAUUUCCACUUGCUCGGUCCAACCCUUACAUUUUAGUCCUCGGUGGCCGGUGUUGCCAUUUUUGCGCUCCCGUGACUUGUAGCACACGUUUUCAUGGCCGAAAACGCAUUCAGAAACUAUUUUCACGUCUUCGAUCCAUUCCACACGUUUUCGACCCCGGUGGCCGGUGUCGUAGUUUUUGGGCUCCCGUGACCUAUAACACACGUUUUAAUGGCCUAACAUGCGUUCGGAGGCAAUUUUUACUUGUUCGGUCCAUCCCCUACAUUUUCAUCCUCGGUGGCCGGUGUGGCCGUUUUCGGGCUCCCGUGACCUAUAGCACAUGUUUUCAUGGCCGAAAACGCUUCCGGAGGCCAUUUUUACGUCUUCGGUCAAUCCCCCACGUUUUCGACCCCGGUGGCUGGUGUCGCUGUUUUUGGGCUCCCAUGACCUAUAACACACGUUUUCAUGACCGAACUUGCGUUCGGAUGCUAUUUUCACUUAUUCGGUCCAGCCCCUGCAUUUUAGUCCUCGGUGGCCGUUUUCAAGCUCCUGUGACCUAUAGCACACGUUUUCAUGGCUGAAAACGCGUCCGGAGGCCAUUUUCACGACUUUGGCCCAUCCCCCACGUUUUCAACCCCAGUGGCCGGUGUCGCAGUUUUCGGGCUCCCGUGACCACACACGUUUUCAUGGCUGAACACGUGUUCGGAGGCAAUUUUCACUUGUUCGGUCCAGCCCCAACAUUUUAGUCCUCAGUGGCCGGUGCGGCUGUUUUUGGGCUCCUGUGACCUAUAGCACACGUUCGCAUGGCCGAACACGCGUCCGGAGGCCAUUUUCACGUCUUCAGUCCAUCCCCCACGUUUUCGACCCCGGUGGCCGGUGUCGCUGUUUUCGGGCUCCCGUGACCUAUAACACACGUUUUCAUGGCCGAACACGCGUUCAGAGGCAAUUUUCACUUGUUUGGUCCAGCCCCUACAAUUUCAUCCUCGGUGGCCGGCGUGGUCGUUUUUUGCCUCCCGUGACCUAUAGCACACGUUUUCAUGGCCGAAAACGCGUCCUGAGGCCAUUUUCACAUCUUCGGUCCAUCCCUCGUAUUUUAAACCCCGGUGUUCGGUGUUGCAGUUUUCGGGCUCCCGUGACCAAUAACACACAUUUUCAUGGCCGAACACGUGUUCGGAGACAAUUUUCACUUGUUUGGUCCAACCCUACAUUUUAGUACUUGGUGGUCGAUGUGGCCGUUUUCGGGCACCCGUGACCUAUAGCACGUGCUUUCAUGGCCGAACAAGCGUCCGAAGGCCAUUUUCAUGUCUUCGAUCUUUCGACCUCAGUCGCCUGUGUCGCUGUUUUCGGGCUCCCGUGACCUAUAACACAUGUUUUAAUGGCCUAACACGCGUUAGGAGGCAAUUUUUACUUGUUCGGUCCAUCCCCUGCAUUUUCGUCCUCGGUGGCUGGUGUGGCCAUUUUCGGGCUCCCGUGACCUAUAGCACACGUUUUUAUUGCCAAAAAUGCGUCCGGACGCCAUUUUCAUGUCUUCGGUCCAACCCCCACGUUUUCAACCCUGGUGGCCGGUGUCGCAGUUUUCGGAAUCCCGUGACCUAUAACACACGUUUUCAUGGCCGAACACGCGUUCAGAGACAAUUUUCACUUGCUCGGUCCAGCCCCUACAAUUUAGUCCUCGGUGGCCGGUGUGGUCGUUUUCGGGCUCUCGUCACCCAUUGCACACGUUUUCAUGGCCAAAAAUGCGUCCGGAGGCCAUUUUCACGUCGUCGGUCCAUCCCUCACAUUUUCGACCCCGGUGGCUGGUGUCACAGUUUUCGGUCCCCAUGAUCUAUAACACACGUUUUCAUGGCCGAACACGCGUUCGGAGGUAAUUUUCACUUGUUCAUUCCAGCCCCUACUUUUUAGUCCUCGGUGGCUGGUGUGCCCAUUUUCGGGCUUCCGUGACUUAUAGCACACGUUUUCAGGGCCGAAAAUACGUCCGGAGGCUAUUUUCACGUUUUCGGUCCAUCCCCCACGUUUUCAACCCCGGUGGCCGGUGUCGCUGUUUUUGGGCUCCCGUGACCUACAACACAUGUUUUAAUGGUCGAACACGCGUUCGGAGGCCAUUUUCACUUGUUCGGUCUAGCCCCUACAUUUUAGUCCUUGGUGGCUGGUGUGGCCGUUUUCAGGCCCCCGUGACCUAUAGCACACGUUUUCGUCGCCGAAAAUACGUCCGGGGGCCAUUUUCACGACUUCGGCCCAUUGCCCACGUUUUCAACCCCGGUGGCCAGUGUCGCAGUUUUUGGGCUCCUGUGACCUAUAACACAUGUUUUCAUGGCCGAACACACGUUCGGAGGCAAUUUUCACUUGUUCGGUCCAGCCCCAACAUUUUAGUCCUCGGUGGCCGGUAUGGCUGUUUUCGGGCUCCCGUGACCUAUAGCACACGUUCGCAUGGCCGAAAACGCGUCUAGAGAUCAUUUUCACAUCUUCAGUCCAUCUCUCACAUUUUCGACCCCGGUGGCCGGUGUCGAUGUUUUCGGGCUCCCGUGACCUAUAACACACGUUUUCUUUGCCGAACACGCAUUCGGAGGCAAUUUUCACUUCCUCUGUCCAGCCCCUACAUUUUAGUCCUCGGUGGCCGGUGUUGGCGUUUUCGGGCUCCCAUGACCUAUAGCACACGUUUUCAUGGCCGAAAACGCGUUUGCAAGCCAUUUUCACUUUGGUCCGUCCCAACGUUUUCGACAUCGGUGGCCCGGGUCGUAGUUUUCGGGCUCCCGUGACCUACAGCACUUGUUUUAAUGGCCUAACACGCGUUCGGAGGAAAUUUUCAUUUGUUCCGUCCGUCCCCUACAUUUUCAUCCUCGGUGGCCGGUGUGGCCAUUUUCGGGCUCCCGUGACCUAUAGCACACAUUUUCAUGGCCGAAAACGCUUCCGGAGGCCAUUUUCACGUCUUCGGUCCAUCCCCCACCUUUUCGACCCCGGUGGCCGGUGUCGUUGUUUUUGGGCUCCCGUGACCUAUAACACACGUUUUCAUGGCUGAACAUGCGUCCGGAUGCCAUUUUCACUUGUUCGGUCCAGCCCCUGCAUUUUAGUCCUCGGUGGCCGGUGUGGCCGUUUUCAAGCUCCCAUGACCUAUAGCACACGUUUUCAUUGCCGAAAACGCAUCUGAAGGCCAUUUUCACGAUUUCGGCCCAUCCCCCACAUUUUCGACCCUAGUGGCCGGUGUCGUAGUUUUCGGGCUCCCUUGACCUAUAACACAUGUUUUCAUGGCCGAACACAUGUUCGGAGGCAAUUUUCACUUGUUCGGUCCAGCCCUAACAUUUUAGUCCUAGAUGGCCGGUGUGGCCGUUUUCGGGCUCCCGUGACCUAUAGCACACGUUCGCAUGGCCGAACACGCGUUCGGAGGCCAUUUUCACGUCUUCACUCCAUUCCCCACGUUUUCGACCCUGAUGGCCGGUGUCGCUGUUUUCAGGCUCCCAUGACCUAUAACACACGUUUUCAUGGCCGAACACGCGUUUGGAGGCAAUUUUCACUUGUUUGGUCCAGCCCCUAAAUUUUCAUCCUCGGUGGCCGGCGCGGUCGUUUUCGGGUUCCGUGACCUAUUGCGCAUGUUUUCAUGGCCGAAAACGCGUCCGAAGGCCAUUUUCACAUCUUCAGUCCAUCCCUCAUGUUUUCAACCCUACUGGUCGGUGUCGCUUCUUUCGGGCUCCCGUGACCUAUAACACACGUUUUCGUGGCCGAACACGCGUUCGGAGGCCAUUUUCACUUGCUCGGUCCAGUCCUACAUUUUAGUCCUCGGUGGCUGGUGUGGCCGUUUUCAGGCUCCCGUGACCUAUAGCACACGUUGUCAUGGCUGAAAACACGUCCAGAGGCCAUUUUCACCUCUUCGGUUCGUCCCCCACGUUUUUGACCCCGGUGGCCGGUGUCGCAGUUUUUGGGCUCCCGUGACCUAUACACAUGUUUUCAUGGCCGAACACGCGUUCGGAGGCAAUUUUCACUUUUUUAGUUCAGCCCCUACAUUUUAGUCCUUGGUGGCCAGUGUUGCCGUUUUCGGGCUCCCGUGAUCUAUAGCACACAUUUUCAUUGCCGAACACGCGUCCGGAGGCCAUUUUCAUGUCUUCGGUCUAUACCCCACGUUUUCGACCCUGGUGGCCAGUGUCGCUGUUUUCAGGCUCCUGUGACCUAUAACACACGUUUUCAUAGCCAAACACGCAUUCGGAAGCAAUUUUCACUUUUUCGGUCCAGCCCCUACAUUUUCAUUUUCGUCCUCGGUGGAUCCAUAGCUGAUGUAGGUAUCCGUGGUUUUUUAAUUUCCAGAGUAUAUCUGGCCUCAACCAUGACCUAUAGCACAUGUUUUUCAUCCGUCCUAGUCACUCCGGAGCCGGUGGAGGUGUCUGUGAAUUUUUAAUUUUCGUACGAUAUCUGGCCUCAACCAAGACCACACAUGUUUUUCAUCCUUUUUAGUCCAUUCGGAGCCGGUGGAGGUGUCUGUGGAUUUUUAAUUUUCGUACGAUAUCUGGUUUCAACCUUGACCUAUAGCACGUGUUUUCCUUCCUUCCUAGUCCAUCCGGAGCUGGUGGAGGUGUUUGUUGAUUUUUAAUUUUCGUACGAUAUCUGUCCUCAACCAUGACCUAUAGCACAUGGUUUUCGUCCUUACUACUCCAUCCGGAGCUAGUGGAGGUAUCUAUGGAUUUUUAAUUUUCAUACGAUAUCGAACCUCAACCAUGACCUAUAGCACAUGUUUUUCAUCCUUCCUAGUCCAUCCGGAACUGGUGGAGGUGUUUGUGGAUUUUUAAUUUUCGUACGAUAUCUGGCCUCAACCAUGAGCUAUAGCACAUGGUUUUCGCCCUUCCUACUCCAUCCGGAGCUAGUGGAGGUGUCUGUGGAUUUUGAAUUUCCGUACGAUAUUUGACCUCAACCAUGACCUAUAGCACAUGUUUUUCAUCCUUCCUAGUCCAUCCAUAGCUGGUCGAGGUGUCUGUGGAUUUUUAAUUUUCGUAGGAUAUCUGGCCACAACCAUGACCUAUUGCACAUAUUUUUCGUCCCUCCUAGUCCAUCCGGAGCUGGGGGAGUUGUUUGUGGAUUUUUAACUUUUGUACGAUAUCUGGCCUCAACCAUGACCUAUAGCACAUAUUUUUCGUCCUUUCUAUUCCAUCCGGAGCUGGUGGAGGUGUAUGUGGAUUUUUAAUUUUUCAUACGAUAUUUGGCCUCAACCAUGACCUAUAGCACAUAUUUUUCGCCGGAGCUGACGUAGGUGUCCAUAGUUUUUUAAUUUCCAGAGGAUAUCUGGCCUCAACCAUGAUCUAUAGCACAUAUUUUUCGUCCAUCCUAAUCCCUCCGGAGCCGGUGGAGGUGUUUGUGGAUUUUUAAUUUUCAUACGAUAUUUAGCCUCAACCAUGACCUAUAGCACAUGUUUUUCGUCUCUCCUAGUCUAUCCGAAGCCGGUGGAGGUGUCUAUGGAGGUCCAGUGGAGGUGUCAUCCUAGUCCAUGUGGCUAAAAAGAGGAAAGGGGUCCGCUGGAGAUGCUCUCAGCUGCUCCUCUGGGAUCACUACAUAUCCUUAUACUUCACAUCUUUGAAAGCAAUCAAAACUAGCAUGCAACAUAUAUUUUUUAGAUCAAGGAAUCUAUUUAGCAUGCAACAUAUAUGUGACCAAGAAUGUCGUAUCAAUAUAUAAACAGCUUACAUUUACACCAUUAUCCUAGGUUGACAAUUACACUAUCUUGCAUUGUUGCGCAUCUCUGUCUGUCGCAUAUCCUUUAAGCUGAAAAAUCCUUUGGCCCCAAUAAAUUAAUAUUGUUCUAAACUCAACAAAUAAAUGAGUCCGAUACUAUGUUUUCCUUUCAUCAUUCAACUGCACAUGCUAGCUCAAUACCGAAGUGAAUUCCCGGCGGCAAGAACAGAGUAGAAGACUGUGUUCCAGGUGUCAGGUACGCCGGCGACGCACCAGUGGGUGCAGUCCACACCUUGGAUGUCCCCGUUGUACUUGGUAGUGGGGCCAUCCUUCCUCAGCUGCGACAUGAAGGUGAUGUCCAGCAGGUGCACCGGCUUCGCCAUGCCGGCCAGGACUCUCCUCACGAUGCGUCCUGCGGGUUGGGUUGGGUUGGCCGUGGUAUGCCGCGGUGUUGUUCACCGGCAUCGUCUCCCCCACGCACGUCUUGCCCCAAGGCGCCCCCCAUUCCUGACCGCUGCACAGUUGCAUUGUCACCUUUGUUAGCGCAUGCAAGAAAAUUGAUGAAUGUAACAACAGCAAGCAAGAGAGACACAAGGAUUUGUUACCGGAGUUCAGCUUUACACUGCGAAAACUACGUCUCCGUUGAGGACCCACAAAGGGUGGGCUUGUACCACCAAACCACUUUCCUCCCUCUAGAGACCACAAAGAUCGAGCUAGAGUCAUUUACUCAAUCGUAGAGGUAAUACAAACUUUUCGGGACAUUCUAGACCACAAAGAUCGAGCUAGAGUCAUUUACUCAAUCGUAGAGGUAAUACAAACUUUUCGGAGCAGCAACAAAGCUUGGAUGCUCGUCCGGGCAACGCCUAGCUGGCUAGGAGCUUGAAGCUCCAAGAGUAACAAACGCGAGCCACCAGCUUGACGAAGAACGAAUGUGCUCAAGAGAUGGAGUUGCAGCUCACUUGCACAAUCCCUUGCCUACUCACUAAUCUCUCCUCAAAUCCCCACCAAAUCUCACAAGAAAGUCAAAGGGGAGGAAAGAGGGAGUUUUAGAGUGUUUCUGCAGUUUAGAACAGAAGAGAGGCAAGAGAGGGCGAAAAGGAGGGGGUGAGGGGGUAUUUAUACCCUUCACCCCAAAACUAGCCAUUAUAACAUAAGUUCCAGAGAUUUCCGUAACUUUCUCCGGAGAUUUCCAGAAUCUCUGGAAUUUUCCGGGAAAACUUCCGGAAAAAUCCAAACCUUCGAAGCCUCUCCGAAAACUCUCAUUUCCGGAAUAUUCCGAGAAAAUUUCUGGAACUCUCUUGUUAGCACAUCUGAAAAGCCCCAUGUGACAUGCAGGUGCAAAUGGUGUCUCUCAUAGAUUUUGUUAGGUCAUUUUGAGCACCUUUUUCAUCAUCAAGACCAAAGAUCAUGCAUCCCUCUUAAUAGUGUGGCAUUCCUAUACUCAAUUUCAAACCGAAAAUAAAUUUAAACUAGAUAAGAUGUCGUUCGUCGUUUGAUUUCCUUUUGAAAGGUCCAUCACAAGUGCUUCAUGACCAAUAAUCCAUUUAAACCUGCUAAUGCACUUGAAAUUUGGUUAGACAUUUAAGCUUGUGUCAUUAAAUCACCAAAACCCACUUAGGGGGCUAAGAUACUCUUCAGCCACCUACAACCUGAUGGCCGCCUACUUCCCAGUGGUGAUGGGUCCCGCCCCUCUCCUAUGGCGAGAGAACCUCCCGCCGAGCAGCAUCAACACCUAGGUCAACUCGCUAGAGUUUUCACCAAGAACUACCAGGCUACCUAGAGCCGACCUGGUAACAUGGAGAAUUUUGGGCAAGUCCGCCAACGAAAGAAUGAAACUCUCCGAGAGUACGUGAACCACUUCUUUGAGAACCGCAACAGGCUGGCCAACGUCGAGGACCACGACAUCAUUUGGUACUUCCGCUCCGACCUAACGGUCUGGUAGAUGAUGCAGCUCAUCAACGUCUAGGCCGACACAAAGGAGGCAACAAAAGUACAGUUCCAGGGUGGCAAGCAUCACUAGAACGACGACUACGAACUACCGACCCAUGAGGAGCACCAAGCAUGACCGGGGUCCUCCCGACUUCGAAAAAGGGCCCCCGAGGUCCUCACCGCUGAAGCCGACCCCGCUAGGCCGACUACCUUCCUCCAGGAAGAGUUUGAUGACACCCUGAAUGCUCCAUGCCCCUUCCAUAAGGACGCACGUCACAACCUUCAGAACUACACAGUCCUCAACAAAGAGCUCGGUGCCCCGGUGGAGUACAAGCAACCUCGCCGCAACGACUGCCUUAAGGACAACAACCAUUGUGAGAACGGAAGCCAGAAUGACUAUAAUGACCGCGGCGGCCGUCGCUACGAUGAUCGCCACCGCGACCAUUGCGACCACCGCCGUGAUGAUAGUGACGACCACGACCACCGCCGUGAUGAUCGUGAUGACCGCGACAACCGCCGAUGUGAUGAUCGCGAUGAUCAGCACAGAGAUGAGCAUCGCGACUAGCCAAACCUAGACGCCCACUGGUCCGGUGCCGACCAGAACGGGAAGUUCAGCAAUUGAACCAUGAAGUCAACAUCAUCGUGCGCGGCCCCAAGGCGUUCUGCAGCAACCGCAAACACAAGCUACAUCAGCGAGAGGUGCACAUAUUGCCAGUCUGGUAUCUACGCUGGUCGGAGAUGCCCAUAACCUUCUCCAAGGAGGAUCAUUGGGUACACAUUCUAGAUCCUGGGUUCUACUCAUUGGUGGUCUGCCUGACCAUAGACCAAGCUCUCCUCCCCAAAGUGCUAAUUGACGGCGACAGCAAGCUCAACAUCAUCUUCACCAAAUCCCUAUGGUGCAUGGACUUCAACUUAGACUGGCUCCAGCCCUGUGAAGACCCCUUCUACGGCAUUGUGCCUGACAAAUAAUCCUAUCCUAUCGGCCGAGUUGUUUUGCCAGUCACCUUUGGCACGCCUGACAACUACCGUACAGAGCACCUCACCUUCGAGGUAGCCAACUUCAAGACUUCCUACCAUGCCAUCUUUGGCAGGCCCAUGCUCGUGAGGUUCAUAAUGAUUCCGCAUCACACCUACCUCAUCCUCAAGAUGCGAGUUACAAAUGGUGUCCUCUCCAUCUAAGGUGACGUUGAGACAUCAUACAAGUGUGACACAGAGGCAGUACAGCUUGCUAAAGCCCUGGAGUACUCGGCCAAAGCCAUCGCCAUGCUCGCUGAGGCCCAGAAGGUGGACCAGACCUAGCUCACGAUCCCAAAGACGGAGCCAAUGCCCGCAACGCUGCAGCCCGACCCGAAGGUCAAGAAGAUCUGUCUCGGCCUGGAAGAUCCCUCCAAGAUAGCCCUCAUAGGGUUCGACCUCUUCGCCAAAUAGGAGCUCACGUUCACCAUUUUCCUCCAGGAAAACUUGAACAUAUUCGCGUGGAAGCCAUCUGAUAUGGCCGGUGUCCCGCGGGAGCUGGCUGAGCACUCCUUGGACUUGAACAAGACAGCAAGACCGGUCAAGCAAAAGCUUCAUCGUUUCGUCCAAGAUCACAAGGAGGCCAUUAUGGUAGAACUCAAUAAGCUCUUAGCUGUCGGAUUUAUUCAUGAAUGUAAGCACCCUGAAUAGUUAGCAAACCCAGUCCUUGUAAAAAAAGAAAACCGGUGAAUGGAGAAUGUGUAUCGAUUACACCGACCUCAACAACAAUUGCCCUAAGGACCCCUUCCCUCUUCCACGCAUGGACCAGAUCGUAGACUCUAUUGCUGGAAGCACCCUGAUGUGCUUCCUCGAUUGUUACUCGAGCUAUCACCAGAUCGCCCUCAUUUCUACCGACCAAGACAAGACAACGUUCAUAACGCCCUUCGGUAUCUAUUGCUACAACACCCUGACCUUUGGGUUAAAAAAUGCCGGCGCCACCCACCAAAAGGCAAUACAACGUUGCCUCACGAAGCAACUACACAAGAACGUUGAGGCCUACAUCGACGAUGUGGUCGUCAAGACUAAAGAUGAGGAGAGCUUCAUAACUGACCUUGCAGAAACCUUCGACAGCCUUCGAGCCUAUCAUUGGAAAGUCAAUCUGGGCAAAUGUGUCUUCGGUGUCCCAUGUGGAAAGCUCCCAGGCUUCUGGUCAGCCAGCGCGGCAUCGAAGCCAAUCCCGUCAAGGUUGACGCAAUCAGAAACAUGGCGAAGCUAGCUAACAAGAAAGACGCCAUGAAGCUUACUGGCAUGAUGGCGGUCCUCAGCUGCUUCAUCAGCAAACUCGGUGUAAAGGGUUUGCCCUUCUUCAAGCUACUCAAGAAGGUGGACAAGUUCAAGUGGGAUGACGAGGCUAGCAAGACGGUCGAAGAGCUCAAAGCUUUCCUUACGACUCCCCCCGUCAUGAUGGCCUCUACUGACCAAGAAACGCUACAACUCUACAUCUCUGCAACGACGCACGUUGUCAGCACUGUGCUAGUUGCAGAACGCGAAGAGCCCAGCCAUGCACACUGAUGAGGACCUCCCAGCAAAUGUGCCAAGCCAUGGACUAGCUGAAACAAGUCAAGCACCAAUUACACCAAUACAAGGACCCAUCACACAGAGUCGUGCAAGGAAACUGCAGGAAGAGGUGAACUAUCUCCUUACUAAAUUUGAUUACAAUACAAAUGAGAAUUUUAUACUACCUAAACGUUCUACUUUUGUAUUGCUAAGGUUUACGCAUAUUGGAGCUGCUGCUGGACCAAAGGAGACAAGUUACACCGAGAAGGAGACAAGUUACAGACUCCUGAGAUCAGAGCCAUGUUCCAAGAGACACACGCACAAAUUGGUCAAGAUUCACCAUGCAUAAUGCACAUGGACAGAAAGACAAUCAAGUCUAGUUUCAUCUCCAAUAAAUGGUUCGUCUUUUCGACUUUCCACUAAGGAGUAAUGACCAUUUAAGUGAAGACUACCAGGGAGGCUGAAGAUCACGUGAGGCUUCUCGGGAACUCCUGUUUUCACCUUUUCAUCUCCCUUUAUUUUUGUCAAAACUUAUAGAACUUUCACACCUAGCUAGGAAAGGUGUUCCUAGUAUAAAUACCUACUGUAUCUGAGCCAAAAAGAGCACGAUUAUGAACUAAGAAAAAUCCAUCAGAUGGUGUUUCCAGCCAAGAGCUGUUGAGUAACUUACCCCAAAUUUCUUGCGAGUUCUUCAUCGACUUGUGAGAGACUGAUUCACCGGUAUAUAUGUGAAGGUUCCUAUAGGACCCCCCUAAUCCGUGCUCUAUGGUUUCCAGUUAGGUUGCACCAUUUUGUGUGGAUUAGUCCCGGUUUGUGGUUCUACAGUCGUUUGGAGAUCGAGUCAAAGUCCAUCAAGGUUUAGGUGCCUCUCUCCCCAUCGCUUGGUCGCAACCAACCUUGACCAGGUCUAAAGCUACCUGAUUUGUGUUCUUGAGUUCGUGGAGAUCGAGUCGAGUUCAAGGAUUCGGUUCCUCUCUCCUCGUUACUUGGCCACAUUUCAACCUUUGUUAGCUAUAAAGCUAGCUAUCUCGCUGUUUUUUUCAGCAAGUUAUCUCUUGCCGUACCUACUGCCGUGAAGAUCGGGCCAACCCACGUGUUUUUCCCUAUCACACACAUGGUGCAGAGACCGGUCUACUACGUCAGCGAGGUUCUAAGCGACUCCAAAGUUCGCUACACACAGGUUCAGAAAUUGCUCUACACAAUCCUGAUCUCGUCUCGCAAGCUGCACCACUACUUCCAGGCGCACACGAUGCGGGUGGUAUCCUCGUAUCCACUCAGCGAAAUCCUCCACAACAGGGAUGUCAAUGACCGAGUUGUCAAGUGGUCUGUAGGGCUCGGUGAGUUUGAUCUUGAUUUCUGCUCACGUCAUGCGAUCAAGUCACAGAUCCUAGCCGAGUUCGUGGCUGAGUGGACAGAGAUCUAGAAGUCGCCCUCCCUGGAGAGGCCGGAACACUGGACCAUGUACUUUGACGGCGCCCUCAACCUCUAAGGAGCUGGCGCAGGGGUCCUCUUCAUAUCCCCCAAAGGCGAGCAACUCAAGUAUGUUCUCCGAAUCCACUACAAGGCCACCAAUAAUAGCGUCGUGUAUGAGGCUCUCAUCCACGGCCUCCGCAUGGCCAUUUCCCUUGGGAUCAAACGCAUCCUUGCCUACGGCGACUCCAAGAUCGUCAUCGAGUAGGUCAACAAGAACUAGGACUGCACCAAGGAAACCAUGGGUACUUACUGUGCGGAAAUCUGCAAACUUGAGGCCCACUUCGAUGGACUCGAGUUCCACCAUGUCCCCAAGGAACACAACGUCACCGUCGACGUCCUGUCCAAGCUCAACUCCAAGAGUGCACAAGUCCCGGUCGUGCGUAUUUAUACAAGAUCUCUGGAAACCUUCCAUCAAGAUUUUGGACCCGGACCUGGUCAACGACAGUACUGAGGCUCCGGCCGACCCAGCUCCCACUAACAUCAUGAUGAUUGAGGCAGAAGAAGACUGGCGCGCUCCGUUCAUAGCCUUGAUCACAGACCAGCUGGCACUAGAGGACAAGAUAGAACACGAGAAACUAGCUCGGCGCAGUACAAACUACAUUGUCAUUGGGAAGGAGCUCUACAGAAAGGCCGCAUCCAUAGGCAUCUUCAUGAAGUGCAUUCUGCGCAGCGAGGGCAUUGACCUCCUUCACGAGAUCCACUAAAGCACAUGCGGGAACCACGCCACCUCAGGCACUUUGGUCAACAAGGCAUUUUGCUCUGGCUUCUAUUGGCCAACAGCGGUAGCCGACGCAAAGGAGCUCGUCCAAAGGUGCAAAGGGUGUCAUUUCUUCUCUAAGGAACAGCACCUACCAGCCCAAGCCCUACGCACCAUUCCACAAUCCUGGUCCUUCGCAUGCUAGGGGCUGGAUAUGGUCAAACCAUUCAAGACCGCUCUGGGCGGCUACACUCAUAAAUUUGUGGUUGUUAUCAAGUUCACCAAAUGGAUUGAGGUCAGGACUGUCACCGGCAUCGAGUCAACCUUCUUCUUGAGAUUCCGUUUCGCCAUCACGGAGUGGCUUAUCAACGGAGACCACGAAAGCUUCACGAUUUGGUGUGAAGAGUUGCUCUCAUUGUCGCUUCCGUAUGGAUUUGGUGUCAAAACGAUUCGAGGCACCUGGAAUUGACCACAGUCCAGAAACUGGGCGGGUUCGGGUGAGUCUCCAGAUUGGCUCUAGAAAACUUGGUCGAGCUUGGCGGAGUAUUCGGCAGCCGAGUUCCAAAGACCGAAGAGGACACGGGACGGACCUUGCGCUGACCUUGUUGAACGUAGCGCCGCCGCAAACAAUUCUAUGCACUCAGCAAUAGUGCUGCUAAUGUGAUCUAGCCUCGCAAUUAGGUCAGAGGGCAUGGGUGGGCGGGCGAUUGUGAGUAGAUAUAGAACCCUUUCAGAGAGAGAGAGAGUUCGCCGACUUGCUGGGCAAGCAGUGUGACGAUCCCUGGGUAGAGAACUUGUCCCGCUGUAGCAGAUCUGAUGGAAGCCGAGCUAGUUGCGGACGCCGAGUCGACGGAAGAGGCGGUCGGAUCGAAAUCCGCCGGCAUGGUCCCGAAGCGAACCUAGAUCGGGUUGGUGAGGAAAUCCUUCAUGCUCUCGGGAAAAACUACACCGGGACAGGAUGCCAUCGAGGUUGCCAAGAGGAUCUCACAACCCCCGUACCUGGUGCACCAACUAUCAGAUUUAGUAGCCUGGCAGUCCACCAGGGGGUUACUCAAGUGGUUGAUUUGUAUGCAGAGAGGAUCGCGAGACCUAGAGCUUGAAGGUGAUCGCGAGAACACGAAAAAUACAAGGGUUUAGACAGGUUCAGACCUCCGGAGAGUAAUACCCUAUGUCGUGUAUGCUGGUGGUUCGUAUUGCUUUGCGCUGGUGCAUAGUUUAUAGAUUGGGUUGGAUUGCCCUUGGGGGGCUCCCUUGGUCGCCUUAUAUAGGCUGACGACCAAGAGUUAUAAGUUGGUUUGAAUCUAAUCUACUCGGUACUUACAUGGAGGUAAUCUGAGUUGGACUCCAAUACGUGUUCCACAAUAUCUGGGUAUAUUUGAAUUGUUUUGUUGCCUUAACAUGUACUCCAAGUAACUUCAUGUCCUUAGCCCGCAUGCCCUGGUCAGGCGAGCUCACUUGUCAGGUCCGGCCAGUAUCCUAGUCGGUGGGGAUCCUUGGGGUACCCAUAUCCCUCACAUGGAAGAGAUCACACACUGCUUUGGAGUUCCAAACAAGAUCAUCACCAACCUUGGCAAGUAGUUCACAAGCUACGAGUUCUGGGACCUUUGCCAGGACAACCUCAUCGAUGUGUACUACUCCUCAGUAGUGCACCCACGCUGCAACGGACAGGUCGAACGUGCGAAUGGGAUGGUCCUCAAGUCCCUUAAGUCUCACAUCUUCAACGACGCAUCCAAGUGCGCCACCAAGUGGCUACGUGAGCUACCAAAUGUCAUCUGGGGCCUACGGACCCAGAAAAGCCGGGCUAAUAGCUACACACUUUUCUUCAUGGUGUACGGCUUGGUGGCCAUCUUACCAUCCGACGUGGCCUUUGGCGCCCCACGCAUCCAGUAAUACGAGGAAGGCGAGGCAGAAACAAGUCGGCGGGUCAACAUUGACAGCCUCAAGGAGUACCGAGUGAUGGCUCUCAUCCAGCAUGCACGCCAUGAGCAGCAGAUACGGCGCUACCACAAUCGGAAUGUUAAAGAAUGCUCCUUCAACAUCGGUGACUAGGUGCUUCAUCAGAUCCAGUCCACCAAGGACAUGCACAAGCUGGCUGCCCCCUGGGAGGGCCCCUUCAUCGUCAAAGAAGUCAUCCAGCGAGGCACCUAUCGACUCCAAUGGGUAGACGUCUCAGGCGUCCCCAAUCUGUGGAACAUUGAGCAUCUACGGUGCUUCUACCCUUAAGGCUUAAAAGCUAUGUACUUUUUCCCCUUUCAUUGAAUGAAUAAAACCUCCAAGAUUUUUUGCGUCUCUACUGCCUUCCUGAUCCUUUGUCGAGCUAUUCCUGACGCUCGGUGGCUGUCUGACCUGUUCGACAGACCACUCACUCUCAAGCUCAGGGGCUUCCCCCAGGCACCGACCUUUGGGUCUUGCAUCCUUCUCCCCCCCUCUCAAGGCAAUACGACUAACUCAUGUGGUCGGUAUCCUAGCUUGCAAAACCUAGACAACCUUGCGUUUACCCUUCCUACAGCUCGAGAUCCGCUCUCAGCAGGAUGUUGGUCAGGCAAGGCUAAGCGCUUAGCGGCUACAUGACUCAGCUACACACUGUCCUAUCGUAUACACCAAGGAAGGGAUGGUUCUUUCCACAUACGUUAAAUCAAUUAUAUCAUAUGUUUUAUCAUACAAUUUGAUACACCACAAGUUUCAUUUUAUAUGUCCACAUCAUUAACAAUGUUUUCCGCUACAUCAUUAAACUGGUCAGCCAAUUCUGGAAGCUUCCCUGCGCUGAAGUCGGCCGCAACCCCUGCACCAGCACGCUCCAAGGGAAUCCGUGGGAAGUGUGUCUUCAACACUACUAAGACAUUCUUGACGCACUCCACCACGAUAUCCUUCAUCAGCUCCUUUAGCCGACCAGGCGCACUCCUAAGGCGAUCAAGAAGUGGAGUUGGCGCGGUCGGGUCGGUUUCCGGUUGGACCAUGUCCAUCACAUAGCUGGUAGCCUCGCGCAGAUCUUCCAGCUCCACCUCCAACCUUGCAAUCACUGAUUGGUCACACUAAAGACUUUGUAGUGCAGCUUCUAAGCAGCGGUCAGUAUCUUUGUGCAAGCCGGCGUCGUAAGCCAGCUUCUGCGACACAGUGUGCUCAUGGUGAACUGCCACGUCUGGCUCUUGCUAGAGACGAGCAUUCGAAUCCUUGCACUCUUUGAGGUGUCACUUGAGCCUUUGCUCCCCCACUUCAUCAUAUGCUCAUUCGACCAAGCAAACAUCAGUACAAAGACUUCAAGGACAGCACCGAGUAGAUAGGUCAGCACAAUGUACCUUUCAAGUGUGUAUCAAGAAUCUGUUCCCACAAGGCAUGGUCCAGGUCUUUUUUCUUCAGCUGCUCCGCGACCUUCUUGGGGUCAGCCUCAAGUUGCUUUGCCUUCAAGCGGUACUCCUCGGCCUACUGAAUCGCGUCUACCCUCUUAUGAGCACGUGCGGCCAGACCCUGUUUAAACUCUAAGAAUCAGAGCUUUGCAAAGGAACAAGAUUCAAGAUAUAGGUUUUCUGGGUUGGUAGGCAUACUUACAAAUAACAGCUCAGAGAUCCUUGAGGAUGACUGCCGCAACUCGGCAAGAUCUUUCUUGUCCCGCGCCGUAUCCCCCAGCAAGUUCAGUCCCGGAAAAGUCCAAGGUAUCAGGAUCUUCUCCUCCUUGCACGCCAACGCCAGCGUCCCCGAUAGACCUCUUCAGCAGCGGAUCAUGCCUAGGCAACUCUUCCCUGGACACCUGCUCAGCCCCAGAGCUGACCACAGCGGCAUCCGCAGCAACCGCACUUGAAGGUGUAAUAUCCCCGACUAUGCCUUGCUGCGGCACUAGGGUUGGUACAGCUGCUCUGGCGCUACCAUCUUGAUCCCUGACCUCCGAAGGUGACAACUGUUCAGGGACGCGACCGCUCGCCCCUUUAGCAUGGGUCGAGCAACUAGUUAGUUGCGCACCAGAUUCAUCAUCUAGUACGACUUUCCUGCAUUAUCAUUGUGAGAGGCAAUUUCAGCAAGACUGGCAGCAAAAGAACCACAAAACAAAUAAUAUAACCAGAUUCACUCACAUGGUGCCCUGCUUCACUCAGAACUUGGGGUGCAAGGGCGGUGGCGGCGACAACACACCUCCGCUCAGCCCCCCAUGGAUUUUCACCUUAAAUGUCUCCUUGAUCCACUUCGCGUCGACCGCGGUCAUCUCACGGAGCUCGGUCUUCUUCUUCUUGGUGGCUGGGCUUGGCGCGUCCGACUCAUCGGCCACUUCGCUGGUCGACCUACCCGUGGAGGUUGUCCUUGUGGCAGCCUUCUCCUUCCUACCAGCUGCCUUCUUCCUCUUGAAGCUUCUGAAUUUGGAGGUCGGAAGCUUAUGCACGAUCUGCUGUGUUCGGCGUCUAACUGAGGUGGAUUCCUCGACCCGGCCGACCUCUUCUUGCAUGUCCUCGUUCGACCCGAUGGAGGAGUCCGACUCCCAAUCAAGGCCGACAGGUGGUUCAUCGGACUCGGUGGUCGGGCAGAUCUUGGGUCGCUGUUGCUCGGCCCCUCCAGGAAGUGGCACCGGGCAAAAGAACUCAAAUUUGUUGUUCUGGUCAAUCAGCAAGAAUAGUUAGAGACAACACAAAAGCACAAUAGGAACACCAAAUCAAUGUAGUUAAGAUCAUACCGGGUCGACCGACCUCUUGAGGGAAUAUGCUUUGGGGCAGCUCUUGUUCUUGAUGAUACCACGAAAAAACUCGCUUACCCGAUUGGCGACUUCUUCCUUGGUCACCUUUCGCUGGACCUCCCAGGUUGGGUCUAGUGGCCCUGUAUACUCAUAUGCCAGAUGGACCCUAUUCUUGAUCGACUAUGUUAAUCUCUGACAGAAAUUGAUACUUACAGCCCCGGCUGUGAGUCCGCACGCUUCAGGUCAAUGAUCUUCUCUAGCAACUGCUUCACCUGCACCAUCUCCUCUGAGGUCGGCUGGUUCGACCACUCGGGCAUAGUGACUGGCGCAUAUCCGGUACACGACAGGAACUCGGGCUUAUGUUUGGUGACUGUAAACCAUUUUUUGUGCCAGUCCUUGUUGGAUUUCUUCAACUGGAGGUCGAAGUACUCCUGCACUUGCUUCGGCCACAGCAAAAACCCACAUCCGCCAAUCACUCGUGGCUUCCCCCUUGGUCGAUACAGAUUUCAACUGAUAUAGAUACUUCCACAUAUCAAAGUGUGUGUGUGUGGGGGGGGGAGGGGAUUCUGAAUCCAUGCUCAAAGAAUGAUGCGAAGACCACUGUCUCCGUCUUGUCCUCGCUGGGGAACUCUUGCCCGACGGUCGCCUUCCACUCGAGCAACGCUUUGGGCCCGAGGAGGUCCGAAUCGACGAGUGCCUAGAUGCGCUCCCCCGUCAUCACGAAUUUCACCCAGAUUGAGGAUGGAUCCGAUAAUUGUGCUUGAUCCAUUUCUUUGGUUUCUACUCCCUGGGAUUUGGAUCUAAUAACUGCGAGGCUCUUGAUUCAUAUACGAUGGCGCGACGGAUUGGGUGGUGGUGCAGAAGUGCGUGCAAGCAGAUUGGAAGGCGCGGCGACGUGGCCUAGGAUUCACGAAUGCGGCAGCGAUGUGCUCCGUGGACUGCGGUGGCAGCUACGCGAGUAUGGAAGAUGGAAAUGAAAAUGGAACCGUGCCCCUUGGGCCUUUGAAGGACAUGACGGCGUAACCCUGGCGACGAAAUCUGCGGGUUUUCCGUUAUUGGGAUGCACGCGCUGGACAUAAUCUGCAGGUUUUCCAUUAUGUUUGUCACAACGUGCCUUCGUGACUCCAUCAGUCCUCGCGCUCGCGCUCGUACUUGGGGGCUAGGCGCUUACUUCAGGUUGGCGUGCCUCCAUGGCUUCGCCAGUCCUCACGCUCACGCUAGGGGGUUGGGCGUCCACUUCAAAUCGGCGUACCUCCGUGUCUUCACCUAUCCUUGUGCUCAGGCAAUAGGAUCGACUUCUGGGAUCAAUUUUUUCUUCUUUUUUUGACUAUUGAGCCGAUUAUACUAAUCACUUCAAUGCUCGGGGGCUACUCCAUAUGGAGUGGUCUUGCGAUGUCCUCCAUGUCCUUCGCUUCGACCUACUAGAUGCCCAACAUCCAUCAACUCGGCACUCGACUUCGCUCUGCGUGUGUGGCUCUACGUUUGCUCGGAUUUUCUUAUUUUUUGAGCACUAUGCAGCCUCUCCGUCACUUUGACGCCAUCGUAGCUUCAGCCGACCACAUUUGAAGCUUCGCUGCGAUGAUCUCAGGUUCCUGUUAGCCUACACAUCGCUCGGGGCUUGAGAGAUAUGGGUACCCCAUGGGUCCCCACCGACCAGGAUACUGGCCGGUCCUAACAAGUGGGCCCACCCGAUCAGAACGUGCGGGCCAAGGACGUGAAAAUGCUUGGAGCACAAGUCAAGGAGCUCAGACAAUUCAAAUCAGUCCAAAUAUUACGGGAUACUUGUUGUAACCCGACUCAAAUUACUUUCCAUAUAACGACCGACUAGAUUCAAUCCAACUUAUAACCUUAGGUUGUCAGCCUAUAUAAGGCGGCCAAGGGCGCGUCCCUAGGGCACAUCAACUCUCCCCGAACAAUACCAGCAAUACAAUGCAACAAAACACAUGACGUAGGGUAUUACUCUCCGAAAGUCCAAACCUGUUUAAACUCUCGUGGUCUCGCGAUCCUCACUGACUACAAAUCAACCACUUGAAUAAUCCCAAUGGAUUGUCGGGCUACUAAAUCCGACACUUGGGUUUUCAAAGGCUUUUAGUGAUGUGGGAAAAUAAAUUGGGGUCAUAUAUUUGCAAUUUUGGUUUUCGGGUGGGGUUUUGUCUCCUCUUUCCAACUUCCGAUUCCGGAUCCCGAUGCUUAAGUUGACUUGAAUUUUAAACACCAAAUAUUAUGAUUAACACCUCAUAAUUUUAGAAAACAAACAUGCAACUCAUAAAUAUUGGAUGUAUUUUACUAAAUUUCCACAUAACUCAUUAAGGAAAUAUUAGAUACCUCUAAAAAAAAAUGUGCAAAGGUUUUGUUUUUCGACAAUUUUUUUUGUCAAUCCUAAAAUUAGAUAUUGAAAGUGUUUAUUGAGAAAACGCGGUUGUGGUAUUUGCGCCUCCAUCCAUCCAAUACAUUCAACCAAACUUAUGCCCAGCCCUCCCCUACCGCUACCGGACUCCCUCUCCGCAGCCACGGUUGCGCCUUCUCCGUCUGAGCUCAGCCGCUCAGCCACGGUUCCUCUCCUCCGAUUCAUGCUCGUCCAGCUCUUGUGUGUAGUGGUAGACGGCCGGUGACGAGGUGGGUCCUCUCCUCCUCCUGCUCCUCCUCCCUCUCUCGGAUUGAGGCAUGGUGGUGGCUGGGUUAGGGUUAGGGUUUCGGGUCUGGGGUUGUCGGGGGAGGGCUCCAUGGCCCGCGGGCUUAGAGGAGCGUCUGGCGGCGGCGGUAGGCGCGGCAGCGGUGUCGGAUCGAGGUUUGUGAGGCGGGGAGGCGGGGAGGCGUGGGCGCCGCCGGUCGGGUGGCGCACGACAACCGGCGGGAAGGGCAUACGGCGUGGGCGAGCGCCUUGUGGGUGGCGCGGCCGGCGGUGGCAGGGGCAGUUCGGGUUCAUUGAACCGGGACUGUGCAUGCCGUCGCCCCAAAUCUUGCAUGUGCAGUGGUUAAUAUUUUCGCAUAGAUUCCGAAUUUCGGAUGCCUGGGACCCCGUUGCGAGCCUUAGGAUCUGAGUGGUCGUUGUUGAGGAAGCUCGCCUUGCAUUGUUGCACACAAAUGAUGUUUGAUAAUUUAUUUAAAUCUUCUAGGAGUGUUAAAUUCGACCAAAUGUUUAAGUUGUUAUGUUGCACAAAGUUCUAUAGGCCUUGUACCUGUUUAUUGAAGGGCUUAAUUUGGUUUCCUAAUAAUUUGUGGAUGUGAUAUUCCUUUUCACAUCUAAUUUAUUUUUAUGCCUUUUGGUUUAUUUUGCAGCUGAAAAUAUAUUCUAGCUAAACCUGAUAAUGGCUAUGAUAGAUGAGCCUCUGUACCCGAUUGCUGUACUGAUCGAUGAACUGAAAAAUGAAGAUAUUCAGUUGCGCUUGAACUCCAUCAGAAAACUUUCUACGAUUGCCCGGGCACUGGGUGAAGAAAGAACAAGGAAGGAACUAAUUCCAUUCCUUAGUGAAAACAAUGAUGAUGAAGAUGAGGUGCUUCUUGCAAUGGCGGAAGAGUUGGGUGUGUUUAUUCCUUAUGUUGGAGGUGUAGAGCAUGCACACGUUUUGCUUCCACCACUCGAAACAUUGUGUACUGUGGAGGAAACCUGCGUCAGAGACAAGGCUGUGGAAUCACUGUGCCGGAUUGGAGCACAGAUGAAUGAAAGUGAUAUCGUGGACUGGUUCAUCCCUGUUGUAAAGGUAUGAUGAGUAUGUUUAUUGUUAAUAUAUUUCCAGCUUUCUUGUACAUUGUGAUGUAAAUGGCAGAAAAAAAGAAGCAUUCACAUUGAUUUAGGCUAAAGCAGUAGUUAUAUAUCUAUCUAUCUUAAUAGAAAUACACAUAAACCUGUUUUCCUAGUGCUUCUGUCAUUUUUUUAAAUUCUGCAUUCACUGCUGGUGCAUCAUAACACUAUGCAGAUGCUUAUUGAACAUAUUCAUGAAUUUAUAAUUUACAUUCUCAUUUAACAAGUUAAGAAAGGCUUCAAAUUGACAAAAUGUAUUGGAGGUAUAUUCCACUUCCACAGGAUCAUGUAACCUAUUGCAUUUAUAGUUUGAACAAUGUCUUUUCGAUCAUUAAUGAACUAGUUUUUCACCUAAUACACCGUCUUAUAACAAGAUAACAUAAAUAUUUUACAUUUUUCUUGUCAACAACAAUCAUCAUUUGGUGUUUGUUGUAUUGAUGGUAGGUUUACAAUGAUCAUUUAGCUGGUUCUGUUAGUUGAAACUACUAUUAAAUUUCUAGGAAACUAGUUUUCUACAUGUGCAUAUUACUUAAUCUUUAUUCUUAAGUUUAAGUUUUCAGUUAUGGAUUUAAAUAAAGUAGUUUAAAUUGUCACAAGCAUAGAAAAAAGAGCACUCCAUUCAAAUUAUAUAUCUUUCAUCUCUUUUAGUUAACUUAUUACAAACACAAAGAGCACUUGUGCAUGUGGGUACUGCAAUUUUUUCUAUAUUUUUUAACAAUGAAUUAAACAUACUUGUUCAAUUCAGAGAUUAGCGGCGGGCGAGUGGUUCACAGCUAGAGUGUCAUCAUGUGGCCUUUUUCAUAUCGCCUAUCCUAGCGCAUCUGAAUCACUGAAGGCAGAAUUAAGGACUAUUUAUGGUCAGUUAUGCCAAGACGACAUGCCUAUGGUGAGAAGAGCUGCUGCAUCCAAUCUUGGAAAGUUUUCUGCAACAGUUGAACAAAAUCAUUUGAAGACAGAAAUCAUGUCAAUAUUUGAUGAUCUUACACAAGAUGGUACAUCCUGGCAUCCUGUGGACAUUUUACCGCUAUUUUAUCAUAUCAUUUGUUUUUUACUGUGUAUGAUUUGCACUAGUUCUGUGUGUGCUAACUACUCAUUCACCUUCUCUUAGUUAUUUAAUUUUGUUCACAACAUGUUGUUAAGAAGCAUUUGAAUUACUUCUGCUGUUUGCUAUCUGCCUUUUGACUUUGGUAACUUUAAUGUUUCACCAACUUCACAGUAGUUGUUUCAUAUAGGCUACAGUGAAAUCUUUAAUAUUCUUUUAGCAGUUAGAUUUUCUGUAUGUAACACUCUAUGUAAUUUUCAAUCUAUCUAGAACAUGUAUAACAGGAUAUCCUGUUUUUUCUAUUGCAAUCUGUUGUUGCCAAUUUUAGAUUAGUUGCAAGCUUAAUUGUAUUAAUGGUAAAAUUAUGAAAUAGAAAUGCCUUUAUAUAUUGGGAUAUAAUUUUUUUGUUGGAAAGAUAGGAAUAUUUGCUACUUCAAGUAUUUUAAGUAACAUGUUAUCCUGAUUCCUGAAUAUUAGAACAUGAGUAAAGAUGUUACUUAUAAAAAAGAUGGUUAAAGUGUCAUUUCUAUUGUAUAUCCCCAUAUUGCGCCUUUUCACUUGAACCUACUUUUACAAACUUGUAUGAUGGUCAAUGAUCAUCAGGAUUCCUUCGGAUUGAAAAUGCUUGAACUAUGCUAUGCUUUAUGAACUCUCAUCAAACUUUUCUUUUUAUUUGCUUCAAGCUUUUCUUUUCAUAUCCUGGAAUGAUAAGCUUGUGUUAUCUGAAAUAAGUUUAUUCAAACCCAUCUGUUGCAUCUUCUAACAAGAAACUGUUUCUGAAUUUAUUAACUCAGACCAAGAUUCAGUUCGACUAUUGGCAGUUGAGGGUUGUGCUGCUCUUGGGAAGUUGUUGGAGCCCCAAGAUUGUGCAGUACAUAUUCUUCCGGUUAUUGUAAAUUUCUCGCAGGUAUAAUUUCCACACAUUGGGUGUCUUGUAAAUUUAUCAAUAUUCAUUUUCAUAAAAGUACUAGAUUAUAAGAUUAUCCUAAGUUUCAGCAACUAACCUACAUGAUUUGGGUUGCUUAUACUUUCUUAUCAUCCUUGUCAGGAUAAAUCUUGGCGCGUGCGCUACAUGGUGGCAAAUCAAUUGUAUGAACUGUGUGAAGCUGUUGGUCCUGAGCCCACAAGGUAUCAUGUGAAUCUUUCAUUAUGUCAGAAAUGGUGCUUUGACAUAAAUUUAUUAUUCCUGCAUAUGUGGAAAGGUUAAGCAACAUAAUGCUGGACUCCUUACCAUCAAGAUCAUUGCAUUUUGUAAUAGGGAUGAUCUGGUACAAGCAUAUGUUCGCGUCCUUCGUGACAAUGAGGCUGAAGUGCGGAUCGCGGCUGCUGGAAAAGUUACAAAAUUCUGCAAGAUAUUAAGCCCAGAAAUUGCAAUCCAACAUAUUCUUCCAUGUGUCAAGGUAUAUCUAGUGUCACACACAAGCUUGUUCAGUUCUGUACUGUUAAUUUUCAGAAGGCUUACUUGUGCCGGUUCUACCUGCAGGAACUAUCGUCAGAUUCAUCUCAGCAUGUUCGUUCGGCUUUGGCUUCAGUUAUUAUGGGAAUGGCUCCUGUGUUGGGAAAGGUGUGAGCUAUAUCAGUGAAUGCAUACAUUGCAUUGAUGGAGAAUUACACUUUAGUUAUCAGCUGAACAAGUUCUCUUUGUUUUGACGAGUAGCUUCCAAAUAAAUAUGGUUUUGUGGAAGAAACAUAACAAGAUGUCACCCCAUGGCUGUAUAACGGCCUUUUUUGGUGCUCCUGAGGUGGUGCUGAACUUUAGAUAGGUUAUUUUGGAAUACACUAUUCUACUUUUACAUCUGAAUCCAUUUGUUCUUUGUAGGAACUUUGCUUUUUUAAAUUCAUUUUCACAUUCAGCUGUUACUAAUUUUUUAACAAAUGUUUAUCUCUUUUUAAUGAUUUGAAUUCUAGAGAUGGACCCUUCCAUUUCAUUAGGAUGUUGGUACUACUAACUAUUUUGUUGGUAUUUGUUACUAUACAGCACUGCUGCUAAUUUUUUGUUGAUAUUUGUUACUGUACAUCAUUAGUGCUAAUCAUUUGUUGGUAUUUGUUACUAUAUACAGAAUUACUGCUAAUCAUUAUUGGCACUUGCUAGUAUACUGCUAAAAACUAACCUAUUUGUUCUCUGAUAGUACUGACAAUUCAAGCUUUCACCUUUUGUAGGAUGCCACUAUCGAACAACUUCUUCCCAUUUUCCUUUCUUUGCUGAAGGAUGAGUUCCCUGAUGUUCGACUCAACAUAAUAAGCAAACUUGAUCAAGUUAAUCAGGUCAGUGAUUUGCUACCCUGCCAAGCUAUGUAAUUUAAAGUAAAGUUUUUCUGCUUCGUCCACAAGUAGCAGCACUUGCGAGUUAGUUGUGUAGUUUUCAUGGCAUCUUACCCAUCCACCAAGUUCACUGGCAUGUAGUUCCUUUUUAAGUUCUGUUUAUUUACUUUAUAUCAUAUUAUUGGAAUCAAGUUUAGAUUAUUUCCUAGGGAUGCCAUUAUAUCCAUUUUGAAUCAAGCAAGAGCAGAAACUAUUCUAUACUCAACCCAAAUAUUUUGUCAUCCUAUAUUCCUAUUGCCCAGCCAUUUGGCCAUCCUUGUUAGAAAAUCAGCACAGAUUGAAGGUUUGCUUGCUGGUUUUGGGGCUGCAGGACCUGAGAUUUUUGAGCUGCAGUUGCCUGUGAUAAACUAAGUCAUGUGUGUGUUGGGUGUGCUAUUUAUCUAUCUAUGUGCCUGUGUGCACUUUAUCUACUUAGAUGCUCUUUAGACGCUCUAUAGAUGCUUUGCUUAGCUUCUAAGCCACCUACCCCAAUCUGCCCCUUUGUGGGUGUGUGGAAUGGAAACGAUCAUUUUGGGCUAACGAUUGGUAUUCAGAGCUUAAUUUCUUUCCUACCUACCCUCUCCUCUCUUCUCUCUCCCGUGUUCUUCUGUUCCUACCCGUACCCGAGCCCUUUCUCUCCUGUGCUUGCUAGGCCCACCUUCGGCGGCGGCGGCGGCGCACCCUCCCUGCUUAGAUCCGGUGGCUGGCUGGUCUCCUCCACCAUCCCAUAGCUCGGAUCCGGCGACGGCACCUCGGUUCUUCUCGGGCGGCGCGACUUCUAGGCGGGUGGCGGCACACAAGGCGAACGCGGGUGGCUCGGGCUCGGUGCAGCUCGGCGCGGCGCGGAUGCAAGCGGGCGGCGGCGCGUGGCAGCAGAGCACCCCGAGCUGUUCCUCGACAUGGCGGGCUCCAAGCGGGUGGUAGGAGGCGUGGAUGGCGCUGGUCUGGUGGCCGGAGCAGCUCUAGCCACCAGUGCAGCGCCCGUUUACGACGCGGGGUGUGCGGCUGGCGCGGUGCGUGCACGUCCGGCUCGCUCCCCGACCCGCUCGUGAGCCUCACGAGCCUCCUCCCACCACUCAGCCAUGACCAGUGGGCGGCGAUCGAGGCGGUGGUGGAGAAGCAGCGGCGGGAGGAGUGGUGCGUGGCGCGAUAGGAGUGGCGUGCUGAGGCGGCCGCGGUGGCAGCAGCGCAACUGCGCGACGCCGAGGCUCGAGAGGCGGCAGUAGCUCGGGUAGCGUGCGUGGCAGUUGUGGAGGUCGCGACAGCGCGUGCAGCCGAGGCAGCUCGCUAUGGAGGAGGCACAGGCGGCAGCAGGGGCCGCCACCCAGUGGUGUCUGGAGGUGAACUUACUGCGCGAGGAGGCAGAGGCGACGCACGAAAUGUCGCGGCACGACGAGAUGGAGCUGAGGCGCACGGUGCAGGGUGACCGUCUUGAGCUAGAGGAGGUGUAUCGGUGGUGAAAUGCGGGGGUGGACUGGUGGGUCCAGGACCUGUGUCGAGGCGCGGAUGGCGGGCGUCCUCGGAGCAGGUGGAGCUCCGUCCACGAGUCCGGCCUCGACUUCGACUCUAGCUCUGACCUUGACUUCGGGCACCGACCUUCGAAGGUCGUGAAGACUAUCAUCCGGGAGUCCGUCGGCAGCACGCAAUGGCCGAUGUUAACGAAGACCAACUUCAUGGAGUGAUCCUCGGUGAUGAAGGUGAAACUCCAUGUGCGGGAGAUGUGUGACGCGGUUCAGUACGGCGAUGUCGACAGCCACGUGGACCGUCGAGCGCUCGAGGCGUUGCUCGCCGUGGUCCUGAUGGAGAUGGUAGCAAACCUCUCGGGGAAGAGGACUGCCAAGCUCGAGCGCUCGCCGUGGUACCGAUGGAGAUAGCAGCGAACCUCUCGGGGAAGAGGACUGCCAAGGCCGCCUGGGGCGCUAUCGCGAGUUGGCAGCGAUCGUGCCUGCAAGUCCACUCUGCAGAAGCUUCGGCAGGAGUGGGAUCGUUUGGCUUUCGAGCCGGGCGAGGACGUUGAUGACUUCACCCUCCGCCUCUCUAGCCUGAUGCAGCAGCUGGAGCGGUACGGUGACGACGAGAUCAACGAGGAGAAAGCUGUUGCGAAGUUCCUGCGCGUCGUUUCGAAGUACUCGCAGCUCGCUAUCUCCAUCGAGACGCUGCUCGACUUCUCAGCAUUGUCGAUCGAGGAGCUGAUGGGGUGAUUCAAGGCGUUCGAUGACUGUGAAGAGAUGACGUCAUGCGGGCCUGUCACCAUUGGUGGCAAGCUCCACCCCACUGAGUAGUGGCUUGCUUGCUAGAGGGAGUGGAAGAAGGGGAGCCUUCUUCCUCAACAGACGGCCGAGGUGCGGAGGGUGGGGUGCGAGGAGGUGGGGCAUUGGCCGCGACGGCUCUCCACCUCGAUGAGCCACGCGCACACGUCUUACUUGGCGACGGUAGCAGUGACGACAAGAUCGACGACAGGUUCCUCGACAGUGGUGCCACGCACCACAUGACCGGGUGCAGGGAGUGCUUCUCCGACUUGAACGUCGACGUACGUGGUUUCGUCAAGUUCGGCGACUCUUCGGUCGUGAACAUCAAGGGCAUCGGCUCCGUCGAUCUCGUUGCCAAGAUUGGUGAGCACCGACUCCAAACUAGAGUCUUCUACAUCCCUGCGCUGAGAAACUCGAUCAUCAGUCUUGGAGUUGGAUGAGAGUGGCUCGCGCGUGGAGAUCGACGGCGGAGUGCUCCGGAUCCGGGAUCGACAACAGCGCCUACUCGCCAAGGUGGAGAGAGGGAGCAACCGCCUCUACCUCCUCUUCGCGGAGGUGGCGCAACCCUUUUGCCUUGCUGCUCGCCGCGACGGUGAGGCUUGGCGGUGGCACAAGCGCUUUAAACACCUCCACUUUUGAGGCCCUGAAGUGGCUCAGCAGCAAAGAGAUGGUGCCGGGCAUGUCGUGUGUCGACCACAUGGAGCAACUUUGUGACACCUGCGUCGUGACGAAGCAAAAGUGACGCCAUUUCCCUCCUAGGCGAGCUUCCGAGCCAAGGAGCGGCUCGAGCUCUUGAACAGCGACCUCCGUGGGCUGGUGACGCCGGCUACACCUGGAGGGCUGCGCUACUUCCUACUACUCGUCGACGACGUCUCCCUGUACAUGUGGAUGGUCGUCGUCGACACCAAGGGAGCUGCUGCGGACGCCAUCAAGCAUGUUCAAGCUGUCGCGGAGAAUAAGUGUGGCCGCGAGCUACGCGUGCUGCGCACCGAUAAUGGUGGCGAGUUCAUGACGGCUGAGUUUGCAUCGUACUGCACCGUACACCCCGCAGCAGAACGUUGUCGUCGAGAGGCACAACUAGAUGGUGGUGGCCAUGGCCCGGGCCCUCCUUAGGUACAGGAGGAUGCUGGCCAUCUUCUGGGGAGUGGUGGUGCUGAUGGUUGUCCACAUCCUCAACCGCUCGCCCACCAAGGCCCUCGACAAUAUGACACCAUACGGGACUUGGCAUAGGCGCAAGUUGGCGGUUGCCUACCUCCGCGUCUUCAGCUGCCUCGCGUACGUCAAGGAGUUGAGCCACGUUGGCAAGCUUGACGACAGGAGCACCCUAGGGGUGUUCAUCGGUUACGAUGAGGGGGUGAAGGCCUACCGCAUCCUUGACCCGGAGGCACAGCGUGCGCGCACGGCGCGCGACGUUGUGUUCGACGAAGGGCGAGGUUGGGCGACGUUGUGUUCGACGAAGGGCGAGGUUGGGCGUUGGGCAAGAUGGUGGAUGACGGCUCGACUCCGACGUACGACUUCACCGUCGACUACGUCCAUAUCGAGGGAGCUGGGGGAGUGGGCAGCUUUUCUUCGCCGAGCGUGCCUACCCUAAUCCUCGGGUCUCCACCGACUCCAGCGAGUACUUCGGCUGCGAUGAGCUCUCCACCGCCACCACCACCGAUCACGCCACUCUCCUACGCUCGUAGCUACUUCUUCGGGCACGCCUGCACCAUCACGGCUCACGACGAGCACAGUCCGGUGGAGUUUGCCACUCUGCUCUCUCACGACGAGGACCGCGUCGACGCGUACCACGAUGGUGAGCCUCUGAGGUAUCGCACCAUGGAGGACAUCCUCGGCGACCAGUCGGUGCCAGGACUAAUGCCUCACGACUUGGAGGUGGAGUUGCACCUCGCGUACAGGGACGGCGAGCCUCGCUCCUUCGCUGAGGCUGAGGGACAUGCGCCAUGGCGUGAUGCGAUGAAGCUGGAGAUGGAAGCUGUUGAGAAGAAUCGAACUUGGGAGCUAGUUUAUCUUCCUCCCGGUCACCGCGUGAUCACCCUUAAGUGGGUGUACAAGUUGAAGAAGGAUGAAGCUGGUGCUAUUGUCAAGCACAAGGCUCGCUUGGUGGCACGCGGGUUUGUGCAGCCGGAGGGGGUCGACUUCGAUGAUGCCUUUGCUCCUUAUGCAUGGAUGGAGUCCGUGCGUCUCCUCGCGCUGGUAGCUAGGAGGGCUGGCGUGUCCAUCGCAUGGAUGUCAAGUUAGCGUUCCUCAACGGCGACUUGAAGGAGGAGAUCUACGUCCACCAGCCGUCGGGAUUCAUCAUCCUCGACAUGGAGGACAAGGUGUUGCGCUUGCGCAAAGCCCUCUACGGCUUGCAGCAGGAACCACGAGCUUGGAAUGGCAAGCUGGAUUCCACCUUGAAGACUAUGGGCUUCGAGCAAAGCCCGCACGAGGUGGUUGUCUACUGGCGGGGCAACAGAGACAAUGCCCUGCUAGUGGGUGUCUACAUCGAUGAUUUGGUGAUCACGAGCACCAAGGAUGAGGAGGUGGAAGCGUUCAAGGAGGAGAUGAAGGCUGCCUUCCAGAUGAGUGACUUGGGGCCUCUCUCCUUCUACCUAGGGAUCGAGGAGCACCAGGACGACUCGAGCAUCACACUUCGACAGACUGCCUAUGCCAAGCGCGUCGUUUAGCUGGGUGGGCUCACCGACUGCAACUCGACUCUCACUCCGAUGGAGGAGAGGUUGAAGCUGAGCCACGACAGCACGGCUGAGGAGGUGGAUGCUACACCGUACCGGCACCUUGUGGGGAGCCUUCGCUACCUCGCCCACACGUGACAGUACUUGGCGUUCUCCGUCGGCUACGUCAGUCGGUUCAUGCAGCAACCGAUAGCGGAGCACCAGCAGGCCGUUGAGAGGAUCCUCCGCUAUGUCGCGGGGACUCUCGACUACGGCCUCCACUACCUGAGGUGUCCCGGGGCGGCACACUUCAUCAGCUAUAGCGACAUCGACCACGCCGGCGACAUCGACACCAGCAAGAGCAGGAGCGGGAUGUUCUUCUUCCUUAGCAAGUGCCUCGUUAGCUAGCAGUCGGUCAAGCAGCAGGUGGUGGCCCUGUCCAGCUGUGAGGCUGAGUACAUCGCUACUUCUUCCGCUUCGACUCAGGCUCUCUAGCUACAUCAACACCAAGGAUCAACUCGCUGACCUUACCAAGUCCCUUGGAAGGAUCAAGUUCCAGGAACUCUGCUCUAGGAUUGGGAUGGUCCAGUUGCCGCUCAAGACAUGCAAGACUUAGGGGGAGAUUGAUAGACUAAGUCGUGUGUGUUGGGUGUGCUAUUUAUCUAUCUAUGUGCCUGUGUGCACUUUAUCUACUUAGAUGCUUUAUAGAUGCUGCUUUGGUUAGCUUCUAAGCCACCUACCCAUGGUUGUCCUAUAUGUACCUCAAACUGCCCCUUUGUGGGUGUGUGGAAUGGAAAAGAUCAUUUUGGGCUAACAGCCUGACGGCUGACCCUUUGCUUCUUAUUUAUAGCUGAAAGGGAGCACUACAUAACAUCCCUAGUGGCUGUCUUACUAGACAAAAGACUUGAUCCGUUGACUUGACUCAAGCUUGCAGCGAAAGACUUCACUAGACUUACUGACCAAAGAAAAGAAACUGACCUAUGCUAACCUGAUCAGACAUUCAGAUUAGUACUAGUUAGAUAAGCUAAGGACACAUGCAUUACUACUAACAAUCCUAUGUUAGUUACUCAUUGCGUCUAAUUAUGUCCAUAACAUCUUUAUACCUUUGUUGUGCCACAUGCCGUCUUUUCUAUUGUAGCUUUGGUAUGUUGUGAUUUCAAAUUUAGAAUUUAAUAUGAGUAUAUAUGCUGUUCCUAGUCUUCUACAUGUUAAGUGUGUUGAUAAUAAAAUCUGGGGGCUUUUCGGAUCCUGCCCCCCGAAGGCCAAUUGUGGUUUUGCCCUCAUUUUUUUUAUUACUUUGUGAUUUUGCCAUGUUGGUCUCAAGUAAACUUGCUGCACAGUAAAGAUCACAAAAUGGAAACUACAAAGGAGCCUUUCAUUCAAGAAUGAUCAUCCUUUGUACUGUGAGGGUCGAUCCUCUUCUAUGGUCAGGAUGGGACUAUUUUACUUGCCCAAUUUAUCCCUACUCAACCACUGUAUUCCUUAGAAUGUGCCGUACACAAGGGUCAUCUAUGUAGACGUGUUCAAGUUGGCUUCUCACACCACUUGCUUUGGACCCUCGCUAGGGUCUAUCUUGGGACUCCGCCAUAGCCACAGGGCUCUUCCGCGAAGCCUCUGCGAGGCCUCCAUCUCUCGUCAAGGGUUCCUAAUCCUCUCAUGGCGUGGCUUCUGGCUCGGAGAUACGCCUUGAAGCUCGUCUUGAUGGACUUGGCACAUGAAACACAAUUAUCGAACAAGUAGGCAAGCGCUGUUAUCCGUUUAAAAGAUCGAAGGUCAUUCGCAAUCGACCUAAGCUCUGGUUCUUAUAAGCCUCGAACCUUAAGGUAAGGAAUUAUGUUUCUCUAUUUGGUAGCUCUUCCAAUUACCCGAGGGUUCCCAUGAGUGCAAGGGAAGUUGCAGUAUCAAAAUAAUAACCUGCAAGAAUAAGUUAACCAAGUGCUGACCCUGUGACAGACGCUCGAGGGUACCCACCGUUUUUGGCGAUCCCCAACAUGCCCGACUUUUCAAAAUGAAGAUUGAGUUUGCCCCUAUUCUGUUAAUAGCUCUUAAAGGUGUCUAUUUAGCUAUAAAAAGACAAGUUUGCUCAUGUGGGUUUACCCCUACCUUUAUGUCUCGACUCUUGAGCAACAUUACCUUUUCCCGGUUCAUUCAUUUCCAGUUGUAAGCUGCACUUGUAAGCUCUGCCAAUAAUUUUUUUCAGGUUAUUGGAAUCGACUUGCUGUCGCAAUCACUUCUACCAGCCAUUGUAGAGCUUGCUGAAGAUAGGCAUUGGAGAGUUCGGCUUGCCAUAAUCGAGUACAUACCUUUGUUGGCAAGCCAAUUAGGUGUUGGAUUUUUUGAUGACAAGUUGGGGGCACUUUGCAUGCAGUGGUUAGAAGAUAAGGUACAGUAACAAUUUCCUGAACCAAUGCCAUAUAACAUUCCAUUUGUUUCCCAAUUAUAUGUCUAAUUUUGGAUGACUGUCUUUUAUCUAUAAGUAGGAUACUUGAUUGAUCUUAUGAAAAUUCCAAAACAUUUGGUUUCAGGUUUUCUCAAUCAGGGAUGCUGCUGCCAACAAUUUAAAGCGUCUGGCAGAGGAAUUCAGUCCUGAGUGGGCAAUGCAGUAUAUAAUUCCUCAGGUUAGCCCUACAACUACUAAAAACAAAUAAUACGUUUGCUGAUACUUAUCUUAGUCUUGGUUGCCUUCCUCCUUGACCUUGAGAAGACAUGGUUUACUACAAGGGUGGUGGUUAACUAAAUUAGUUGAUUAGUUGAUGGGCAUGAUUGCAUGAAACUCAUGCUGAUCAGCUCUUAUGCAAUGGUUCCCCUAACCGUUCUUUCAUGCAUACUCGUGAAGAAAUCUAGUAGGAAAUUAGUCCCAGGAGGUUACUAAUAAAAAAUAUUCAGAAAGUGCUAGGUGAUAGGUAAGUGGCAGAGUGAGAUAUAGCGCCUAGUACCUAAACAGGGCAAGUUGGCUGCUUAGGUUGCACCUAGCGCCUAGGGGCCCUACGUGCCUGCCCAUUGGAACUGUGAUAGAUAAUAACCCCAGUUUCAAUGUCUAAGCUCACAGUAAUGAGGCAUAGUAGACCAAGUAAAUUAUUAAUAACGUUGGGUUGGACCUUAUGUGGCCUGACCAUAUGGCAUGGAGCUUGUAAACAUUUUUUUACCAUCAAACCUUAAGAAGAAGUCUUGCAAUAACUUAUGAUUAUCUAAAUGAAAUUGUGUUAUCUAUUAUAUACCUUUAUAGUCUAAUUUCUCCUUUGUAUUCUAGGUUUUGGAGAAGAUAAACAACCCACAUUAUCUGUACCGAAUGACCACUUUGCAAGCUAUUUCUUUGCUUGCUCCAGUCAUGGGUGCUGACAUCACAUGCCAACAGUUGCUCCCUGUUGUCAUCGCAUCCUCAAAGGAUAGGUGAGUCUUAAAUAGCUAACAUGUUGAGGCAUAAUCUCCGCAAGGCUCCACUGAUAGUCUUCAAUUGUUAGGGUGCCAAACAUGAAAUUCAAUGUUGCCAAAGUCCUGCAGUCGCUCAUACCCAUCCUUGAUCAAUCUGUAAGUUGGAGCCUUCAAACUCCUGUGAUCCUAUUUUCUUCAGCAUUAGGCUUUUUGCUGACUCCAUCAAAUGCUUCUUUGCAGGUUGUGGAGAAGACAGUGAAACCAUGCCUUGUUGAGCUCAGUGAGGACCCAGAUGUUGAUGUAAGGUACUAUGCAAACCAGGCCCUCCAGGCAUGUGACCAAAUGGUGAUGUCAACCUAACUAGCUUUGGCUGGUGUUUAGUAAAUGAUGGUAUUCCCCAUAGUCCAUUUUUUGAAUUACUUUAAAGUGCUCUGUAGUCUUCAUAAAUUAUUCUAGCACCAAUGACCUUUACACUUGUAAUAACAGUUUCUAUUAAACGUGUAUGUUUUUGGUUUAGGUUUUGUUUAGUUCUUGGAUUUAGUUGACCUUGGGGAAGUAGGCGGACACUGGACAUUUGUGUGCUUGAGCUGUGUAUGUCUUGUCUUGUUAGUUUCUGCUAGGUCAAUUGCUGCAUUAUGAUUUCCUCGCGUGGAAAGUGCAAUUCUAAUGAUUCCCUCGCAUUGUGAUUCCCUUCGAAAAAACAAGACCCACUUUCUAUAAGUUUCGACAUCAUUUAAUUUGUAUUGUCAAGUUAUGUCAACUCCUGUACUCCUUCCCUCGCAUGAAAAGUGCAAUAUCGUAUGAAAAUUAAAAUUCCACACUCAACUUUAGAAGCUCCGCAGGGAUUAGGAUAGACAUGCUAUAGGUCAGAGUUGAGGUCGGAGAAGAAAAACCUCCACUAGCUUCGAAUGGAGUAGGAAGGAUGAAAAUCAUGGGCUAUAGGUUAUGAUUGAGGUCAAAUAUUGUAUGAAAAUUAACAUUUUACACUCAACUCCAGAAGCUCCGGAGCGACUACAAAUGGACGAAAAACAUGUGCUAUAGGUCAUGGUUAGGGUCAGAUAUUGUACGAAAAUUAAAAAUCUAAAGAUACCUCCACCAGCUCCGGAUGGAGUAUGAAAAACGAAAACCAUGUACUAUAGGUCAUGGUUGAGACUAGAUAUUCUACGAAAAUUAAAAUUCCACACUAAACUCCAGAAGCUUGGGAGGGACUAGGACGGAUGAAAAACAUGUGAUAUAGGUCAUGAUUGAGGUCAGGUAUCCUUUUGAAAUUAAAAAACCACGGACACCUACAUCAGCUUAGGAUGCAGUAGGAAGGACGAAAAACAUGUGCUAUAGGUCAUGGUUGAGGUUAGAUAUUGUACAAAAAUUAAAAUUCCACACUCAACUCCAGAAGCUCUUGAGGGACUAGAAUGGACGAAAAACAUGUGCUAUAAGUUAUGGUUGAGGCCGAAUAUCAUACGAAAAUUAAAAAUCCACAGACAACUCCACCACCUUCGGAUGGAGUAGGAAGGAUGAAACCAUGUGCUAUAGAUCAUGGUUGUUGCCAGAUAUGUAUGAAAACUAAAAUUCCACACUCAACUCUAGAAGCUCCGGAGGGACUAGGACGGAUGAAAAACAUGUGCUAUAGGUCAUGGUUUAGGUCAGAUAUCGUACGAAAAUUAAAAUUUCACACUCAAUUCCUGAAGCUCAGGAGGGACUAAGCGGACGAAAAACGCCCGCACUGGCCACUGGAGACGAAAACGUGGGGGAUGGACCGAAGACGUGAAAAUGGCCUUCCGACGUGUUUUCAGCCAUGAAAACGUGUGCUGUUGGUCAUGGAACGCCAAAAACAGCUACACCGGCCAUAGGGGACGAAACGUGGGUGUCAGACCGAACGCUUGAAAAUGGCCUCCGGACGUGUGUUCGGCUAUGAAAACGUGUGUUAUAGGUCACGCGAGCUCGAAAACGGCCACAACAGACACCGGGUACGAAAACGUGGGGGAUGGAUCGAAUAACUGAAACUGGCCUCCGGACAUGUGUUGUAGGUCACGGGAGCCCGAAAACGGCCUUACUGGCCACUGGGGAUGAAAUCGUGUGUGUUUGGCAAGAAAACAUGUGUUAUAAGUCAUGGAAGGCGAAAAAACAGUUACACCAGCCACCUGGGACAACAACGUGGGUGUCAGACCGAACAAUUCAAAAUGGCCUCCGAACGCGUGUUCGGCCAUGAAAACGUGUGUUAUAUGUCACGCGAGCCCCAAAACAGACACACCGGACACCGGGUACAAAAACGUGGGGGAUGGACCAAAAACUGAAAAUGGCCUCCGGACGCGUGUUCGGCCAUGAAAACGUGUGCUAUAGGUCGUGGGAGCCUGAAAACGGCCUUACCGGCCACUGGGCACGAAAACGUGGGGGAUGGACCAAACAACUGAAAAUGGCCUCUAGAUGUGUGGUCGGCCAUGAAAACGUGUGUAUAGGUCAUAGAAGCCCAAAAAUGGCCGCACCGGCCACCGAGGUUGAAAACGUGGGGAUGGACCGAGGAUGUGAAAUUGGCCUCCGAACAUGGUUCGGCCAUGGAAACGUGUGUUGUAGGUCAUGGAUGGCCCAAAAUAGCUACACCGGACACCAGGCACGAAAACAUGGGAGAUGGACCGAAUAAUUGAAAAUUGCCUCCGGAUGUGUGUUCGGCCAUGAAAACAUGUGUUAUAGGUCACGGGAGCCCAAAAACGGCUGCAUCGGCCACCAGGGAUGAAGACGUGGGGGAUGGACUGAAGCUGUGAAAAUGGCCUCCGGAUGCGUGUUCGGCCAUGAAAACGUGUGCUAUAGGUCAUGGAAGGCCAAAAAAGGCUACACCGGCCACUAGGAUGCAAUCGUGGGUGUUAGACUGAACACUUCAAAAUGGCCUCCGGACGCAUGUUCGGCUAUGAAAACGUGUGUUAUAGGUGUCGCGAGCCCAGAAACGGCCACACCGGACACCGGGUACGAAAACGUGGGGGAUGGACCAAUAACUGAAAAUGGCUUCCGGACGCGUGUUCGGCCAUGAAAACAUGUGUUAUAUGUCGCAGGAGCCCGAAAGCGGCCGGUGUGGCCGCUAGGGACAAAAACGUAUGGGAUGGACCAAACAAAUGAAAAUGGCAUCUGGAUGUGUGUUCGGCCAUGAAAAUGUGUGUUAUAGGUCAAGGGAGCCCAAAAAUGGCCCCAUCGGCCACUCGUGACGAAAACGUGGGGGAUCGACUGAAGAUGUGUAAAUGGCGUCCAGACGCUUGUUCGGCCAUGAAAACAUGUGUUAUAGGUCACAGGAGCCCGAAAAUGGCCGCACCGACCACUGGGGACGAAAAGGAGGGAGAUGGACCGAAUAACCGAAAAUGGCCUCUGGACCAGCGUUCGGCAAGAAAACGUGUGCCAUAAGUCAUGGAAUGCGAAAAACAAUUACACCGGCCAUCGAGGAUGAAAACGUGGGUGUCAGACCUAACAAUUGAAAAUGGCCUCCUCACGCGUGUUCGGCCUUGCAAACGUGUGUUAUAGGUCACGCGAGGCCGAAAACGGCCACUCCGCACAUCGGGUACAGAAACAAAUAUGUGGGAUGGACCGAAUAACAGAAAAUGGCCUCAAGCUGUGUGGUCGGCCAUGAAAACAUGUGUUAUAGGUCACGGGAGCCAGAAAACGGCUGCACGGGCCACCGGGCACGAAAACGUGGGGAUGGACCGAAGACGUGAAAAUGGCCUCCAUAGGUCAAGUGAGCCCGAAAACGGCCACACCGGACAUUGGGGACUAAAACGUGGGGGAUGGACCGGAUAACUGAAAAUGGCCUCCGGACGUGUAUUUGGAGAUGAAAACGUGUGCUAUGUCAUGGAAGGCCAAAAAACGCCACACUGGACACCGGGUACGAAAACGUGGGUGUUAGAUCGAACACUUGAAAAUGGCCUCGAGACGGGUGUUCGGCCAUGAAAACGUGUGCUAUAGGUUAUGGAAGGCAAAAAACAGCUACACCGACCACCGGGGAUGAAAUCGUGGGUGUUAGACCGAACACUUCAAAAUGGCCUCUGAACGCAUGUUCGGCUAUGAAAACGUGUAUUAUAGGUCACACGAGCCCGAAAACGGCCACACUGGACACCUGGUACGAAAACGUGUGGGAUGGACCAAAUAACUAAAAAUGGUCUCCGGACGCUUGUUCGACCAUGAAAACGUGUGUUAUAGGUCGCGGGAGCCCGAAAACGGCCGCACCGGCCAUCGGGGAUGAAUAUGCAGGGAUGGACCUAAGACAUGUAAUUGGCCUCCAGAUGCGUGUUCAGCCAUGAAAACAUGUUCUAUAGGUUAAGGAAGGCCAAAAACAGCUACACCGGCCACCGGGGACGAAAAUGUGGGUGUCAGAUCGAACAAGUGAAAAUGGCCUCCGGACGCGUGUUCAGCCAUAAAAAUGUGUGCCGGAGAGGCACGUGACGACGACGCAGUCCAUCCGGACCCAGUCGGGAUGGGUGCUGACGGUGUCGGUGAGGACGUGGCCGGACAGUGAGUACUUGCCGAGGGUAAGGAGAAACUGGCUGCGCCGCCGCGUGUAGUUGCCGGUCUUCACGUUGAGGAUGACGGUGAAAAGGGCGCGGAUAUGAUGGAUAGCCACUGCCUGAGCAUGGAGCGCCAAGAGGUGGGCGGCUUCCUGAUGGAGGAGGGCGUCAUUGAGGUCAUCGGCGAAGAUGGUGUCAUCGGGGCGAGGGGGAUCGAGAGCGCGCUCCAGCGCCUCGUGCUCACGGGCAGCGGCGUCGACAGUAGCCUGCUCACGGGCAGUAGCCUCCUCGCGAGCAGCGACGACGACGGUGAGGACGCACUCAGCGGCCACGCGAGCACGGGCAUCGGCAGUCGUGGCGACGGCGGCGGCCUCGUGCUGCACCGCGUCGCGCUUAGAGGAAGCGGGGGCUGUGGCAGCAGCGCCGCUUGGGGCGCUAGGAGCGACAGCAGGGGCAUCCGAGGCGCCAGUAGGGGCGGCGAUAGGAGCACCGAGGGAGCCAGCCAUGGGAGAGAAGGCACGGUGUCGUGCGAAAAGCGGAAGCUGGAGACCUAGGGCUGAAACCUAGACUCGUGAUACCAUGAAAGAGAUAUUUAGGCGAGGAAAGAUUAGAUUGUUUAUACAGGAGCACAGGCUACAACCAUAUAUAGGCCUCGGGGACUAGGCGCAGGGGCAGCUAGGAACCCUAGCUGCCACCCUUGACUCGCUAGGGCCGGCGGUGCCCACAGGCAGGCUGCCUGCCAGCUCAUACACGAAGCAAGGCACGUAGGCCCACUAGUGUACAUACAGGUAAAUACAACCUAACAAAAAUGGAAGGCCAAAAAAGGCUACAUCGGCCGCCGGGGAUCAAAUCGUGGGUAUCAGACCGAACACUUAAAAAUACCCUCCAGACAUGUGUUCGGCUAUGAAAACGUGUGUUAUAGGUCACGCAAGUCCGAAAACAGCCACACUGAACACCGGGUUCGAAAACGUGGGGAAUGGACCGAAUAACUGAAAAUGACCUCCAGACGCGUGUUCGGGCAUGAAAACGUGUGUUAUAGGUCCUGGGAGAUCGAAAACGGCCACAUCGGACACAGGGGACGAAAACAUGGGGGAUGGACCGAACAACUUAAAAUGGCCUCAGGAUGUGUGUUCGGCCAUGGAAACGUGUUUUAUAGGUCACGGGAGCCCGAAAACGGUCGCAUCGGCCACCGGGGACAAAAACGUGCAGCAUGGACCGAAGAUGUGAAAAUAGCCUCCAGACACGUGUUUGGCAAGCAAACGUGUGCUAUAGGUCAUGGAAGGCCAAAAAAAGCUACACCGGCCACCGGGGUCAAAAACGUAGGUGUCAGACUGAACAAUUGAAAUGGACUCCGGACGUGUGUUCGUCCAUGAAAACGUGUGCUAUAGAUCAUGGAAGGCCAAAAAAGGCUACAUCGGCCACCGGGGAUGAAAUCGUGGGUGUCAGACCGAACACUUCAAAAUGGCCUCCGGACGCGUGUUCGGCUAUGAAAACGUGUGUUAGGUCAUGCGAGCCCGAAAACGGCCACUCCGCACAUCGGGUUCGAAAACGUGGGGAAUGGACCGAAUAACUGAAAAUAGCCUCCGGACGCGUGUUCGGGCAUGAAAACUUGUGCUAUAGAUCAUGGAAGGUGUGUUAUAGGUCACGCGAGCUCGAAAAUGGCCACACCGGCCACCGGAGAUGAAAUCAUGGGUGUGAGACCAAAUACUUGAAAAUAGCCUCUGGAUGUGUGUUCGGCUAUUAAAACGUGUGUUAUAAGUCACGGUAGCCCGAAAAAGGCUACACCGGCCACUUGGGACGAAAACAUGGGGGAUGGACCGAAGAUGUGAAAAUGGCCUCCAGACACGUGUUCGGCCAUGAAAACGUGUGCUAUAAGUCAUGGAAGGCCAAAAAUAGCUACACCAGCCACCGUGGAUGAAAACGGGGUGUCCGUGCUCGGCUAUGAAAACGUGUGUUAAAUGUCGUGGGAGCUCGAAAAUCGCCACACCGGACACCGGGUACGAAAACAUGGGGGAUGGAUCGAAUAACUAAAAAUGGCCUUCGGAUCUGUGUUCGGCCAUGAAAACGUGUGUUAUAUGUCGCGGGAGCCCAAAAACGGCCGCACCGGCCACCACGGACGAAAACGUGGGGAUGGACUAAAGAUGUGAAAAUGGCCUCCAGACGCGUGUUCGUUAAGAAAACGUGUGCUAUAGGUCAUGGAAGGCCAAAAACAGCUACACCGGCCACUGGGGAAGAAAUCGUGGGUGUCAGACCAAACACUUCAAAAUGGCCUCCGAAUGCAUGUUCAGCUAUGAAAACGUGUGUUAUAGGUCACACGAGCCCGAAAACGGCCACACCGGACACCUGGUACGAAAACGUGUCGGAUGGACCAAAUAACUGAAAAUGGUCUUCGGACGCUUGUUCGGCCAUGAAAACGUGUGUUACUGGUCGCGGGAGCCCGAAAACUGCCGCACCAGCCACCGGGGAUGAAAAUGCAGGGAUGGACCGAAGACGUGUAAUUGGCCUCCAGACGUGUGUUCGGCCAUGAAAACAUGUGCUAUAGGUUAUGGAAGGCCAAAAAUGGCUACACCGGCCACCGAGGACGAAAACGUGGUUGUAAGACCGAACAAGUGAAAAUGGACUCCGGAAGCAUGUUCGUCCAUGAAAACGUGUGCUAUAGCUAAUGGAAGGCCAAAAAUAGCUACACCGGCCACCGGAGACGAAAACGUGGGUGCCAGACCGAACGCUUGAAAAUGGCCUCCGGACACGUGUUCGACUAUGAAAACCUGUGUUAUAGGUCACGGGAGCCCGAAAACGGCCGCACCGGCCACCAUGGACAAAAACGUGGGGAUGGACCGAAGACGUGAAAAUGGCCUCCAAACGCGUGUUCAGCAAGAAAACCUGCGCUAUAAGUCUUUGAAGGCCAAAAAAAGCUACACCGGCCACUGGGGAUGAAAAUGUGGGUGUCAGACCGAACAAGUGAAAAUGGCCUCCGGACGCGUGUUAGGCCAUGAAAACUUGAGCUAUAGGUCAUCGAAGGCAAAAAAAGCUACACUGGCCACCGGGGAUGAAAUCGUGGGUGUUAGACCGAACACUUCCAAAUGGCCUCCGGAAGCGUGUUCGGCUAUGAAAGCGUGUGUUAGGUCACGCAUGUUCGUUAAGAAAACGUGUGCUAUAGGUCAUGGAAGGUCAAAAACAACUACACCGGCCACUGGGGAAGAAAUUGUAGGUGUCAGACCGAACACUUCAAAAUGGCCGGAGGCACGCGGAGGCACGCGGGGUCACUAGCAAGGGAGGGCGGUCGCGCACCGUAGGUAGCUUUGGGGCUGGGGUUGUGCGCAGCUGCCAGUGAGACAAGAGUGGCUUGCGCCAGCAGGCAGCCAGGGUGUGGUGCCAGCGAUAGUGGCAUGGGAGAAUAGCCGGCGCACCAUGCCGGAUCUAGAUGGAGGAUGAGGAGGACGCCUAGAGGAGACGGCCUGCGGGACCUUUUUGCAAAAUCAUCAAGAAUUGCUCCAAGGACUAUGGCAUGGGGAAGGGAGGGAGAGGGCGGCGGAGAAGAGGAAACCGGCGGCAGACUGGAAGACGAGCUCACGAAAGGGGAUGGCGCUGCCCCAGACCUGCCGCGACGCCUCCUCCGACCACGUCGCGGCCUCCUCGUGUGCGGCGGCUGGCCGCCGCCGGCAGGCAGACCACGCCGCGGCCUCCUCGUGCGACUGGGAGAGGAGCUCAAGGAAGGGAUAGGACACGGAAGGAUGGAUGCCACAGGGACUUCUUAGCAAAAACAACAAGUGCUCAACCAAGGACUACGGGUUGAUUAUCAAAAAUUUAAGGGUUUUUUUGCAAAAUGACCAUGAUGGUUGGAAGAAACGACGGUUGGAAGAAAUAACCGCACUUUAAUAUUAGGUAUAGAUUGUCUUGGUCAAAAUAAGAAAACAAGGCCAGGGAGCUUCUCACGUGAGGAGGUCCCCACGUCGUCCCCGCUCGGGCGACAUGGGCGGCACCCGUGACCUCAGCCUCCGUCGCCCCCUCCCUCUCCUCCCCUCCCCUGCCACAGCCGGAGGGGCUGCCGAAGCCAGUGUGGGCCCCUAUGAUGGAGGCGGUGGGGCAUCUUCCUCGCUAGGGCUGCGCGCACUAGUAGGACUGUGCGGAGCAGCUCCGCUAGCAGGGUGACGGCGCGGCGAGGGGCGGCGGAUCCGGCACCUUGGUGGCCGGAUACGACCAUCCCGGUGCCUGAUCUGCGUGGAGAAGAGGGUUGCGGGCGAGCAGCACGGCAUGCAGCAGCAAGAUGGCUAGAGAAGGCGGUGGUGGUUGUGGCCAUGGAGGCCUUCUUGGCACCGGCGAGGAGGAGGCCGCGGCCGGAGGGUGUUGAGUAGGACGUGCUGCUGCUCGGCAAAGGUGAGCAAUAAGCGCGGCGAUGGCGGGGAGCUGCAAGUCGGGUGGCCGCCCCCUCCCCCCUCCCCCAAGCAAGUGGCGACAGCGGUUGCGGCCAUGGAGGCCUUCAGGGCACCGGCGAGGAGGAGGCCACGGCCGGCGGGAGCCGAGGAGCCGACGUGCUGCUGCUCGGCAGAGGCGAGCAACGAGGGCGGUGAUGGUGGGGAGCUGCAGGCUGGGUGGCUGCCCCCCUGAGUAGGUGGCGGUGGCGGUCCUAGCGCCGACAAGGAGGAGGCCGCGGUCGGCGGGAGUUGAGGAGCCGAACGUGCUACUGCUCGGUAGAGGCGAGCAACGAUGACGGGGAGCUACAGGCGGGGUGGCUGCCCUGCCCCCCCCCCCCAAACCCCUAUCUGGUGGCUGCGCCAAGUUCCACCGGCGGGGGACCGGGCAACUGGCUAUGUGGCGGCAUUCUUCGGCUCCUUGGCGCCCGGUGGUCUGUGCUCCUAGUGGCGGCAGUGAUUUCUGGGGAGGGAAUUGUAGGGAUACGAGGUAGGCUACACUAGCGCAAAUCAAAAUUUUCUACCGCGUAAACAAGGAAAACUGCCGUAUAAGGAUCACGGGAUUACCACUCGACGCACUGGUGCGGAAGAUGUAGAUUCGCGUCGAUGCAGCGAAGUCGAUCAGCGUAGUCGUACGUAGUCGAUCACGUCGACGUCCAGCAGCUCCUCAGCAGCUCGUCCACGUGCAGCAAGAUCGCCCUCGUGCCGCGGCUCGUCGUCGGCUAGUCGUGGCUUGUCGGCGGCUCGUCCAAGUGCUGCAGGCACAACUCCUCCAAGGUAUCCACACAUGCAGGGAGGAAGCGUUGCAAGCCGGACUGCUAGAUCUGUGAGUUGCAACAGGCGAGGGCGUGGGAGGCGCGGCAGAUGUCUUUCGCCAAAAGGUGUAAACCCUAGGGCGCCCCCACCCCUCUAUUUAUAGAGGUUCCUAACGGGCCUCUAGGUCCGAGGCCCAUUAGUACUUCUAAACCUAAUCCAACUCGGAUCACAUCCGAAUUGGGCUUCCAGCCCCUUAAGUGUGUGACCCUAUGGGUUCGGAUACGUAUAGACAUGGCCCGAGUACUCCUAUUCGGCCCAAUAGUCGGUAGCGGCCUCUAACAAGACGUGUCAACUCCUAUACGCACACGAAGAUCAUAUCAGACGAACCAUCACAACAUUAUAUACAUGCUAUUCCCUUUGCCUCACGAUAUUUGGUCUAGCUUCAAGCCGACCGCUCUUUCUCGAUCCUAUGAUUCGGAAUCCCUUUGUAGGUUAACUCUUAACCAUACGUAGCAUGGCCAUGCAUUUUCGGAUCCGAUCACUCGAGGGGCCUAGAGAUAUCACUCUCAAUCAGAGAGGGGCAAAUCCCAUCUUGAUUGACCAUGUCUCAUAGCAUGCUUCUUGACAAACCCGAAAGCUACCUUUAUAACUACCCUGUUACGGCGUAGCGUUUGAUAGCCCCUAAGUAAGUCGAUCCACAUCUUGAGUACAUGCGACAAUCUCAGGUCUAAGGACAAAGCGUAUAUGUUGUGUAAAGAGAGAACUACUUCUCGUGUUGGGUCAGUCCUAGCACAUGUCUCCACAUGUGCCCACAUUAUUAGUUCAACAUCUCCAUGUCCAUGACUUGUGAAACAUAGUCAUCAACUAAUACAUGUGCUAGUCUAAUAUUCAUGUGUGUCCUCACAUGAACACCGACUAGGGACAACUUUAGAAUAACCAUACAAGUAAAGAGUUUCACAUACAAUUCACAUAAUUGCAAAUCAAUUCAAGUAGCCUUUAAUGGAUAUUCAACGAACACAAUAUAAAUCAUGGAUACAAAUGGAAUAUCAUCAUCUCUAUGAUUGCCUCUAGGGCAUACCUCCAACAGGAAUGGGGUGUAGGCGAAAGCCUUGUGCCUGCUUGCGGGUCAAUGAUGGCGACGCCCCCGGGCACCGCUUCCCUUCUUGAAGGCAUCAUUCAUUCCCCCUUUUCCCUCCCCUACGGUGAGCUUCCGGGUGAAAGCCUUGAACGUGUUGGUCAGACAACAACGGCGCCAGUGGUGUCGCCCCCUCCUUUGAGGUGUUGUCUUGGAAGCUCAGUGGGUUCUUACUGCCACCACUGCAGGGAUCGUUGCCGAACACCGCCCCCAGUCGUCUCCAGCCGGGCGCCUGCCUUCGCUUUGAUUUGUCCACCUUGCCCGGGUUGCUUAGGUUGUCGUCGUCCGGCGGAUGCUUUGCGGCCCCCUCUUCUCUGGCAGACGUCAUUGGUUGCUUAGGGCGGAUGCUUUGCCACUGUCAUUGGUUGUUUCAGGCAGAUGUUUUGCCGCCGUUGUUGGUUGCUUUGGGCGGAUUCUUUGCCGCUAUGGUUGUACUGGUUGGGUGGAUGCGUUGCCACCGUUGUUCAAACCGUGUGCAUGUGCCCGGUUGGCCCGCAUUGUGUGCGUGCGCCCGGUUGGCCCACGUUGUAACGUUUCUAAACGUUAUUUCUUCUUAAUACAAAGAUACGCAGCUCUCCUGUAUAUUCACGAAAAAAACCCUUGAGCUGAUCAGAUGCUAGAAUUUAUGCUCUAUUGCCAUCACACCGUUGAUUUAAGAGGACACUGACUAAGUUAUUCAGUACUUAUAGCAGGCCGGCUCCGGCAGACCAGGAAAUGAAAACUUAGGCAAUGGGUGGUUCUUUUCAUAUAAAACUUGUACAAAUCUUAAAGCAAAUAUAUGGUUAAUUCAUUAUCCUCUCCAACGAGCACUCACGGCGGCGGCGAGUCAACAUCCAAGUACCCCUAGUUCGUGCUCCCCAUUCCAUUGUGCCUCAAAAUCAUUUUUGGGAAUGGGAAGUGCUGAAAUCCGCAUUUACAGCAUAACAAGCACCUCAUUUGCAGGUUUCCAUGAACACAAAUUCAGAGAAUGUUUCCUUUUUGUCUGCUAAUAGGGGAAAAAAGAAUUAAUUGCAGUCUAAUCACUCACUUGGUCUCGACUCUCCACAACGUUUCAGAACAAAUAGACAUUAACAUAUGCGGUAGACAUAUGGAUGGAGCCGUUGGGAGAAGAUGAACAUAUGCGGGAAGUAGAACGCCACCACAAAUCCCACCACGAACCCAGCAGCCGAGCCAAUAAUGAACUCGUCGUUGAUCCUGCGUGAUCCCAGACACGCUUUGUUUGUAUUGCCACAAUCAUCCAACGGUGGACCGCAAAGCCCUUGAUUAUUACCAGCAAAGUUGGAUGCUGGGAACUUGGAUAAGAAUGAAGGAAUAAGCCCAGAUAACUGGUUAUCUGCGACAUUGAGAGAUGUUAACCGAAGAAUCUCAUCGAAUUGUCUUGGAAUUUGACCACUGAGUUGGUUGUGCUGAAUGUUUAGGACGUUCAGGUCCAUAUUGCAGAUGCCUAUUGGAAUUUCACCUGAAAACCUGUUGUACGAGAGAUCCAGAAAUGUCAAGUAUGUCACCUGCCGUGUGAUGUUCAAAGGGAUGGGCCCUGAAAAAUUGUUAUUUGACAGGUCAAGGCUGACUAGACUAGUGCAAUACUCAAGACCCUGAGGAAAUUGGCCUUGAAGCCCGAGGUUGCUUAGACUCAGCGAAAGAAACCUGUCAUCUUCAUCAGGCUGCCAACAUUCCACACCAGUAAAGCCGCAUAUGAAUCUGCUGAAAUUCCAUGAGGAUUUCAAUAUGCCCCUAGGAUCAAUCACUGAUUUCUGUAAAGUCUUCAAGCAGGUUACAUCAAGUUCGGAACCGAAACAAAAUGAUGAGCUGCUCAAAAGCAGAAACCAAAGGAGGAACUUGAUACCACCGACCAUCCAAGACAUGGUUCCACUCAAAGCUGUGAAAGGAUAUCCAAAACCUUCUCUUGCUUAUUGCUUAAAAAAAACUUCUCUUGUAAUGAAGAAAUAGUGUUCCUACACAGGCACAAAAUAUGGUGAUGCCUACCUGCAUAAGUGAGAAAAAAAAACAAGAACUCGAAAUAUUAGUUUUUUUUCUCCAUAUGUGUAGCAGCGCCAUCACUAGAUGUUCAACAGUCGUGUAAAAUCUGAAACAGAGGAUGUGUUUCAGGAGAAUUACCGGCUCUUAGUUGAUCCAGGCAAAGCAGAACUGCACAAGGCAUCACCCGCGACAGAUGAAAGGGGAGAUCAAUCCCUUCUGUUAAAUGUUAGGGUUAAUUGCACCUAGUGUCGGAUGGAGACGAGAUGGAAAGCGAAGGAGAUGGGAGUAUGGGACGACGUCGCCGUGUCGGUGGGGAGAAGUUUAUAUCUCCUCGCGUGAAAUUGGGCAGCCACGCACUUGCCAAUUGGCGUCUACCGUGUUUGACUAACACGGCGCCGGUCGUGACGCUGUUGUCUUCCGCGUUGGCGCGCCACCAACUGCACUCACGUCUGCAUUGUUUUUACUACGCAUUUGCUGUACUGCAAACGGCAUGAGAUGCCUUCUCCGAACAUGGCCGCGAUGAUCAAGAUGCGUUCACAGAUGUACUAAGCAUCUUUCGCCAGUUAUUACAUUCAUGAUAAGCCGUUGCUCGAGAGGGUUCAUGGACGACAUGAUGUAUGCAGUAUGCAGAUAUCCUAAAGCUCGAUUGAAACUAAGUACUUCCCAUGUUUUACAAGCUGCCACGCCAGAGAUGGUUUUGGAAAUUUUAAGUGUUGAAAUGUGCAGUGCAAACGAAACUUCUCAUUUGCGAAACUGCCGAGUGCACAAAUUAACUGAAAACCAAAGUGCUGGUAAAUGUUAAAGAAAGAACCAGUGUUGCAGAUGCUCAUUUAGCCUCCAGAGAUGAUUGAUGUCAGAAUAUGCGGAAGAAGUACGGGCGGAGCCUCUGGGAGAAAAAUGAAGCAGGGGGGGAAGUAGAAAGCCACCACGAAGCCUACCACCAACCCGACAGCCACGCCAAUACUGGACUCGUCGCUGAUCCAUUUGCUUCUACGGUCACAUGCAGCCAACGGUGCACCACAAAGCCCUUGGUUACCAGCAAAGUUUGAAGGCGGAAACAUCUGCAAAUGCAACGGAAUAGGACCAGAUAAUUGGUUGUCUGCAACAUUGAACAAAAAUAACCUAGAAAACUCGUAUCGAUCUGAAAUUUGGCCACUGAGUUGGUUGUGUUGAAGGUUGAGAGUGUUCAGGUAUGUGAUGUUUGAGAUACCGAUUGGGAGUUCACCCGAAAAUUUAUUAUAUGAGAGGUCAAAGACGUCAGACUGGACAGCUGCCAUGCCAUAUUGGAAGGGAUGGCUCCUGAAAAAUUGUUACUCGACAAGUCCAGGCCGGUCAUGCUUGUACAAUUCUCGAGACCUUGAGGAAAUUGGCCUCAAGACCCAGGUUGCUGAGACGCAAAGAGAGAACCCUGUUCUCAAAAGGGUGCCAGCAUUCCACGCCCGUAAAAUGGCAAAUGAAACCCGCGAUGUUGUUCUCAAAAUUCCAUGAGGAUUUCAGGAUGCUGUUGGGAUCGAUGUGUUGACGCAAAAUCUAGACCUCAGGCUUCUGCGUUGAACAAUAUGGAGGAUCUGUGAAAUCUACUUAACCCCAGUGCAGGCUCUAAAUCGGCUUGCGAGUGGUGCAAGGCGUGCCAGUCAAUUUGAAGGUAAACAUUAAAUUUCUAAGCCGAUCGGCGGCAAAGCCUCUCGAGCUCAUGAGUAGACGUUCUGGGAAUAAACACCACAAUAGAUAGAUAUUUAAUGUAAGCAUGUGGUGUAAAUACAUGAAACAUUAAUGGCAUGUGCCAUUGGCUAUAUCAGCUAACGGACUAAGAUAAAGCAUUGUAAUACAACAGCCAUGAAAGGGAAGCCCUUAUUAAUCACGUGCUUAUUAGAUAAGCUAACAAAUCUGGCCAAUGUCUUGAUAAUUGUAUUGAACUCAGACAAGGUAACACGAAUGAGAAGGCAUUGUCAUCAAUUUACUAACUUAAAAGAUUAGAACAUAGCAACAGACCAGCCGAUGCUAACUGUACGCAAGUUAGAUACAUUAUCAGACCUCAAUUAAUGUCUUGGUAAGGGUAUUGAACUUAGAAAAGGCAACACGAAUGAGAGGGCAUUAACCUCGAUCUGACAAUAUAAAAGACUAGAGCACAAGCACCAAAGACCUUUUGCCUACCGCUUACGAGCCUAUUAAGGUAACAAAGUCUAAUCAAUGUCAUGAUUGUAUAAUUGAACUUAGACAAGGUAACACGGUGAGAGGGCAUUAACUUCGACCCGUUAAUCUUAACAGACAAGCUCGCAGCAGCAAGGCCUUAUUAGAGUCGAUAGGCAAUAUAACCAACGAAGAACAGUAGAUCAAACUCAGGGGACACAAGAUUUUAAUGUGGAAAACCCUUCCUCCUUGGAAGAGGAAAAACCACAGGCGCCAGCCAACAAAUCUUCACUAUAUCAAGUGAGGUUACAAACGUCGGGGAUUUACAACUAUUUCAACUUAUCCCAAAUGGCGGCCGCUCCGUCCGAAAUCGACCUUUAUGUAUAUAUAACUGAAUUUGGAUCAUAACUCAACAAACUCCACCUUGAGACAAAUUCCUUCUUGUAGCAUAAAAUGAACCUUCACCCUGAAACAACAAAGAGAACACUUUCGGCACCAAAUAGCCUCAUGGGCAAAAUAGUUAUACCAACUAAGCUUGAGAAAAGCUCAAACUUAGCAACAGGAACUGGCUUUGUCAUUGUAUCAGCAGGAUUAUCAUGAGUGCUUAUCUUGCAUACCUUCAGCUUACCUUGCACGACAACAUCGCGAACAUAAUGGUAUUUGACAUCAAUGUGCUUUGUUCUCUCAUGGGACGUCUGAUCUUUAGUGAGAUAUAUGGCACUUUGACUGUCACAAAAUAGAUUAAUGCAAGAAUCAUCUCCACAAGCUCAACAAACAAACUUUUCAACCAAACUGAUUCUUUACAUACUUCAGCAAUAGCCGUGUAUUCUGCUUCAGCGGUAGACUGGGCAACAACGGGCUACAAUGUUGCCCUCCAACUCACGGCACAACCACCAAUAGUGAACACGUAACCUGUGAGGGAUCUCCGCUUAUCCAAAUCGGUAGCAAAAUCUGAAUUCAUGUAGCCAAUGAGUCCCUCAUCAGUCCUGCCAAACUUCAAACAAGCAUCUGUUGUGCCAUGAAGGUAUCUGAAAAUCCACUAAACAACCUUCCAAUGUUCUUUACCAGGAUUAGCUAUGUAUCUACUAACCAAACUCAUAGCAUAGGAUAAAUCAGGACGGGAGCAAACCAUGGCAUACAUCAAAGAACCAACAGCACUAGAAUAUGGAACUCUUGACAUGUACUCAAAAUCCUCAUCAGUAAUAGCACAUUGUAAAGCUAAUAAUUUAAAAUGAGGUGCAAUAGGAGUACUAACAAACUUUGCAUCAUGCAUGUUAAAAUGAUGCAGAACUUUCUUACUAUAACUUUGCUCACUAAGAAAUAACAAAUCAGAAUUUCUGUUUCUGGUAAUCUCCAUACCUAGAAUUUUCUUAGCAGCACCAAGAUCCUUCAUCUCAAACUCACUACUCAACUGUUUCUUCAACGUAGUGAUUUCUUUCUUGCUCUUGGCAGCAAUCAACAUAUCAUCAACAUAUAAUAGCAAGUAUAUAGGUGAUCCAUCAACAAAUUUAAUGUACACACAGCUACCAAAUUCAGACCUCUUAAAGCCAUGUGACAACAUAAAAGAAUCAAACCUUUUAUACCAUUGACGAGGAGGCUAUUUCAAACCAUAUAAGGACCUCUUUAAUUUGCAAACAUGAUCCUCCUUACCAGGUACUAUGAACCCUUCUAGCUGGUCCAUGUAUAUCUCAUCCUCGAGCUCUCCAUGUAGAAACGCAGUCUUUACAUCUAACUGCUCAAGCUCAAGAUCACGCAUAGAAACAAUACUGAAAAAUAUACGAAUUGAACUAUGCUUUACAACUGGAGAGAAUACAUCAUUAUAAUCAACACCAGGAAUCUUACUGAUGCCUUUUGCUACUAACCUUGCCUUAAACCUCGAAGGCUCACUGGGAGAUAAACCCUCCUUUCUCUUGAAGAUCCAUUUGCAAUGGAUGGCCUUCUUUUGUUUAGGCAAGCACACAACAUUCCAUGUGCCAUUUUUCUCAAGUGACUGCAUCUCUUCUUGCAUAGAGGAAAUCCACUUCUCGCGGUCACCAGAACCAACAACUUCAGUGUAUGUAGCUGGCUCAUGAGUGUUCUCCACCUGUUCAGCACAACUAAAAGCAUAAUGAACCAUAUCACAUUCCUCAAUUAAACGUGGACGAGGUCCACAAUUCCUCUUUGUUCUGCGAUCUGCAAUAGACUAAUUUUGUGGCUGCAAAACAGGAGGUGAGUGCUGAACAGUAUCAUGAACAUCAUUAUCAAUAAUUUCAGUUUCCUGAUCAUCUACGUGCUCCACCUGCACGCUAACAUGUUGUUGCUCCUCAUCAGAACUAACUGGCGAAACAUCUGUGGAUAAGCUGUCAUUAAACAUAACAGAUUCAUUGAAAACAACGCUCCUUCUCAUGAAAGUCUUUUUAGUUUCAGGAUUCCAUAACUUAUAUCCUUUUACUCCAGAACCAUAACCAAGAAACAGACACUUAAUGGCUCUAGGUUCUAGCUUUCCAUUAUCAACAUGAGCAUAAGUAGUGCAACCAAAAACUCUCAACUGUGAAUAAUCAGCAGGCGUACCAGACCAUACCUCAAUGGGAGUUUUCUUAUUAAGUGGGAUAGAAGGCGACCUGUUGAUCAAGUAGCAGGUGGUGUUAGCAGCCUCUGCCCAAAAAUGCCUGUUCAUACGAGUGUUGGACAGCAUGCAACGAGCCUUUGAGAUGAUGGUUCUAUUCAUGCGCUCAAACACACCAUUCUGUUGAGGAGUGUACGGGAUGGUGUGGCGCCUGACAAUGCCUUCCAUCUUGUAGUAAUCAUUAAAAGCAUCUGCUUUGCUUCGGCCCAAGCCUCCGGGGACGGGCCUCGCUUUGCUCUGUCCGAAGUUGGCCUUUAUGUAUAUAUAACUGAAUUUGGAUCAUAACUUAGCAGGCCUCGCAUGCGGCCCUAUCGUCUCAAUGAUGUCAUCAUGCUUCCAUGAGAUACGAAUAAGACCCGACCAAAGCAUCGGCUCUCAAUGGUAGCACGCUGACGUCAGAAGCCUGACGGUUAGAAAUAAGAGGGGUAGGGGUAAGGAUCUAUCAGACCUAGCAUAUAUAUAAAGUAUUAAAAUCAUGCAGAGUCUACCAGCCAACACGAUCUGAUAACUUCGAACAUUUAAACAAGGCAAGGGAGCCGAUGAAGACAACCUAACCAGAUCUAAGUCGUUCGAUAACUUGAGCAACGUCGAAAAGAAGCAGAAUAUUGGACAAAGCCUAAAAAGUUCUACUUGCAAUCUAAGAUAAUUCGAUAACUAGCUACAUGACAAUAUCAGAAUAUAAGACUUAACUUAGAAAGUUCUUAUAGAGGUCGUAAUGACCGGGUGACGGUACUUACAAGCUCACCCGAGAUCGAAGCCGAUGCAGCCUUGCGCGCUAGAAGAAACUCGUUGAAUCUACUCUACUUCUACUCCUAGGGUUUUGGUGGCAUGGCGCCGAAAGGUUGUAUUCAUUGAUCGAUCGUUUUUCUUUACAAGGGUGACAACCCUAGUAAUUAAGCAGCUAAAUUAGGGAAUCAUCGAAGUGAUUAAGAAACUAAAUCAAAGAAUCAACAAAGGGUAAUUAAGGUAUUAAGCACCUAAAUCACACUUAACUCUACAUUUUUGCCGCUUGCACUUUCAAAUACCAUUCAACUUCAUAAAAAUACCGCAAAGGGCAAAAGCAAGCAAAAUAGGGCCAACCAAGGAGCUAAAUAGGAAAAACUAGCAAAUUAAUUUGAGAAGGUAGAAAACACACCCAAAGUUUGAAUCCAAACUUUUGAAAACCUUUCAAAUUCACCAAGUGUUAAGAAAGUUCCUCGAAAGCACUAAAAAGGGGUAAGAGUGGAAAAUCAAAUUUCAUAUGACAACAUAAAUUUUGGUCAAUAUAAAAGUUGUAGAACAAUUCAAGAAAAACAUCUUUUGUUAUUAGCACUUCUUCUGAUUUUGAGAAGAAGAGGUUCAAAAUUAAGUAGAAGUCAUGCAUUGUUAAUUUCACAGAAAUUGUUGUUUAUUGUUAAAAAUUCAAAUUUGUGAAGGAACUCUAAUUUUUUUCACACAACUAUGCCCCCAAUUAUUUUAUUUGAAUACUACACACCAUUUAGUGAUUUUAAAAUAUUUUUACCAAAUUUUUCAGAGAUGUUUGGAUGGGUUAAAAAUUCAUUUAAAAUUCAAUUUUAGCUGUUUUGUUUUGGCGAUUUUGUGCAAACUAUAAUAGCUUUUGAGUUGAUUCUUGUGGCAAUGGAUUCUUGGUGAUUUUGUAUUUCCAACGAGUAUUUUUGGAGAAUUUUUGGACACCAGUAGCUAGGUCUUUUAAGGAGACAAAGUUGGCAUGAUGUUUUUCUUGGCCGGGCCCACUCGUGAGGCCACCUUCUCCUUCCUCACGUCACCAAAAAGCAUGCCGUUGGCCUGCAGGGGCUGAGCUCCACCUGGCCGGCACCCAUGGGAGCUUCCCUCCCCACCAAUCCGCGCGCCCCAUGGUGAGUUACUCCGACCGUCCUUAUCCUCACCAUCCUCCUCCUAUUUAAGGACCGGUUCCCCUCUCCUCCAAUCCUCCCUGUACAGACUGCAAAGCUCCAUUGUUUCCCCAAGUUUUGCUGCCCAAAUUCAUCGCCGUGGUGAGCUCUCAGCUCGAUUCCUCGCGGCGAUAGCAUCCCCAAGCCGUCGCGCCUCCGUUUUGCCCCUUCCCGAGCUCCCUCCCUCGCCGGGCAACCCUCUCCGCAGGAGCCCCCAUCCGCCCCUUCCUCCGCCACGGAAACUCCUUGCACCACCCCUUCUUCCUCGUCGCCACGCCACUGGUGAGCACCUCCUUGGCCCUAUGCGCCGCCCCUCUCCCUCCCCUAGCAACACCCCUUCCUUUCCCCCUGUUCUCGGGCGGCCCAAGCAAUGCGUGUUGAAUCUUUGCCUAUCUGCGUGUGUGCCUGUUUAAGUGCAUGAGGGACUGAUUUGGAGAAGAAGGAGAAAGGUUAGGGGCUUAUGGGUGAAAUCCAGGGACUUUUGCACCAUUAACCCAUAGAUCCAAGGGCUAGAUUGCAAGAUUGCCUCGGUUUUCUUUAUUUCCUAGAUCUAAAAAAGCUGCAACUUUGGAAAUUCAUAGUAAAUUGUAGAACAAUUUUAAAAUGGCAAAUGAAGAUGUUUUGGAAUUCUUGUGAGAAGAACUAUGUAGUAGUUAUAUAAUAUGAUAUGUGUUAGUAGAAAGUUUCUGAUGUUUUUAUUUAUCCAUGCAAAGUACUUUUAGAAAUCCUUUUAAGUUGGUUAGAUGCAUAUCUUGAGUUAUAUAAGUCCAAAGAUUUUGAUUCUAGUUAUAUUAGUCUCGUGAUGACACUCUCUAGCUAAGAAAAAUAUUAAACAUGCUAGUGGUGUGCGGUUUUUAUCAUGUUUUGAUUUAAUGGGCAAUUUUUGCUUAUUUUGCUUGUCAUUUUCAUAUCUAAAUUUGUGGUGCUUCAAUUUCUGUGAAAUUUUUAUGGGAGGCUACUGAUGCUAUAUGUGUGAUAUGGUAAAAAUUUCAUAUUCAUUAGAUGUAGUAUGAUUGACUUAUUGAUUUAACUUGUUUAUUGCUUGAUAAAUGGUUUUAAAUAAGUUAUAAUUUUUAUGUAGGUGUAAAAUUGAAAAAUAUGGUUCCACUACCUUUGUAUGAUGUUGUUCUACCAUAAUAACAUAUAAUAUGGCUAUGUGUUUAUAAAAAAUGAUGAUCUUUAGAAUUAUCUUGCUUUUGCAUGUUUUCUUGCAAUUGUAAUUUAUCUUUUUCAUAGCAAUUAAAUUAUAAAAUCUGAGCAUGUGAAAUUGGUACAGUAGCCAUGUUUUGAUAACAUCUACCACUCAUAAAAAUCUCAACCCCAAACUAGUUGUUCUCAUAUGGCACUAUAAUCUAUAUAUAUAUAUAUAUAUAUAUAUAUAUAUAUAUAUAUAUAUAUAUAUAUAUAUAUAUAUAUAUAUAUAUAUAUAUAUAUAUAUAGAAGUUAAUGAAAGUUAAUAACAAAUAGGCAUAUGCUAAAGCCAUGAGAUGCUACUUUAAUUACACCAACUUUGUGAAAUGUAGUUGAUCUAUAUGGAUGUUUGUUUGAGCCCUUGAAUGAUAUGUAUGAAAUCUCUGUUGGGAGAAACACGUCAAAACCAACACUAUGCUACCUUCUGAAAUUUGGCUGCAUGUGUACUUUUGUGGUGUCAUGUUUUCAUGAUGAAAAUGAUGUUUUAUAUAAAUUUGGUGACUACAAAAGUUUUAGGUAACUUUAUAAUAUAGCUUGUGUUAAAUUUUCAUGACCAUAAGCCUGAUGGUUUAGAAGCUAUAGAUUUUACAAGUUCAUUGUCAGGUUUUGCGUGCUCUCUGUACAGGUUUAAAUGUUUGUGUCGUUUGACUUAGCUAAUCUUUGAAUCAUAUCUUUGUGAUAUUAUAAGAAGUGUAGGAAGUUUUAUUAGAUUUUCAAAUUUUUAAAGAUCACCCUUUUGGUGGUCUAAAUCUCCAGUUAUGGUCUUGUGAAGUGGAAUGACAGAAUCUGUCCUAAUCUGGAUAGAGAUAUCUUAUUUGUGAUGUUUGACCUGGUUAACUUUGUAUUUAGCUUGUGGUGUUUAUAACAAAGUUAUGAAUAAUUUUAUAAUCUUUCUAAAAAGUCUAGAACCAUCUUGUUGUGAAAGCUAUAACUCCAGAUAUGGCUGUCUAAAGUUUAAUGUCAAAAUCUGUCCAAGUUUGGACAGAUUUGCUUCUUUGUGUUGUAUAGUCUUGUUAACUGUUGAAUCAUCUUGAGAUGACAAUAAUAAAGUUAUAUAUAACUUAAUAAGGUUUUUACCAAGUUAAGAAUCAUGGUUGUUGGAGGUCUAGAACUCCAGAUAUGCAUCUCUGAAGUUCAUGUUAGUUUUCUAUCCUUGUUUGUACCGAUCUGCUUAUUGGUGUGCUUUCACCUCGUUAUUUGUUGAAUCAGCUUUUGGUGUGAAUAACAAAGUUUUAGAUAAUUUUAUUAACUUUACAGAAAGUCUAGGUUCAUCCUUGUUGGAUGCUUAUAUCUCUAGUUGUGGUUAAAACAAGUGACUAUUGUGCUGCUGUCCAGAUUCGGUGUAUGUGCUUAAGUUAUUAGCUUUGACUUGAUGUUGCCUCGUGUGCUGGCUAGUUAGCUCAUAACACUAUUAGAAUUAUAUUGAUCUACCUGAGGAUCUUAUAAAUGUAUUAUAUAAUGUUGGUCAAGCACUUAACUAAUAAAUGGUCAUGUAUACAUGUUGCUACAAAAUAACUUUGCUGCAUAGCUUACUAGAACCUUAGUGAUGUUGGUGUGUGACUUACUUGUGCAUGAGUGGUUUAAAAAUAAAUGUAAUAUACUUUGAUCACCUUCAUCUUGCUAGUUGUGUGAUGCACUUAUGUAGGCCAUAUUGAUAAGCACCAUCACCCCUAGUUCUUAUAUGAUACUAUGCUUAAUUAGCUCUUGAUUGUUAAAUGCUUGCAAUAGCUUAACUUGAGUUAACUAGUGUGCCAUGCUUGUUAUGCUUGCUAUCUCUAUGGUAGACUUGAGUGAUAGUUAGUUAAAUAACUUGCUCUCUCAGUGUUCAUGUCUUGUGGUGUAACCUUUUUUAUGUAAUGCAUCUCAUAUUACCGUUCUUCACAUUCAUGCACUUGCAUCUUGCAUCUCAUCUAGAUACGCUAGAUAAACCUCGUUAAGGACGUGAUGAUGGAACCGAACCCGAAGACGGUGUAUGGUGGACCUAUCCCAAAGAUGGAAGGACUAAGCAAGUGCCAAGAUGGGAGAUGCUCGCCAAGCGAGUGUCGUCUAACAAACACUAACCUAAUGUUGGAUUCUAGGCAAGCCCCGGAGCGUAUCCCGGUUUUCUAAACUUCUGCAAUGAAUUAUGUUGAUUAUGAUUGUGCAUUUAAGUCACUAGGCGUUAUCUGAAACCUUGGAUGCAUGAACUUAGUGUGGCGGAACCGCCCAAAUUAACCUGACUAAAAUGCAUUGAAGUCGCCUAACACGCGAUUAUGCACUUUAAGCAAGUCAACUUGGUCGACCGUCGGAUUUCCUCCGAUAAACCACAUAAACAGGAUCAAGAAGCACGCUCACGCGAAGGUGAGUAGCACAGAGAUUACAACAUUCCAUCACGACAACAAGUUCCACAUUUUAUUACAUCAGAGUUUUCAAAAUUUAGACUGAAAUUUGCAAGGUUCGAAGUCAAAUAAAACUAGCGGAAGCUAAACGUCGAUACAUGACAUCAUGACGGAGCCGAUCAUGACAUCAAAAACUCCUUCCUUCGCCGUCCAAGGAAGGAUCUCACUCGACGGUCCAGCCUGGGGGAAGCUGGGUUGGCCAAGUGGUACCAACACCCAAGCUAUUACCUGAAAAAGAUUAGCCACAACAAGGCUGAGCAACUAGUACUCAGCAAGACUGACCCGUCGACACCUAGACAUGCAAGGCUUUCUGGCUCUGGGGUUUUCUUUGCCAAAAGCGUCUAAGCAGUCCUUACUUUAACCAUUUUAGCUCAUGUUCUAUGUUCUUUAUCCAUUCUAGAUUAGCAACUUAUACUAAACACACAUGGUUUCCAAGCAAUUACUGAACAAGCAUCAAGAUUAAAAUCAUCAUCAUGUUCCAUCUUUACUCAGUGCAGAAUAGUGAUCAAGUAGUCCCAAUCUGUGAGAGGCAGACGAAUCGAUUCGAAUUUAUUAACCAUGCAUGGCAAACCUAAUCUCACGACAUCCGCGCACCACGAAGGGUCGCUUCAUUUGUCAGUCGUCCCCAUCGAUCCCUUAGGCACGUGUCAGGGCCAAUUUCCUUUGGCAUGCAAUGCUCCACAGUCCCGGCCUAUUGCUGCACUGUGACCGCACUUGCACCCACAUGAUGCACCAUGGGAACGAUGUUCCAAGGACAGCCGGAAGGUAUGCCACGCCCCAGUUCAAUCAGGUACUAGGCUUCCCCAUCCCAUACUAGGUAUGAGAUUAGUACUUUCAAACACUUGAUCACGAACGCCGACACGUUUCGACCUUAGUUCAUUUUCAUUUAGACAGACGGGGCAAUCCACCAAGUAUCAAACACAAGCCUGACCCCGUCCGUCGUCCUUACAGUUGCGACAAAUCUGAAACAUUCAACUCCUAUAACUCGCGAGUGACAGGAAAUCACUCGACUUUUACCGAAACCUAUUAAGCAUUGCACUACUCGACCUUAGCAACUAGUAUUCAGACAAGGUACUAAGUUUAUGCAUCUAAGGUUUCAUUACAACUCCUCGAAACGUAAAUGCGCAAUCAAGUAAUCAAUAAGUGGCAUGAAAGUAAAACAGGGAGUUCAUGCACCGGGGCUUGCCUUCAGAAAAAGCUUGCGGGUCCUCGGGGUCUUGCUCUGGUUCGGGCUCUCCUUCGAAGGGGUGCAGUUCCUCGGCGGGGUCUUCUUCUGGUGCUGGAUGAAGCUCGUACGUCCCGUCGGCGAGAUUCAACUCUACACGGAAUGCAAUGCAGGGGCUAAACAUUUUAGAUGGUUAUUUCACACACUCAUGUUUUAACACGGACACUUGUAGCAAAGCUACAGGAAAGGUGGGGAGUUCAACUUCUGUUGGUGGAGAGCAGGAUGAGAGGGUCGGAUUGGGGAAAACUUAGGGUCUGACCCUCAGGUUUAAGGAAAACCGUACCGAGGUCCUCAGACUCAACACAGAGGAAUCCCCGAAAAAUAUUUCACCGAUACCCUCGGGUUAAAGAAAAAGUUACAACCGAGCCCUCGGGCGAGGCGGAGAAAGGGUCGGCGAAACUUGGCAGGGUCGGGCAAGGCGAACGGGAAAAGGUCGGGCGAGACGAAAAGAAAAGGGGUCGGGCGAACCGAAACAAAAGGUUAAGCAACUUACCUCCACGUCGUCCGGCGAAGCCUUGGGGUCGAAAAGGAGCAGGCUGGGGUGGGAAGUUGUACGCGCUAACGCUGGGGCAGCGGCGAGACUUUGACGGUGGUCCGGCAGCGGCGGUGCUUCUUGCGGACACCAGCAAGCUCGAGUACCGCGUGGAGGAGCGGGCGGCUGGUGUGUUGGAAGAAGCGGCUGAAGGGUGGCGGCGAAGUCGCCGGAGUGUGGGGGUGGCGCAAGGGGUGAGCUCCACGGAAGCUCAGCGACGGCACGGGGAGAAAGCGGUGGCUCAGAGGAGAAAGCAGGGCGCAGAGGGGAAAGCGGUGGUGGCAAAGGGGUGGCAUUGCCGGUGAGGGGGUUCCCUUUUAUAGGGCCGGAGUGGCGCGGAGGGUCGAGGUGGGGCUCCGGUGGGGAAAGGAUAAGGCCGGGAGCAGCGAGUGCUCGGGCAAGGCGGCCAUUGGCCGACGACGCCAUUGGGCAGAGGAGGCGGAGCUUCGGGUGGUCUUCGGCGGCGAUUGGCCUUGGGCGGCGCGCGUCUGGGGCUUCCGGUCUGUCGGGCAGGCGAGGCGGAAGGGCUACCGUGGGGGUUGGGCGAGUGGGCGGAGGCGCGGGACGUCGAGGGCGUCUCAGCUUUCUCGGCGAACGGGCAGAACAGGGUUGGCGGAGCAGAGCCGUGGCAGGUGGAAGGCGACUUGCGCGCGGCCGGCGAUUGGCUAGCCCUGCGCUCGCUCCGUCCUGUCGCGGGCGCGGGUUGGGUGUCGUGGCUCUCGUCCUGUCGCUGUCACGCUGGUGAUAGGGCGCCGGCGAGCUGCCGGUGGCCGGCGGCCACGCGGCGCGCGGCGCGUGAGCGAACAUGCUCAGGCGCGCGGGCGUCGAGGCUCCCUUCGGGCAGCAAGCCCGACCAGCUUUGGAGCGAUCCUUCUCCGAAUCUUUCAACACAACUCCCGAAACUCCCUUAAACAAACUUGCCCAACUCUGAUCGUUCUUCAAACUUUGUUUAAGGUGUUGGUUUAGAUUGUGAAAGGAUUCAAGAUAUUUCCGGCCAAAGCUAGCUAAAAAUCUGGAAUUCCAGACUUAGGAUUUAAGGCAUCCGGGGUGAGUUGACUGGUUUACCUCACUUUGACCGGGAUUUUGAACAAGUUCGGGUCCGAUUUGGAUCUGGGUCAGUGUAACGAAGUUGGAACACUCUUGAGGUACUACAACUUCUAUUAAGGCUCUGACUCGAGUUUAGAUAGGAAAACGGGAGAUGAAAGCUUGCAAAGAUGGAGGAAAACUCGAAUUCCAGGACUUAAGAGAUUUUCAGGGUCCUUUAGGAAAGCCGGCUUUGGUUGCUGUUUUUGACUUCCUUUCACUCCGAAAUGGUCAAAGUGCCUUUAACAAAAGUUGUUGGAAUUUAAAAGUUUUACAACUCUUAUUUGGGCAGAAACUUAAGUUUGUAUAUAUAAAAAAAUUCAAGCUUUAAUUCAAACUCCAAAAAGAGCUUCUUAGGUUUAUAAAGGUCAUUUCACUUCUUAACUUAGGGAUUUGAUUUGUCACUGGUUUAGAGUUAAAAGCACUUAAUUUAGGUAGAGUUGUUACACUUAGUACCCUUUUAAUCUGAACACUAGCAUGAUAAGUCGCGUAGAUGCAAUGCUUAAUAGGAGACGGUAAAAGUUGAGUGAUUUCCUGUCACUCGUGAGUUAUAGGAGUUGUUUGUUUACUUAUGUUACAACCAUAAGGAUGACAGGCGGGGUAGGGCCUUGUGAAUUGUUUUGGUGGUCGGUGGAUUGCCCCGUUUAUCUAAAUGAAAAUGGACUAAGGUCGAAACGUGUUGGUGUUCGUGAUCAAGUGUUUGAAAGUACUAAUCUCAUACCUAGUAUGGGAUGGGAAAGUCUAGUACCUGAUUAAACCAGGACGUGAGCAAUUCGUUCCACUGUCUUUGGAACGGAGUUCCCCUGCGGCCGCAUGUGGUGACAAGUGCAGUCACGGUACGGCAGAGGUCGGGACCGUGGGGCCUUGUACCAAGGGAAGUGGACCCGACACGUAGCUGGGGAUUGAUGGGGACGGCUGACAAAUGAACCGACCCAUCGUGGUGCGCGGAUGUCGCGGAUGUUGUGAGGUUAGGUUCGCCAUGCAUGGUUUAAAAACUCGAUUCGAAUCAUGUGCCUCUCACAGUUUGGGACUGCUUGAUCGCUAUGCUACACUGAGUAAGAAGUGGAACAAAGGAUGAUGAAUAAUAUUGAUGCUUGAUUCAACUGCUUGUUCACAUGCUUGCUUAGAAUUGGUGCUUACCUAGAAUGGUUAAUCAACUAGAACCUGAUGCUAAAACUUGAAAGUAAAGACCUACUUUAGAUGCUUUUGGCAAAACGAAUCCCUUAGCCAAAAAGCCUUGCAUGUCUAGGAGUUGGUGGAGUAGUUACCACCUGGCGGGUAAGCCUUGUUGAGUAUUAGUAUACUCAGCCUUGCUUGUGGCUAUCUUUUUCAGGUUUGGUUGCUGGUGUUGACUUGUUUGAGACCCAUCCUCGGUCGGCGAGGAUCGUGGUGUUUGAUAUCAUGGCAGGCUUCACCGUGGUAUUGUUGUAUCGACGUUUAGCUUCCGCUUGAAUUUUAUCUUCCGCUGUUGAACACUUUGCAAACUUGGUUGAAUUUCAAACUCUGAUAUAAUAAAUUAUUGUACUAUGUUAAUCUGGAUGGAUUGUUGUAAUCUUGGGGAAUAACACUCACCUUCAUGUGAGCCUGCUUUGUCAUCGAUCCUUGUUAAGUGGUUUAUCGGAUGAAAUCCGACUGACGAUCAAGUUGAAUCGAUUAAAGUGUAAGAUCACAUGUCAGGUGACUCGAGUACACUUUAGCCGGGUUAAUUUGGUAGUUCCGCCACAACAAGGCUCACGGGUUUAUACUUAUACCCUGGAGCAAGCUAAAAUCCUAAUCGAUUACGAUAUGAUUAUUACAGUUAUUCCUAAAACUACUAAAUCUCCACGCUUUCCCUUAUUUGGUGGAGUCGAUUCUGCUUCGAACUGGGUAUGCUUGAUCUUCCAUCGGUUCGGAAUGUGGUCAACAGUGGUCUCAGUCUUGGUGUUGUUUAGUUCAACAUUUAUAUCAUGCUGAAUUGCCGAGAUGACAUACCAAGUAUGCUUAUCGGCAUUUCUUGGUUUGUUCAGUAGAGUCCUGAAUUGUUUUACUACUGUGUACUGUGAUGAACUUGUUGAGCUCGCUUUCCUCCAAGGUAAGUGUUAUUUCUGGAGUCACUCUACGAGCCUCGCACCAGUGCCAUGCUCAAGUUUCAAUAUUCUCUUCUUUACGCUCUGUAGGAAGAUCGAGGAGGGGGUAGGAUUUUGAAUUAUCGCAGCCUGAUAUACAUCAGAGAUCAUUUUUAGACAUUCCAAGGGUUAAAAUCUACAUUAGAAACGAAACACCCCAUUUACUAAAUUGCAGUGUAAACAAAUUACUUAAGUGAGACCCAAUUUUUUAUAAAAUGGGAGGGGUUGCCCUCUACUGGUUAUAUAUUAUAAAUAAGCAAAUGAGACAAAAGGUUUGUACAAAGCUAAUAAACAAAGAAGGAAACAAAAAUGAUCAUUGCAGUUGCAUGAAAGCUUGUAUCCAUUGAUCAAUAAGUGAGACCCAAUUGCUGCCAAAAAUUAAAGAAAGAACUGAAGUACUCAUUUGACCUCCGGAGGUUGAUGUCAGAUAAAAGUUUCAGAGUAGGCAGAUCAUAUGCGGAAGACGUAGGGAUGGAGGCUCUGGGAGAAGACGAACAGGUGCGGGAAGUAGAAGGCCACAACAAAUCCCACCACGAACCCAACAGCCGCACCAAUACUGGACUCAUCGUUGAUCCUGUGCAAUCUCAGUUUCCGUUUGCUUAUACCACCACAGUCAUGCAACGGUGGACCACAAAGCCCUUGAUUACCAACAAAGUUAGAUGACGGGAACUUCUGUAAUGCAGGCGGAAUAGCCCCAGACAACUGGUUGUCCGCAACAUUGAACUCCUGGAACCGAGCAAGCAGAGCGCACUGCGAUGGAAUUCGACCACUGAGUUGGUUGUGCUGAAGGCUGAGGGGUAUGUAAUUUUAUAGAUGAGUACUGGGAUUUCCCCUGAAAAGCUGUUGUAUGAGAGAUCUAGAGAUGUCAAGAACGGCAUCUGCAGUGAAAUGUCUGAAGGGAUGGGCCCUAAAAAGUUGUUACUUGACAGAUCUAGGGCGCUCAUGCUAGUGCAAUUCCGAAGACGUCGAGGAAAUUGGCCUUGAAGACCCAGAUUGCUGAGAUGCAGCGAGAGAACCCUGGGUGCCAGCACUCCACACCCGUGAAUCGGCAUAUGAAACCGUCGGUGUAGUUUUCAAAAAUCCAUGAGGAUUUUAGUAUGCCGUUGGGAUCAAUCACUGAUUCUUGUACAUCCUUCAAGCAUUGGACAUCAAGAUCAGAACCAGAGCACGACGCCCUUCCCCCCCUCCCCCGUCACCUACCGCCAUCUCACCAGGAGCCUCGUCGCUGCCAGGCGCAUCCGCGACGUCCUCGACCUUCUCCGCGAGAUGCUGAACCGUGGCGGUGGCGCCGACUCAGCUCGCUCGUCUACAACAACCUCAUCGCCGGCUACAUCGACCUGGAAGACUGGGGCAAGGCCUUCGAGCUCUUCAACGAGCUCACCGACAGGUGUGCUGUCUACGAUGGCGUCGUCCACACCACCUUCAUGGAGGGGUACUGGAAGCAGGGCAAGGACAAGGAGGCCAUGGACAACUACCAGUCCCUGCUCCAACGCUGAGUCCUACAAUGUCAUGGUCAACCAGUGCUUCAAGGAGGGCAAUUUCCAGCAGGCAAUUGAGGUAUUUCACCGCCAGCCCAGGAAGAAUGUCCAGAUGGACGUCGGUUGCUUCAACAACAUCAUUGGCAAGCUCUGUGAGAACGGGAUGCUUGCUGAGGCAGAGAAGCUCUUUGAAGAGAUGGAGAUCGACCAAGUCGGUCCUCCCAGAUGUGUACACCUACACUUACCUUGUCGACUCGUGCUUCAAGGAAGGCCGUGUGGAAGAUACAAUGCAGUAUUUCUACAAAAUGGCAGAGGAGGGAGCAUGGGCCAAAGUUCAAUAUCGGUUUCUUCAACCGUAUGUUUGAAGGACUUACUGUGAAGCUGGCCGGACUGAAGAUGCAUUGAAGGUGUAUGCGAGGAUGCCUGACAAGGAGAUCAAACCAAACGCAGCAACCUUUGAAAUCCUUGUCAAAGCCUUAUGCAAGGAAGGGGACUUGGUUCGAGGAUGGGACCUAGUGAUUCAAAGACCAAUAAUUAUAGGCUUAGAGCCUACCUCUUCUGAAGAUCGGCAGCAAGUAGCAUUCUGAAUUGGCUCCAACUCAUAAAGUUUUAAGUCAUAAAAUGAAUUAGUGGGCGUUCUGCACUGUGAAACCUUUCAAGUUGGACAUUUUGUAGAUACUUAGAUAGUAAGAAUGGAUAGAUGGGAAUCACACUUUUUCAUUGUUAUUUUGGACCUCACCGCUCAUUGUCCGUGUUCUUUUCCCACAUAUGUAUGCAUGAGGAAUUGUGUUAUCAUACAAACAUGUGGAUCAAAUGAGGAAUUGUAUUACACUCAAGUGGCUGGUUCUAUAUGAUUGUAGAGUAGUGUGAAACCCCUGUUAAUUUUCUUAUCACUAUGGUGCAUGAUUUCUGCUAAAUAUAAUAUGCUCCGGUGCCCUUUGGUAUCAUGAUUCAUGUCUUGAUUCGUUCCACGUUCAGUGUAAGUGCCUCUCUAGUUUUAGUUGUAAAAGUGUGAUCAGUUAAACUUGAUUAGUGUACAUGGCUGAUAGUGUGAUGGGAACUGCCCCUAGGAUUUGCAAUAAUCUGUAUAGGUAAUUUUAAGGGGUCUGGGGCUCUGGGCUGGUUUUGAACACUUUGAAGGCUUUGGUGGAUUGUGGAUAUGUCAAAAUAUGACCCUUUUAAUUUGUUAACUGCAAAUUGCUCAUUGCAUAUUUUGCACUCUAAAGAAUCAGUCCAUCAAAUUCCACAACGUGACUGUUGCUUAUCCAUCUUUAAUGUCCGAAUCCUGCCUCCAAGCUCGGGCAGCACAUUGAGCCACCUGAAAUUCGAGGCCAUUAGAUCAUCCACGAAAGGUCAAAUAAGCGCGGCCGUCUCAGCUUCUCGAUGCUUCUGCGUCCCCCUAUCGCAAGCUCGCGGCCGGCCGGUCGGCAGCUCGAGCUCCUUCCCCAUCACCCCUCCAUCCCUCCAGUGUCUCGUGUCGUUCUCGGCUGAUAGCGCGAGCGCUCCCUUCCUCGCUACUCCUCUCAUCCCCUCAUCAUCUCCAUCGGGCUAUUAGCUGCAUGCCAGCUGGUAGAUUGGAUUUGAGGGAUCUCGGCGGCUGGCCACCGUCGAAAAGACGCCGGCACCCGACAGUAACGCAAGGCAGCGGCGGCCGCUCCGCCAGACGGGCCUGCGUCACCAUGAAAGCUGCGUCGGCUCUCUCUUCUGGUCGCGGGCAUGUAGUCGAGGUCCUCCAUCUCCCGUGACAGUCUCACAAGGCAACAGGCAAGGAGAUGGCGGUAGGGGACGAGGCAAAGAAAGAGUGGAGCAUCACGACAGAACCGGUGUUCACGCGUGCACUCAAGCCAGCAAGCUUGGAAGCGCUUGCGGCGGCAGCACAAAUUGAGUUGAAUUCAACUCAGGAGAUGCACACCAUGUGCCUGAUAAUUCGACUAUGAGAACUGAGGUUAAUGAUUGUCCUCCCUAUGUCCCUUGCCGUGUGCAGUGUAUGUAUAGAACGAUUGUAUUAUACUACACAUGAUGUCGAAGAUGGCAGGUAUAGCAACAAGUACAAACGAAGCUUGAUUAUGUGCUAUAUAAACAUCACAGCUCGAGUGCCACCAGCUGAGCAAAGCUGCAGGGCGUUAUGUUGCCUUCCUCAAGAUCAUGGCCAAGAAAGGAAACAGAGUACUAACAAAUUCCCCUCUCAUACCCAAUUAGGAGACUCGAAAGUUGGUAGGAGAAGCCAUCGGCAUGGCUCUCACCUCUCUUGAAUAAUAGGUGCAUUCAGAUAGACAUACACACCCAGAUACAUACACAUAUUCCAGGACUUACGUAAGGCAUUCAAAACCGGCAACAAUGGCCAAAAUGCCGCGCCACAUUUUAUAUAUAGUCUAACAUAAAGCUUUUUUUUAAAUAAAGUCUAACAUAAAUCUGCUCAUGCAAAAUGCAGAUGAUAAACAUCUAUUGCUCAUGUGACAUUUCACUACAUUCAUGCCUCAUACUCAUAUACAUACACAUAUACAGUGGUUUUUCUCUCUCUUUCCCAUUCUUUGUCGAAAGCUACAGUAGAGAGCAGUGAAAAGAGGGGUGAACCCGAUCCGGGCCGAUUCUGGUGGCUCCCCAUCGACUGCCGGCUGUACAUACUAGCUUAGGUUUUCUAGAUCUAGGCGUAGUUUAGGUCUUCCUCAUGAAGACAACUUCGUGUGCGAACUUUUUGGUCCUUGACGGUGGUGGAAUCCCGGCGUACAGCGAGGAAGCACAUGCUCCGGAGCAGCUUUGGCAACUUCAAUAACGCUGUAGUUCGGAGGCGUUAGUGGUCUAUCUUCUUGCGAUGAUGAUGGAUCUUUUGUGCUCCCCCAGGGGCUUAUUCUUCUGUGUUGGUGCUUUCGUCGCCGGCGUCGGAUUCUCUGCUGGGCUACUACUUCUUGCCGGAAGCGGUAGCACCAGCUUGUCUUUCGGCUAGCCAGUUCUGCUGCGGCUGGAGGAUGCUCCUCUUCUUCUUCCGUCGGUGAGAUCGCCGAUUCCCGUUCAACGAAUUAAAUCCAUCUUGGCUGGAGGUUCGGGGUGGUGGCUCAUGCGGCUUACCAAGGUUUGAAGUCUUCCGGCGGAGGAUCUGGAGGUGCGGGUGCUUCAUAUGCACAGCCGGGCGAUUCGGAGGCAACGAGGAAGAUGAACAGGAGUCCUAGGGACUUCCUUGUAAUUUUCCUUUUCUUUCGGAUCCUGAUUGUAAAAGGGGAUGUAUUGUGCUUCAAUUUAAUAUAUCUUCCCUUGUCGAAAAAAAAGAAACAUACACAUAUACUAGGCUUAUAAGUAGAAAAAUAAAAAUCCUUCAAAACUGGCACCACUGGCCAAAAGCAAGCGCGGCAAGGCCAUGCCAUAUUUUCUAGUGUGAAAUGAAGUCCUCAGUCCUCACUACCACGGGUGACAAGGUCGCUUGGAAUGUACGGAACAGUUGUCACUAUCACUCAAAUAAAAAAUAUAUAGAGGUGAAAUAAGCAUUUAUUUGAUUAAAAAAACAUAUUAUGUCAAAAAUUAUAUGAAUUUACUCAUUACUAGCCAACAUUUAGAGAUCCAUUGAGAAAAUUAACAGUACAAUAAUAGAAAUAAUGAAAUACGUAAGUUUCAAAAGAGUAUUUACGCCUUCUGUCCUAAAAUAAGAAUUUUUUGACACAUUAGUAGUUGUGAGAAGUGAUCAUUAGUAGUUGUGAGAAGUAAUCCUACUGCUUCUAAUCACUCAUAUUAGUUGUGGUUGAAAACUGUGCGGUCUGUUACACUGAAUUUUGUUUCCAUAGGUUAGCUAUAUAUAACUAUAAGCAUAUUAAAGUGGGCCAAGAACUGCGACGCACAGGUUUUCCUUGGAUAAAUAUGACAAUGUGCGCAUUCCAUAUGCAUAUUCAGAUAGACACACACCCAAAUACAUACACAUAUACUAGGACUUACAUAAGCAUAAAAAUAAGAGUCAGAAAAAUAAGAGUCAUUCAAAACUGGCACCACUGGCCAAAAGCAGGCGCAGCAAGGUCGCGCCAGUACACGAAGGAGAAUAGAAAAGUAAGAGAAAAGGAGUAACGGCAUAUGUCGAGUUGUCGACGAGCGUAACCAAUAAGCACCCAAUUAACAAUACGUCCACUGAACAUUGUCACAUUAUCAAAACUGGAGCGCAUUAAGGGAACUGGUGCACACAUGUUCUGACACGCUGAUAAUACUUGUGACCGUGCCAAUCUUACAGGCUUCAAAAACCACUGCCAGAGGGCAAAGGAAAAUCCUAAUUGCGUGUUGCAGUGCCUUAUCCACAAGUAUUCAGACCACUAAAACUUUGCAGGCGCGCUCAAAAUCCUCUAAUAGUCUAAUCUGUGGCGCUGGAAGAUGUACACAUGGGCUAAUGGUUAUGUACAGCUUGAAAAUUUCAGCCUGGCGACAGCAGCUAACAGUAUCAGAUAACCAAAAAGUUAGCAUCCAGUGGACCCUCCGCCAAGUUCUUGCCUUUAGUAGUGUGCCACGGCAUCCAUAUCCUCAGGUUAGUUCAGGAUUUCAGGCAGUCAUUACAGGAGUCAGAGAAGUCAUUGUACCUGAAAUUUACACGGGGAAACCUAUUAUGGCAAAUGGAUAGCUGAGCUAGGGAUACUGGUAGUGAUGCUAACUGAGGUUUAAAAUCACAGGUUUGGCGCCAUAAAAGCUAUCUGUUUGUGACUUCGCGGAAAGUUCAGAAAUCAGCUAUACGACAACUAUAGCUAGCUAUUUAGAACCUUCAUGCUAAUGCACAAGAAUCCUCCUUUGUGACAUAUGAUUUAUAUAAUUGUAAACGACUAUCUAAGAAAGCAGGGAAUUAUGUUUUCACUUUUGGAAUCAGCUUAAAAGGAAUUGGCUACGAAAAAUCUGAUACAUAUUGGGAAUACAUGCAACCUUACUAAGCCAAAUCAACUAUCAGCACAGUAAUUGAAAUAAGGUGUUAUAUGCAGAUCCCUAGGUGCACAAAUGUACAGUGUAUGAAAGUUCACAAUAUAAAUAAAAUCUUAGUCGAAAAAAGGAACAACGACAUGAUACUAACAGCAAACAGGCUCAAAAACAUGAUGUGCGUGACUGCAUCUGGAAACCGUCAUAACUACAUGUGAAGCUGAGAAAUCAUUGCUGCUCUUAGAUCUAGAGAAAUUAUCAUGGUGAGAAUUUACAUCUAAAGAUGCAUGAUGCAAAAGAUGGUAUGACAUUUGACAGCAGCAAACAACGUACAGUAAUGAAAAACAGUAAAGUUAUCAUGUGAAAAACCGUAUCAAUCAGUUUCAGCAUGAGCUCUAUGCCUGAAAAAAAAAAGGAAGAAUAAUCUACAAGGAUCUGCUCUUCUUAUCACAUACAUCACAUGAGUGCAUGAACUCGACAUGAUAAUCACUCGCCCUCCAUACACCUGAAUACUUUCUUCAUAGCAAUGUAAAAUAAACAUGAAGUUACUUCAAAAUAAAAGGAAAGAGCAGAAAGUUCAUGCCCUAGAAACUUUACACAGAAUAUAUGCAUGGGCAGCACGAUUCAAGAAUAAAAAGAAUACUGAAAUAGAAAAUAUAAAACUCGUGGAUGCUGGCAGAUGAAGGAAAAAUUACGAGGUCAAAGAGCUGCAAGGAUAAGGGUAAGCUCAGCCCUUACCUAAAAUUCUACUGAAAUAUUAAAGCAAAGAACACGCGCUACCCUGUUCUUCGCGUAGGAGUUCUUAGCACUGGAUUAUCCUGCAACAUGGUCAUACGAGUCAUUUUGACACAGAUACCCAUACAUAAACUUCAAAGUCAAGAACCAAGAUUGACUACAAAUACCUGCAACAUUGGGUGGUAAACCCACUGACUCGCAAACCCAUGGGGUUCUGCCUGCACCUGAAAUGUUUUAAACAAGGUGUCAGUAAUUCUAAUAUGGCAAAGAUGCAAGGGAGUCCAUUGUUGAGGAAAAAAUAGGAACUCAAUAGUUGGAAACAAAGAAUAUUAUAUGAUGUUAUAAACAUGUGGCCAAUCGUAUGAUAGGAACCUGCAUGAAAUUGUUCUGCUGCAUCCUUUGGUGGCUGGGUACUUGAUGUUGGUGAUUAAUAUCCAUUCCAAAAUGAUUACCAAAUGAGAGAUUUGGUAUUCCUUCCUGUGCAAGUUUGCAGCAAGAGUUUUCAAAUAUAUGUGAGUAUUAAUAGCAGUGGCAGACAAAAAAAAUUAUGUACCAUUAAAUCAAUGCCUCCUUGCACUCCCAUGUGAGGACCUUCAAGAUGGGAGGCAGAGGGCGGCCCUUGGACCAUAUUUGUAUCGUCUGUGACAAAUGAUGACCGCAGAAAAUCCUGCUUAACAAGAAUAUACAUGAACCAAAAAAGUGUAUUAAUAUAAUUAAAACUGAAGUGUGAGGUUUGAGGCUCGUGAGUCAUGCCUUGAGAAAAUAAGGUAACUAAGACUAACCUGUUCUUUGUUUGGCUGUGUUACAGUUUCACCAUUAGAUUCUGUCACUUUCUUCGGUGGCCGGCCGCGACGUUUUGCAUGGGCUGACUGAGAAUUCUUUACACUCUCUGAAAACUGGGGAUUAAAAAGGCCUUGACCAUUUUCUGGUGCAUCAGCCUCAAAUGAAAGAAGCGUUGACUGCCUGUCUCUAGCAGGUAGUCCAUCAUCCAGAAGAGAUCUUUCCGCAUCUCUCAGUAACUUCAGAGCAACAAGGUACCUACUCUCAGAUACAAACCCUAGAUUGAGCAACUGACUACAUUGACUGAACAAAUAAUCAGAGCGCUCAACAAUUCCACUAAGGGGCAUUUCAUUGGGUUUGUUUGCUUUAGAAUACAAUUUUUUAUAGUCCCUUCUCCAGCGAUCAAGAACAUAAUCUGAUGGGAUCUCAAAUAUCUCCUGCAACUUCAACACAGAUAAUGCAUGUCUACAUAGGACGCCAGUGAACUGAACGAAACCACAUUCACACUCAAUUUCAACCUUCCCUUCUUUACAAAAGUAAACUUCAUAGGUCCUGCUCUCUGUGUCCUUUCCAUCUUCCAUGUACGAGCAUUCUUUUACUUCAAAAGUGACAAGCCGACCAUCAACUUUAAUUGGCAUACCAUCACAAUACAUUGUGGCUUUCAACUCAUCCUGAAAUUUUCUGAACAUGUUUAUUGUGUAGGCUUUGGCCAGCUGCUCUUCCAUGUAGAACUUCGUUACUGUUAGUGGAGUCCUAUGGGAGGAUUCUUCAUCUGCUUGCCACUCCUUCUUGUAUUUGUUCUCUAAUAUCAUCUCAUAUUUACUGAAAAAUUGUUUCAAAGAAGUUUUUGGGUACACAAAACCAUCAUAGUACGAGGAAAUAGACUCCCCAUGCUGUGAAAUAGACAUCCCUGCCCAGAAUUUGUCUCUGAGAUAUGCAGGUGCCCAGAGUUGGCGAUGCUCAUAUAGGGAACUGAGGCACUCAUUUUCUCCAAGUCCAUGCUCAUCUAUAAUCUUCUUCCAAUCCGCUUCAAACUCUGGGAUCUUCAAAGACCCAUAUGUUACUUUAUUCAGUGCUUUCUUGAUUGUUUUAAACUCUGCAUGUUCUUUCAAAUUCUCAGCUACAUCUUUCAUAAUACGAUACAGGCAAAGGCGAUGUCUAACUUCAGGUAGAACUUCUCGAACAGCAUCUAGAAUAGCAUUGUAAUGCUCAGUAAUGAUUGCCAUUGGACAGCGACCCUUCAUGCAUGCUAAAAAUGCCCUAAAUAACCAAGCAUAACUGUCAGCAUUUAGAUCUGAAAGUAAACCAGUACCAAACAGAACAGGCUGACCAUGAUUAUUCAUCCCAGUGAAGAAAACAAGUGGCAAAUCGUAUUUUUCUGUCAAGUACGAGGUGUCAAAGUAAACAACAUCAUGACCGAAGUAAUCAUUUGCUGCCCUUGACCUAGCGUCACUCCAGAACAAGUUCCUCAAACGCCCUUGAUAAUCCAAAUCUACUAAGUAGAAGAAAUAAGGAUUCUUGUUCUGCAUGUUCCCAAAAAACUUCUGGAUAUACUCGUCAUCUCCUUCCCCAAAUUUAAGUCUUCCUAUCUCAGUAAAGUUCCCUUGCUCUUUUUCAGCUGGAACGUUCCUGCGACCCUUCAACCGUGAAGCAGGUUCCCCAUUCUUGGCAUCUGUUAGCUUCUUGUAACAAUUAGUGAGUGCCACAGAGGACUGGUUAAGUGGAUGGUUGUGCUCAAGCUUAGCAUCAUCAAUGUGAAGCCACCUAUCUUGCCUUAACUUUAACGAGAUCCUUGCUGGGCAAUUGAUCUUGGUUGACUCUCUAGACAGAUAGCACGCAUUUGCUCUCCCUCUCCCAGCUCGACUACAACCAAGCACCAACCUUCGGCACACCCCCGACUUUAGAUACGAUGACUUCAGAAUGAUCGCCGCAAACCCAGAAUCCUCGGCAUAUUGCUUAUAGUACUUGAGCGCAUCAUCAUAAGUUUUGAAUCUCAGCCCGAAACGUGGCGCGUUCUCAUCCACCUUAGCCUUCCCACCAUCCUCCUGCCCGCUGUCGUUAUCAUCCACGAGUAUCACCUCCUUGCCCUCGUGCUGAGGCACCUCCUUGGCCGAAAUCCCUCCCAAAUUCUAGCAAAAUAAUGCAAAUCAUUAUGAGUUUCUACAGCAGCCAGCACCAAAACUAAACAUUUUAAGCUAAUCCAAACAUUUCUAACCUGGAGCGCCUCAGCACUUUUCAGCACUGCUUCAUUGCCAUGUUGCUCUUCGCCAUUCCCAUUCACGAGAACAGCCACAUCAUCAAUUGUCGCCUCCCUCGCCAACUCCUCUAACAAGGAGGCAGCCUCGACGUCGGACAUGGGGGUUCAGCUAAACUAAACCCCAAAAAUGUGGAAACUAAACUGCAACCGCAACCGCAGCUUGGCUGGAUUGGCCUCUCACGCUGGAGAAGAACAGACGAAUCAGACCAUGAAAAGCACACAGCAAUCAAAUCCGCAACAAAAAGGUUGCCCAAAACAAAAACAGUUACUAGAGAAACCACUCCAACCAAGCUAGGGUUCAGUGGCGGAGCACACUCUAAAUUUUAGGUGGGGCGAACAUGCGAGACAAAAUUCUUAGUUAAAAAGAUCGUGCACGCAUGCCACGCAUUCUCAUUGAAAUCACACAAAUAAGAGUACAAAUGCUUAAUAAAUUGUUGUUUAAAUAUUGGAGAUGGUACCUCCUAUAAAAAGGUAGCAAAGUCUUUAAUGCCAUAAUAUAAUUCUUUAAUUCAACACAAACCAGGAUCCAAGAGCUACACGAACCAAACCUUUCGAUUUGAAAACAAAUCAGUUAAUUCCUAUUUCCCUGUUGCUAAAAUAAAUCAUCACAUGACAAAAGGUGGAGGAGAAAGGUGUGCCCGCCACGAUGCGCAGCUUCGACACAGUAAUAAUUCAAGGACUUUACUAACGCCUGCACAUGCAAGAUUUGGGGCGACAGCAUCCACAGUCCAGGUUCAAUGAACCGAACUGCCCCUGCCACCGCCAGCCGCACCACCACAAGCCGCCCUCCACCCGCCAUUCGCUAACUGAGGAAGCCGCUCGCCUCACCAUCAGCCCUUCCCACCGGUUAUCGUCCGCCGCCUGCGGCGCCCACGCCGCCUCACCUCGCCAUCUUCUAUCCGCCACCGCCGACGUGCCUACUGCUGCUGCCAGACACUCUAAGCCCACCGGCCAACAUCUGAGGCACUAGCUGGACCCCAUUUUUCAAGAAAUUCCAUAACAGAAAAAUAUGUGCAGGUGAAAGAUUGACAGCUUAGUGCAGCAUAAAAGUAACAACGAACAACAAAAGGUCACAGGUUGGUGGUGAGAGAUGACCACUCACAUCUUCAUUGCUGCUGCAGUGCAGGGGCCACCAGAAACUCCUUGGCAACUGACUGCACCUGCACCAUGGCUGGAUUCACCUUGCUCACUGAAGACGACAAAGGAUGGCCUAAUUGGAAGUUCAAAACACGGAUGAAUUGGGUUAGCAACGAAGCACAUUGCGUAGCAAUCCGGACCUAGAAUUCUAACCUACUGUAUAUGCGUAGCCAAAACUCCAGUAUGCAACUAGGUAACACAAGUACAAAAUUCCCCAAACGAUUAGGUACACAACACAUUAAACUCAACAAAUAAGUCUGAAACUUGCAUAAAUUACAAAAUGAAUAAAUAGUGCAAACAGAAGAUUAUCAUAAUAGUGUAGGGAUUUGGCUUCCUCAUGGCCAUGAUUCUAGGGGUGGGUGUUCGGGUUCGGUCUCAGUCUCGACCGAACUAACCAGACUUGGCAAAUCAGCACAGAAAAUGACCCAAAUUAGCAAGAAUCGACACAAAUCAGCACGGAUGAAAAAAAGGUCAACAUGAUGGAAUACAAGACAAAGCAAAUCUCGGUGCCAAGCUGCAUCACGUGCCGUCAGACGACGGCCGAAUCUGAGGGAAAAAGGAGCCGCCAGUUGCGGCGCGGGCGAGCAAACGGCAGCCUGGAGUCUGGAGGGGUGGGGAAACGGAGCUUCGAUGGAUGGAUGGAUGGAUGGAAUACCACGCCGCCUCACCUCACCACCCUCGAUCCGCCACCGCCGCCAGACACUCUAAGCCCGCCGGCCCGGGAGCCCUCCCCCGACCACCCCGAAUCGGAAACCCUAACCCAGUCACCACCAAGCCUCAAUCCGAGAGAGCAGUGAGGAGCAGGAGCAGGAGGAGGAGGAAGAGGAGGACGCCCACCUCGUCGCCGGCCGUCUACCACCACCCACCAGAGUUGGGACGAGCACGAAGCGUCGGAGGAGAGAGGAGCGAGCUGUUGACAAGGACGGGACGGAGAAGGUGCGGCCGGCAGGGGAGGGACUUCGGGGGUGUUUGGUGCCAAUCUCCUACGAUGAUUAAACAUAAAUUAAUUAUAAAAUCAAUUGUUUGAUACUAAUUAGGAUUAUUAAACAUAGAUUAAUUAUAAAAUCAAUUGCACAUAUACUAAUUUGCAAGAUAAAUCUAUAAUGCCUAAUUAGUCCAUAAUUUGAUAAUAUGGUGCUACAGUAAACAUGUGCUAAUGAUUAACCUCCAUCUAUGUAAUUAGUUUUAUAAUUAGAUCAUGUUUAAUCCUUCUGAUUAACAUCCGAAUAUUCGAUAUGACAUAAAUUUUAGUUUGGACUAAAGAACCAAACACCCCCUUCAUACAUUACAGGUGAGAGGGUUCGCGUGCGCCACGAGGAGACGUACACGACUGCAGGCUUAGAAUUUAAGUUCUCCCACGAAUAUGGGUACAGUACAAUCUCUCUAUCUCUCUAUUGAAAAAAUCAAAAGGGAGAUUUUUCUUACUCCGUCCUGUGAAAAUCGCGCCUUGGCUCUCGCUCGGUUGAUUCCUACCAUCAGAUCGCUCCGUCAACCUCCACUCUCCUCUCUACCCUUUGUUUUUUUAUCCCUCUGUCGUCCUCCACCCCCACGUUCUGAGGAAAAAAGGAGCAGCCACCAUCUCGCUGCCAUCUAGUGCUGGCCACCGAGUGCGAGCAAUAGCAAAAUGCGAAGAGCACGGAGGACGCAUGGGCAACCACCGGUGCCGCCGUUGCAGGAGCCGCUAGUUGCGGCGCGGGUGAGCAAACAGCAGCUUGGAGUCUGGAGGGGUGGCGAAAUGGAGCUUCGAUGGAUGGAUGGAAUCCCACGCCACCUCACCUCACCACCCUCGAUCCACUACCGCCGCCAGACACUCUAAGCCCGCCGGCCAUGAAGCCCUCCCCCGACAACCCCAAACCGGAACCGAAAACCCUAA
rnacentral:lncRNA from 1 species